ACGAUUUAUGUUUAAUGAUUGUAAUUAGCGUCAGAAAACUUUUAUUUAUGUGGUCCCGUUGCAUGUUGAGAGGUAAGAAAAGUAGUUGCCAAGAGGUUCCAUGAACACUCACUAAUUCUCGUGGGUGGGGGUAAAUGUAUAUUUGUCGAUUAUCCAUUGUAUAGUCCUAGCUAGACUUCUUCUAGUAAGAAAAAAAAAGAAAAAAGAAUUGUCGUGUGGUCCUCCUAUAUCGUAGCUGAAAGUCAUAUAAAUUAAAAUUUAGUGGGUGGGACGAAUGAUAUUAACAUAAUAAUCCUUUUUGAUAAGGUUAAUAUAAAAGAUGCUAUACGUUACAGAAUAUUCUCAGUUAACCACAUACGUAGUACUGUAGAUUGGUCGCUGCUGCUACCUACAUAAGUAUCUUCUUCUAUAGUCCUAUACUAUAGAGUUAAACUGUUAAACACUAAAGUCAUAUCAAUAAUAAUAACUCGAUAGGUUUUAUUUCAUUUAUUACAAUAACCACAAAAUUACACAGCAAUUCUGGCCCAUUACUAAAAGUUAGCAGGUUAGGAUUUACAAAUGGGCCUAAAGACUUUCGUUGCUUUAUAUUUUGAUCGAAUGGUUACGGCCAAGCCCAAAUAGACCGAAGUUCCUUCCGUAGUUUCUUCAUUAAGACAAAACCGAAUUCAACUUCGUCUUCUCAACUACUUCCACUCGGAAGUCUCUCGCUGGUAUCUAAUGAUUCUUUUAACAGCAGUAUCAAGGCGUAUAACCCAUCCACUUCAUAAGUCUGAUCAUCUCUAUCCACAAACAAAGCAUCAUCAAACUACAGUAUUCUCAUGAGAGAGGUUCAUUUCUUUCUCUUUUUGUUAUAUAUAUAUUUUGUAAGGUUCUUCUUUUAAAAAAAAAUUGUAGUAUAAAAAAAAACAAAAAGAAGAGAAUUGACAAAGCUGAGCAAUCAUCAAUUGUAUUUUAUCAAAGCUGGAUUAGAUAAAAAUCCAAAAAAAAACAAAGACAUUAACGUGUGAAGAAGAAAGAGAAAAGAAAAAGAGUUGCUUUCUUUAGUUGUCCGAAGCAGAAACACGUGCAAGGGGGAGAGCUAAGAAACAGCCGUUAACUUUCUUUUGCCAUAAUGGGCCAAAACGGCAUCGUGUUCGUGGGGGACUCCUCAACAAAAAAAAAUAAGAAACCGAAACUACCCUUCACGUCUCUCCUCGUCAUCCGGGUAUAUAUUAUAAUAUUUUCUACAUAAAAAAAAAGUAACUAGUAAAGAAGAAGAAUUAUAUAUAAAAUAAAAAUGUUAUUGAUCAGCUUUAUUCUUGAAUUUUAUAUGUAUAUAAAUCCACCACUGGUUCAUUCGUGCAUCUUUUCUUCUUUCUUUUUUUUUUUAACACAAAAAAACUUGUAAAUUAAAUUAAAAUAAUAAUAAAAAUGCAAAUCGCAGCUCCAAAUAUGCUCUACCAAUUCAGCUAAAAAUGUGAGCCGGGAUGCGAAGAGGAUUGCAAUAGCAUCAUCAUCAUCCAUAGCCCCCCCACAGCCACAGGUUUAGCUUGUAUUAUAUAAUCUCUGUUGAGUUUUUUUGAUUCUUUCUAAUUAUUUCUCUUUUGAUCCUGCCUGAAACAAAACCCCAGUUGUGUUUUGUGUCUGAUUUGUUUUGUUGAAAUCUAAAACUGGGUUUCUGUCUGGAUUUCUUUAAACUUUUUCAGAUCUUUAAUCGGCUCUGCUUGACUAAUUUAUUGAGGAAAAAUCUGGGGGAUUAUUACUUCGAUAAUAACUGGUUAGUCGUGAGAUUGAUUUAGUGAAUUUACUACUCUUGUUUCACUUUUGCGUUUUUUCUCUUUUUCUUUAAUCGAAUUUGAGAUCCGAUGAUGUGAUUUUCAUUGCAUGUUUUCCUGAUUGUGAAAUUUGUAUUUUUUGAUCUGAUCGUAUUGCGGUUUCGACCAACCAAUAUCUGUUUCUGUGAAAGUCUAAUGAUUUGCUUUUGCUUAUAAUUAAGAAAAAAUAGUCAAGAAUUUGUACUUUACCUUAUUGAUGAUUUGAUUGAUGGAUCGUUGAACAAAUUCUCAUUGAAUCUGAAUGAAGAAGAAGAUCACGUGGAAUUUGCGUGUGAUUUUUUGGUAUCAUAUUUGUUUCUGAGAUGAUUUGAUUGUUUCUUUCUUUCUCUUCUUAGCAUCCAUCCAUCAUGUUGGAGGCUCCGAGUUAUCUGGUGUCAAGAGAUUUACCAUCUUCAUGUGAAGAAGAGAGCAAGUGGAUCUAUAACGUACACUGCGUGCUUCAACUCUCCCUGAGAAAGCGGUUGUUGGAUGAUGAAGAUGGAGCUUCUGCUAAGAAAAUGUUACGCCUUGAUCAUCGAAGCAGAGAUGAUUCUGACAAGAUUACAGAUACUCUUCUUCAGCUUUCUCAAACCUAUCAGAGUUCUAACCAGAGCCACCAAGGCACUCAACAGAGUCCACCAAUAACUCGGCUUGACCAAAACGCACUUCUCAACUGCUUGGCUCACUGCUCCUUGUCUGAUUUCGGGUCCAUUGCCUCGACCAAUAAAACAUUCCGCUCGCUUAUUAAGGAUAGCGAGCUGUAUAGGCUGAGACGGUCAAAGGGUAUUGUGGAGCAUUGGAUUUACUUUUCUUGUAGGCUUUUGGAAUGGGAAGCUUAUGAUCCAAAUGGAGACCGCUGGUUACGCGUACCCAAAAUGACGUUCAACGAAUGUUUCAUGUGUUCGGAUAAAGAGUCUCUGGCGGUUGGCACCGAGCUUCUUGUUUUCGGUAAAGAAAUCAUGUCCCAUGUGAUUUACCGAUAUAGUAUCUUGACCAAUACAUGGACAUCGGGUAUGCAAAUGAAUGUUCCGAGGUGCUUGUUUGGAUCAGCGAGUUUAGGCGAGAUUGCGGUUAUAGCUGGAGGAUGUGAUCCUCGUGGCCAGAUAUUGAGCUCAGCUGAGCUUUAUAACUCGGAAACCGGGGAAUGGACGGCAAUUCCAAGCAUGAAUAAGGCGAGGAAAAUGUGCUCGAGCGUGUUCAUGGACGGGAAUUUCUAUUGCAUCGGAGGUAUCGGAGAGGGAAACUCGAAGAUGCUGAUGUGCGCUGAAGUCUAUGAUCUGAAGAAGAAGACGUGGACAUUGAUACCUGACAUGUUACCAGAGAGAAACAACGAAGGUGGAGGAGAUAAUGCAAAAGAGACUGCCGCAGCUUCAGAGGCGCCACCUCUUCUAGCAGUUGUAAAAGACCAGCUCUAUGCUGCGAAUUACGCGCAGCAAGAGGUGAGGAAAUACGAUAAAACGCUUAAUGUAUGGAAUAAAGUGGGGAGUUUGCCGGAGAGGGCUUCUUCGAUGAACGGUUGGGGAAUGGCGUUUAGGGCAUGUGGGGAUCAGUUAGUGGUGGUUGGAGGGCCUAGGGCAAUAGGAGGAGGGUUCAUAGAGAUCAAUGCUUGUGUCCCAAACGAAGGAACCGAACUGCAUUGGAGAGUUCUUGCUUCAAAGCCAUCGGGAAACUUUGUGUAUAAUUGUGCGGUGAUGGGAUGUUGAUGAAGAAAAAGACUUGAGAGAGGCACUUUCAAAGUGAUUGACUUCUUUACUAGAGGUUUUUCUUUCUCUUCUUGUUUUUUUUUUUUUUAAACAGUUUCGGUUUUUCUUCUUCUUCUUUUCAUGAUUGGGGUCAAAAGAGAGUCUCUCUGUUUCCUUCUUUGUCGUUGUGGGAUUAUUGUUGUUGUUCAGGCAUAAACUGGAACUGAAAAGUUCCAAUAAAUUUGAAGAAGAUUAAGAACAAGCAUCAUGUUGUCUUGUCUCUCAACAUCUUAUAUUGUAAUUUGGUUCCAUUGUAAGAACUCCUUUUUUUAAUAAAUUUUGAAAGAUACUUCUUUAUUCUCCUAAACUUCUCAUUCUAUUUUUUUUUUUUCCUUGAAGAAAUAGAUUGCAAGUGUUAACAAUUUACUGAGUUUGGCAAAGCAAUCUUGACUCUUAAAAUUGCUAAUAUCUUCAUCCUUCAUUAUAGCAAAAUUUUAUUUGAAAGCUUGAAAUAUGCCGCAUAGGAAUAUGAAGAAAUUUCGAUUCUAAGCCUCAAAUUAGAGAAUAAAGUAGUUCACUUAAUUAUCAACUUUUUUACAUGACAGAGAUCCACAAAACUAAAGCAAAACAAACAACAUCAAAGACAUGAAAGUUGCUUCACACAUUCUAAAUUUAAAAACUUUUUCAAGCUCCCUUAGUACUGAUACUGAUAACCCUCACCAUACAUGGUUUCAUAACUUUCAUGUUCAUGUUUAUAUUUUUUUGAUUUAUCGGCCUGCGCGAUACAAGAAAAGAGAAAUAUAAGUAAAAAAGAAUCGCAUUUUAUAAAUGAGAAGAAGAGAUCUGGUAGAACAAAAUGACAUACCCGGCUUAAGAUCUUCUCGAAAGCAUCAGGUCCGUUCUCUGCAAUGUACUUCUCAGCAGCUGUUAACACGUCGUCUGGUUUCCUGAAGAUAUCCAUUUUCUUUGGCACAUACCAAAUAUUAAUGCUCCGUGGGUUAACAAAGACAGGUCUCACAAAAUGUUCAUAGACAUAGGCAGCGCCGCUGAAGUAGGGAAUGACAAGCCAACAAGUCAAGAUCAGCUUCAUGUAUGACCAUAUGGGUAACCUGAUCACACAACAACAACAUUGUCAGAUAAAGGAACUAGGAUUCACUUGUUCCUGGUAAUGGGUAAUGGGUCUGAAUCAUCAUCUUAUUCCUACCACUCGAUGAGUUUGGCAAAUGUGAGCUCGAUGAGUGUAAGUAGAGAAUAAAGAACCCAAUAUGUUAGCCAUUGUUUGUCAUCAGCGUGAGAUUGAGUUUCAAUCGCUUGGACUGAGGCAUAUCUAGUCAUUGAAACAUUCAAAGAACAAGAAUACUAUUAGAUCAAAGCUUCUACAGAACAUUUUAAAACCAUGUAAGUUACAGAUGAAUUCAGCUUCUACAUGAUGUAACAAAAAAAUGAGGAAUUGUGAAUUCAGCUUACAGAGGAUAAACGAGACUAACCACAGGCCUGCAAAAAAUUCAAAACCAGAGACUGUGAUUAGUUCCACUCCUAACAUUCCAAAAGAUGAACAAUUUAUAAGGAACCAAUCAAUCAACUUCCAGAGAAUUCGUAACUUGAACUAGGGCUAUGUCCAAAAAACUAGAAAUUAGACCAUAGGCUGUGAUGAACUGAGUAUAAUAUAUCAGAAGUUAUUCGGCAAAAGGAGGGAACUUUAAAGAGAUUUAGGUGUCUCUGUGAAAGCAGAAGAAAUUUUAGUAUUACCCAGCAAGAACAUCGAAGUUCCUGAGAAGAACCUUGAGGAAAUUUCCAGCUCCAGAUCCCAUCACCAACCAAGCUUUGAUUUUUGGCUAUGAAUCUGAUUCUCCACUAAAAAACACUAGAUUUUUGAUUGAGAGAGAGAGAGAGAGAGAGAGAGAGAGAGAGAGAGAGAGAGAGAGAAAAAAAAUACAAUUUAUGUGGUAGACCUGUUGAAAGUUUUUAACUUUUUAAUGGUAUCAAAAAGCGUGAAAACGAUAUGAAUUGGAAAAAAAAGCUAGCCAUUAAUUUCCUUUUGGAAUAAUCAAAAGCUUUUUAGGAAAUUGUUACCACAAAGAAGAAUAAGAAAAAAUGGAAACUAGCUUAAACUAAAGUUACUAAACGUUGUUAACACAAGAAAGUAAAAAAUAGCAAUCUUUUUGCUUUGGGUAAUAAGGAAAUUAGCCAUCUUAAAUUCUGUAUUUGGAAAUUUGGCGAAAAAGGCCUAAAUAUUUUGCCACAUAAAAAUACAAGGUAUCAUCUCCAAUCAAUCAAGUAAGCUUUUCGACAGCCGACAUAAGAAAAUAGCGUUUUGAUAUACGUAAGAAGUUAAAUACAACCUUUUUUUUUUUUUUUUUCUUGUCUUUGACUUGAAUAAGAUAUUUUUCUUCACUACAAUAAGUUGAAGAAAAUUUACAUAUGAACAUGACAAAAUGGUUUUGAACUUCAUGAUGGUUUUGAACUUCAUGAUGGUUUUGAACUUCAUGGUGAACUAAUAAUCCCUCUUGAUUACAAUCAGGUAAACUUUUAGCUCUUUGCACAGCCGAGUGGGAAUGAUCGAACCUUCAUUCUUCCUCCCAGUGCGAGCGCCAGCAGAUCAAACUCUUCUACAUACCACAGCUCUGUUACUAUUGCCUGUGUCAACAAAUAGAUUUCUCAGUUCUUGGUCAGAGGAUAUUUUUGCUUUCGUUGUAAGUUUACCUUGAAUCCUCGGAUUUUGUUGUUUAGUCUUGUGACCAACUCAUGAAGAAGCUGGAGAUGGUCUUCAGUACCAGCCUGCUAUACAAAGAAACAACCACUAAGUCUUGGAGAUUCUCUGCAACACUGGUUUAUUUAGUUUGUCGACCAUAAGUGUAAACUUGCCUCAGUUGGAGAUAUUGGAGGACCAAGCAGCCUUGCCAAUGAUGUAUGAAGAAUUGCAGUAUCAUACUGAAACAAAAAUCAUCAGACAAGUGGUUUGUGUUCAUUGAGAGCUAUAUAUAGUUUAUGAAAUAGAUAUUACAAGUUGCUUUUUCGGUGCAUGUGGAAGAACAGAUCUCAGUUUCGAGCGGAUUGUUAUGGGAUCAUCUCCAGAAUUAACCUGGUGAAACAUGAAACAGGGUAUAAGUCCCAUAUAUCUGAUUUAGCCAUUUCUAAAGGACUUGUUAGCAUAGUUUUUGGCAAGGAGGAUGGAAUUCCUAAAGUGGUAUAAUCAAAACAAAAUGGAGAUCUGACUCACAUUUGUUGAGGAAAAGUGAAAGCAACACAAUUACCUUCCAGCAUCCAAGAAGAACACCAGUCGAGGUUAAUAGAACUCUAUCCAAUAUAAUCUCCAAAGGACAAAGCUUAUUAGCAACUGCUUUAACAGCAGCUGCUUCCCCAUCAACCUGAUAAUAAAGAAAAGAUUCAGAGACUAGAAUCUUCACAGAUAAAAAUUCUAGUAGAGUGGUGAUAAGAUAAAUGAUAAAGUAAAAACAACAAACCUCAUCUUCAGUAGCUGGAACGGAGAAAAUGUGAUUUGAUGCAUGAAACAUGCUAAAGUGGUACAUCUCAGAGUCCUGAAACCAGAUUGCUAAAAAACAACCCAAAGUAAGAAAGACGAAAAUUACCAGCAUUCUAUAUAAUUCAUAUAUAUGGUACUUGCGGCAGGCUUACUAUUUUCAAAGUAAGGACUGAACACAUCUUCUACGGCUUUGCUGCAAUAGAACAUAUUAUGACACUUUUUUAGUUGUAGAACAUUUUGAAAACAUGAUAUUUUUGCAUUGAGAUUGGGAAUGGGGCAAGUUACACACUCACGAGACUAGGACAGAGUAUUCUGUGCUGAGAUGUAAUACAUUAGCUCGCACAGGGGGAUUCGCAACCUAUAAAUGAGGAAACUGGAUAUUUUAUACAAUCAUACAUGAUAUUUAGCUAUCGCAAAAACCAAUUAUUCACUUCACUAUACAAAGCCACUAAUCCAUUCUAACAAUAGUAAAAGUAAAGAUGUAUCAUUCUACCUUCAGGACAGGUGAUAUUUUCCCAUCUUUCAGUGUGAAGAGAUCUGAGAGUGACAAUGACUGAGACGUUUCACCUUGCUUAAGGAAGACCGGUCCAUUUUCUUGUAAAUCCCGUUCCAUCUUAUCAUACAACCUUGUGCUUUGCUCGGCAUAGGUGACAAAGGAAUCUGAAACAUAUGAGACUUAUUAUUGCUAUGAAUGGUAACCAUUUACUUCAAAUACAAUCUUGAUACAGAUAAGAAAACAUUUAAAACAGAGGCACUGGAUCCAAAAUCAACCAUUGCCCUUUGCAUCAGAUAUUCACUCUACCAUGUAUGUUCUACAUUAGAACCACUAAAAACAUGCUGGCUAAGAAGCAUACCAUCAAUAAGAAACAUGUUGAGUGUUUCUUUUAAGCUCAGGACAACCAAUUCAAGAAUGGUGAUUUAAGUACCCGUUUGAUCCCUAAACAAACACUAGAUUCAGCUUAAGAUCCCAAUGCAGACUUAAAAUUGAGUACCAAAACAGAGACAUUUCUUCAGAAAUACAUAAAAACUAGUUCUUUACGCAAACACUAACUACACUGAAUGCUGAUGAAUCCUUCGGUUAGCAAGUCAACAUCGAUCUUCCAUUUACGAAACCCAUAUUCAGUAUACAGAAAAACACAAUUCAGUUAGUUUAAUCAGAUCGGUUAUUGUAAAAUUAACACAUCAACGAAAUCUCAGAAUAUGGAAAGGUACUUAAUUUCGAGACAAGGAACGACCUUUAAGAAAAAAAAAUUAAAAGGAUUUUUAGACCUGAUGAAGAUGAAGAAGAUGGCGAAUUACGAAGACCCAUUUGGAAAAGAGAGUAGAAAAUAGUGAGUGAGAUGCUCCAAAAUAACACAGUGAUUCUCCAAUUCGGUGCUCUAAUCGCAGACGUCGUCGCUGUCGCCAUUUCUCCUUUUGUUUCGUUUCUUUGGAAAACUCCAUUACUCUUUCUCCGUCAGACUCUCACCAUUUACGUCAAUAAGCUCUCUUCGCCGUGAUAAUUUUUUUGGGGUUAUUUUCCAUUUAAUUUUUGUCACUCAAUUUCAGUUUUUCCCUUAUUAUUUAUUUAUUUAUGUGUUUAAGUCCAUAAUUAUUUGUUAUAGAAUAAUUCUCCAAUUUUCUACAUAACAUUUCCCCUAAACCUUUUUUAUUUAUUUUUUACAUCAAUUGGUAUCCAAAUAGUCUCAAUAGAUAUUUUUUUAUUGGUGAAAUAUUCUCAAUAGAUAUAAAGAAAGUGUUUUUUUUUUCUGUUUUUUUUGAGUAAACAGAAAAUACAAAAAGUGUGAAGGGACCAAUUUACGGCAUUUUUAUGCGGAUGCCAAAGUUGUGUGUUUCUCUAAAGUUUGCGUUAAGUAAAUAUCAAAAGCUUUCUUCUAUGUUUUACAGUUUGUAUAUAAAACUUCAGGGUAAGGUUUAGAAUGUUAGAAUGUACAUCAAACUUAUAUCAUUACACUGUUUCACAUUGUCCAAACAACCAUGGUUCUAUAUCUGAUUUCGUUACUUCCUAUCAUCGUCGCCACCAUUAUGCUUUAUCAAAGAUGGUGGAGAUCCAACAUACCGCCGGGACCAAAACCAAAGUUUCUUAUCGGAAACCUCCACCAAAUGAAACCACUUUGGACGCAUUCUUUCUCGGAGUGGUCAGAGGCUUAUGGUCCCAUCAUAUCAGUGUGGAUAGGCUCGCAGCUCACGGUCGUGGUCUCGAGUGCUGAUUUAGCCAGACAAGUGCUGAGAGACAAAGACCAUCAAUUGUCUAACCGACACAGGACCGCUAGCAUGACUCAGACCGGUACUGAUCUUGUUUGGUCCGAUUACAGUCCACAUUAUGUAAAAUUGAGGAAACUCUGUACCCUCGAGCUCUUCUCUCUGAAAAGCAUUGAGAAUUUCAGGUCGUUGAGAGAGAUGGAAGCAAGAUCGAUGGUUGUGUCGGUUCUAAGGGACUUAAUGAGCAAUGCAAACGAUGGCCAGGCAAGAAAACCGGUGAUCGUGAGGAAGUACCUAGCUGCAGUUGUUUUGAACACUAUCUCAAGACUAAUGAUCGGGAAAGAGUUCGGGACAGAGGAAGGACAAGAGUUUAAAUCGAUCGUUGAGAAAGAACAUCUUCUCAGUGGCUCAGGGACGCUUUUUGAUCAUGUCUGGUGGCUCAAAUGGGUUUCGUCUUGGUUCAUUAGCGAUAAGGAAUUCUUAGGUCACAAGGAUCGGAGAACAAAAUGGUUUAGAGGAGCUAUAAUGGUGGAAGAAGAUGUACCAAUAGAGGACCACAAGGGUUUUGUUAGGAAAUUGCUGGUUUUGAAAGAGCAGAAAGAGCUCAGCGAAGAGACCGUUGGGGGACUAGUAUGGAACAUGUUAACUGCGGGUGCUGAUACAACUGCGGUUGUUAUCGAAUGGGCUAUGGCAGAGAUGAUCAAAUGCCCUACCGUGCAACAAAAGGCACAACAGGAGCUUGAUUCCGUGGUCGGAAAGCAACGGUUAAUGUCUGAAUCAGAUAUUCCAAAACUACCAUAUCUGCAAUGCGUGGUUAAAGAAGCUCUCCGGCUUCACCCAUCAACACCGUUAAUGCUUCCGCACAAAGCAAGCGAAACUGUUUGGGUAGGUGGCUAUAAGGUCCCUAAGGGAGCCACGGUUUAUGUCAAUGUGCAGGCGAUUGGGCGUGACCCCGCAAACUGGAGAAACCCGUAUGAAUUUAGACCAGAGCGGUUUCUUCAGGAGGAAACCGAUGUUAAAGGUCGAGACUUUAGAGUUCUUCCAUUCGGAUCGGGGAGACGGAUGUGUCCAGCGGCACAGCUCAGCAUGAACUUGAUGACAUUGGUGAUGGGGAAUUUGUUGCAAUGCUUCUCAUGGAGUUCUCCUAUUCCUGGAGAGAAGAUUGACAUGAGCGAGAAUCCUGGAUUGCUUUGUAACAUGAGGACACCAUUGCAGGCUAUAGCUUUGCCUAGAGCUGCCUCAAGAGUUAUACCUUUACCUUUAGAUUUAAAUAGAAAUGUAAUCACAUGAGAAAAUAUAAUGAAACUCCAUAUAUAGAUCAUGAUGACUCUAGUUAUGGAAACGAAGAUGUAGCUAUGUCAAACCGAAGAGGCAUAUGUAGUGUAGCUAUUAUAUAUGGAAAUAAAAGAGUAAAUAUAUUCACAUGGAGAAAGCUCAGUGUCAUGGUGGCCAAAAACUAAGUAAUGCUUUAUGCUCAUAACACAAAUUUCACACAUCUUUUAUAAAAGCGUCAUACAAUCAUUGCAAUGUGGUUAUCUUGAGCUCCCAUAAUGUGAUAGCCUGUAGUUUCUUCUGAAACUGUUCAUCAGUAGAGAGAGAGACUGUUUCUUCCAGGAACUCACCUUGUCAUAAAGAUCCGGAAGCUAGUAGAGUGACGGGAAAACGAGUUUAAGAUUGUUGUGUAUAGCUGCGUGUCGUAUAUAUCCGUGAAUUGGUGACAAGUCUUCUGAAUCGCAGUUUCCUUUAACUUCUUUUUUCCCACGAUAAAACUAAUUAGCCUUUCAAAACAGAGAUGCACAUGUUAGUACUACUUUAAUCAUACAAAUAGCCUAACUUGUAUUAUUACUUCUUAACCGAGCUUGUUUCAUUAAUCAAUAACGGAUCAAGUUUAAUCAGAUACACCAUUAACUAUUAUGUGCACUUGUAGACCGGGAUAAACCAAACUUGGGCAUUUUAACUAAUACCCGAUCAAUUUCAAAACAGAGAUCCACGUGUUAGUACUACUACUAACGUAGUUUUGAAUUCAUUAAAAUUAAUGUUUUUAACUCAAAAGCCAAUUAGCAUACUUCUUAACAAAUGUCAAAUUUUGAACUUUGGAUACAUGCCUGCAGGCUACAACAAGACAUACAUAUUGUUUACUCCAAAAAAAAUAAGUAAAGAGGCAUGAAAAUGUCUAUCUUACAACAAAGAAAGUUCUACUAAAAUUUUCAACCGAAUAGAAAAUGCAAAUAGUGUGGGAAAGCAAAAGGGAACCAAUUCAUGACAAUUUCAUGCAAACGUGCGUGUUAACUAAAUAGUCUAUUCAAUAACCAUGACUCUAAAUAACAAUAAUUCAUAGAUAAUUUAAUAUGAAGACCAAACAAAAAAAUAAAAAUAAAAAAUGAUUUAAUAUUUCGUGUAUAAAACAAAAACACUUCAGUGUAAGGGAGCUACAGACAUAUGUAUUACACUUUGUCGAAGCAAAAUGGAUUUAUUACUGAUUACACUAAUCACUAUCAUAAUUGCGGCCGUCAUACAAAAUCUAGGACGUCGGAGAUCCAACAUACCGCCUGGACCACCACCGCGGUUUCUAAUCGGAAACCUUCAUCAACUGAAACCACUAUGGACACAAUCUUUCUCCGAGUGGUCGCAGACUUAUGGCCCCAUCAUAUCGGUGUGGUUAGGGUCACAGCUAGCUGUUGUGGUCUCCAGCUCUGACUUAGCUAAACAAGUGUUGAGGGACAAAGACUACCAACUUUGUAACAGACACAGAACAGCACGAAUGACUCAGAAUGGUAGCGAUCUUAUUUGGUCCGAUUACGGAGCACAUUAUGUGAAAAUGAGGAAACUAUGUACACUCGAGCUCUUUUCUCUGAAAAGCAUCGAGUGUUUCAGGUCAAUGAGAGAGAUGGAAGUGAGAUCCGUGGUUAAGUCAAUUUUCAACGGCUUGAUGAGCGAUGAUCAGAAGCCGGUGGUGCUGAGGACCUAUCUAGGUUCGGUUGCUUUGAACAUUGUUUCAAGACUAGUGAUCGGAAAAACGUUCGAACCAAAAGAAGGAAGAGAGUUUAAAUCGAUUGUUGAUAGGGAGACUCGCUUGCCUGGUGCAACCAAGAUGCUUGAUUACGCAACUUGGCUUAAACGGGUUUCAUCAUGGUUCACUAGCGACAAGGCGUUCGUGAAGCACAUGGAUAGGAGACAAAAUUGGUUUAGACGAGCUGUAAUGGAUGAAGAAUACGCAGGAAGAGACAAAACGUGUUUUGUUCAGAGUCUAUUAGCGUUGAAAGAGAAGAAUGAGCUGACUGAGGAGACUGUUAUGGGACUGGUCUGGAACAUGUUAACCGCAGGCGCCGACACAGCUGCCAUUACUAUUGAAUGGGCAAUGGCAGAGAUGAUCAGAUGCCCAACCGUUCAAGAAAAGGUGCAGCAUGAGCUUGAUUUCGUGGUUGGAACCGGACGGUUAAUGUCUGAUACAGAUAUCCCGAAACUGCCAUAUCUGCAAUGCGUAAUCAAAGAAGCGCUCCGGCUUCACCCUCCAACACCAUUGAUGCUUCCACAUAAGGCCAGUGAAUCAGUUCAGAUUGGUGGGUACAAAGUUCCUAAGGGAGCCACAGUUUAUGUCAACGUGCAGGCAAUUGGUCGAGAUCCAGCAAACUGGAGUAACCCAGAUGAGUUUAGACCUGAGCGGUUUCUUGUGGAGGAAACGGAUGUCAAAGGUCAAGAUUUUCGGGUUCUACCGUUUGGGUCAGGAAGACGGGUGUGUCCAGCCGCACAGCUCAGCCUCAAUAUGAUGAUGUUAGCACUAGGUAAUUUCAUGCAUUGUUUCUCAUGGACAUCCUCUACACCUCAGGAGCACAUCGACAUGACCGAGAAGCCUGGACUAGUUUGUUACAUGAAGACUCCAUUGCAGGCUCUAGCUUCGUCCAGGCUGCCACAAGAGUUAUACCUUUAACUUUUCACUGAAAUAUAUUAUAUUAAUCUACCUAAGAUAAGAGAGAUUCUCAAUUGAGAAAAACAGAUGUAGCAAUGGCAAGAUUUAGGACAUGACUGAUGAAAUGGUUCGUACAAACAGGAUGUAGCUAUGAUAGUAAAUAAACUAGAUAUUCCAAAAGAGAAAGCUUAGUCUCAUCAUUGCUAAAAUUGGGAACCUCAUAACACAAACUUUACACAUCUGUUAUAGAAGCAAGCCAGCAAUGUGUUAUCUUAGGCUCCAAUCAUUCCUCGCCAUCUUCCUCCUCUUCAUCUUCAUCAUCGUCGUCUUCGUCUCCCUGAAGAGAUUAUAGUUUUCAAAGAAUUUUCAGGUUAAAGGAUGGACCACAGUAACAAAGCAUGUGACUCAUAAUACAAGUGUCUAGACUAAUACUCAAUUAAUCAAUGUAUUUUGAGGAGGAAUGAAAUUAUUGUUUUACCUCUUCGUCACCAUCAUCAUCUCCAUCAAAGUCCUCUUCAUCAGCAUCCUACGUACAUCAAAAAUAUUUCUUUAGUAACUUUUUUCCACUACAGAAAGAGGACUGAAACUUAACUGACGAAUAUAUUACAUUGUUGAAGUAGGUGAGAGGGUUGGACCACAGAUCUUCCUUGAUAAUAUCAGCAACCUGCUCCAAAGGAGAUUCCCGAGUUCAAACUGGGCAAAUAAUAAAAACGGUCUAUAUUUUAUAACAAGUCAGAAAGUUGAGUACCUCAUCAUGAAUCUCAUCCCCAGCAUCUUCCUUAUGUUGAGCAUCAGUAAACCAAGUAAAGAAACUGAAGAGAAAGUAAAAUGGAAAGUUGUUAAUCAUAUGGAACUACUAAUAAGAAAGAAUCUAAAUUUUGUAUAAUGUGCAUCAUCUAUCCAUGACCACAAGAAUUUCACUAAGACUAUGAUCACUUAAUAGACUCCUGAACAAUACCUCUCCUCUGGCAAUCCACGUUUGUUUCCUUUCUUAUCAUCAUGGUUCACUCCAUUCGGCAAGCCCUGCAUAAUUGAGAAGCAUCAUUAAGAAUAAUGCCGAAGAGAGACAAAUAAAGUUGAAACUUACUAUCUUGCACAAGCAGAACUAUACAUUUACCUUGCCCUCCUUCCAUUUGAUAGGAGUUGCCGUGAUUUUUGUUGUUCCUUCUUCAAAGAAGGUAAACGUCUUAGUAAGUUUGGCAUCCUCAAAGAAAGGGUUGGAAUUGAAGUGCUGAUAGAUUCCCAAUUUAACAAGUAAGUUAACAAUACCCAGUAACUUCUUAGAUAAAUAGGUAAAGACAGUAAAACGGUAGUAAAAAUGAGCUGAAUAAAGAAACAUACAAAAGUUAUAGAGUAUCCAGAUUUCACAUCUUUGGCAUCCUCCACUUCCAGAGAGCUCAAAUACUUAAAAAUCUGUAAAUACAGGGAAAUAAAAUGAAGAGUUAUAAAUGAUGUAACUGCAGAAAAUAUGAAAGUCCAAUGGGGAAGUUAUCUACGUAUAAUGAUACUUUAUAAACAUUAUAAUCUUGAAAGCAAGCCCAAAGAUAGCUCAAACCUUUUGGUCUUCUUCAGUCAAGAGGUCACCUAAUGCUGGAUGACUGAAAAACUACAAAGAAUGUGGAUCGUCAAUAAGUCGAAGAUGUUUUGAACAGUAAUUGGGAACUACCUUGAAAAUAGAACUUACAGCAGUCAACCAAAAGUCUGGAAUAGCUUGGAUAACUUCAUUACGCUUGUCAUAGACAGGUUUCCGUAUCUCGUUAUAUUUCUGCUCCACUUCCAAGACCUCAUCACUGGCCUUCUCGUUAAUCUAGAACCAACAAACCAUCAAAGUCAAAAAAAAAAGGAAGAAGAAAAAGGAACACUUUAGAGCUAAUGUCAAUUCUAACAGUACUGGUGACUUGAAUAUAUGCAUCUGUUUAAGCUUCAACUUCACAAAUAGUACUCUUUCCAUUAACUCCUCUACAGGCAUUGCAGAAGCUACUAAUUGCAGAGAGCAGUCACAUGAACGAAUUUAUAUAUACAUAAAUCUCACAAAACGUUCUCAAAUUUCAUCUGUAGCAACAAGACAAAAAGACAAUCUUUCAUGCGAAAUUCAGCAAAGUCAAAAAUAAAUAUACUGACUUCAUGCGUAAUUAGCAACAGAAUCAUCAAACAAGAACUAGAAAAUAUAAAUUAAAAUUGGAAUCCAUUCAACUUAACCAGGAUACAGAGCACAUAAACACUGAUUAAAAGAAACAAAAGGGGAAUUAGAGCAAAUUAACGAAGAUGUGAAAGGAUAGAGUUUUAAAACCUUCUCGAGGUCGUCUUGAAUCUCCUGAAGCUUCUCAAUUGAGAGAACAAGCUCUCCAUCGAUUUGCUCUAAGUUCUCAUCUUCGACUUUCUCUUCAAUUUUCGACUUCUUGCUCUUAUCCGCGACCAUUUUCACUUCACUCCCUUUAAGGAAAACCCUAAAACCGAAAGAAAGAGAGGAUUUCGGAACCUCCUCUUGGUUUCUUCUCCGCUUUUGUGUUCCGUCGCAAGAGAAUCAGCUAAAACCCUAGUUCCUGACCAAGUUUAUGCUGGUGAAGUGUGAGUGUGGGCAAAGGGGACUUAGGGUUUUGAGGGGUUUAUGUGGACCAAUCAGAUUGCGCCAGCUGAGGCUAAUAAGGGUAUUAUAGUCAAUUUCUUAACCAACCUUAGGGUAGAUUUAUAAUUUUCUCCUUUCACUUGCUUUUUUAAGUUAUCCUAUUAGAGAAUAGAUUGAUUUAAUAAAAGAGGAUAUUAAGUCAUUUAAUUUUUCUCUUUUUUGUGUCGUGUGAUUUACUUCUGGACCACUUUAAAAGUAAAACAUUAUUGCUCAUUUGCUCUAACCAUUUGAGAAAAAUAUCCACUUAAAUAAAACUAUUGCUCUGCGAUAUCACAAUUUAAGAAAAUUAAAUAGCAAAAAGAAAAAAGAGAAUUGUUGACAGUGGGAUUUGAACCCACGCCCUUUCGGACCAGAACCUUAAUCUGGCGCCUUAGACCAACUCGGCCAUGUCAACGUAUUUGUUCUAGCUAAAAUUAAAAACAAUUUAUUGACAUUUCUCACGCGCUUCGUCGCCGAGUCUGAUUUGCGACUAAGUACUACCGGCGUAGUAGCCGUUGUAGUUCGUCGGUGAAUUUUACUAUCCCAUUGUAAUUGAUUGUUUUCUGGGUCUCCUCGGCGAUAAACAAUCUGGCUUUUCAAUCUUAUUCUGUCUCAUCAGGUUUUUCUAGGGUUGUUCUGUCUUCUUUGCAAUGUCUCUGUGGAACGGAAUCAAGGUUUCUGGAUUUUAGGGAUUAGGUUACGCUUAUUUCUCUUUAAUGGGUUCUCGUCUGCUUCCGAGACAUGUAACUGCAGUUAUAAAAUGUCAGAGAGAUCCUAUGAAAGCCUUGGAAAUGUUCAAUUCGAUGAAAAAAGAGGAUGGUUUCAAGCAUACUUUAUCUACUUACCGCAGUGUGGUUGAAAAGCUUGGCCUUCAUGGGAAAUUCGAAGCCAUGGAAGAGGUUUUAGUAGAUAUGCGGCAGAAUAUUUGUAACCAUGUGCUUGAAGGGGUUUAUGUUGGGGCAAUAAAGAAUUAUGGUAGGAAAGGUAAAGUUCAAGAAGCUGUGAAUGUGUUUGAAAGGAUGGAUUUUUAUGAUUGUCAGCCUACGGUUUUCUCUUAUAAUGCUAUUAUGAGUAUAUUGGUUGAUAGUGGUCACUUUGAUCAAGCUCACAAGGUGUAUAUGAGGAUGCGUGACAGGGGAAUUACGCCUGAUGUGUACUCCUUUACUAUUAGGAUGAAGUCGUUUUGCAAGACGAGUCGGCCUCACGCUGCUUUGAGGCUACUUCACAAUAUGUCUUUUCAAGGCUGUGAGAUCAAUGUGGUUGCUUAUUGUACCGUGGUUGGUGGGUUUUAUGAGGAGGAUUUUAAGGAUGAGGCAUAUGAGUUGUUUGGGAAGAUGCUUGGAUCAGGUGUUUCGCUUUGCGUUAGUACGUUUAACAAGCUUCUACAUGUUCUUUGUAAGAAAGGAGAUGUUAAGGAGUGUGAAAAGCUACUGGAUAAAGUUAUCAAAAGAGGUGUUUUACCAAAUUUGUUUACUUAUAAUUUUUUCAUUCAAGGGCUUUGUCAGAAAGGUGAGCUUGAUGGUGCUGUUCGUAUGGUAGGUUGUCUCAUAGAACAGGGGCCAAAACCUGAUGUCGUCACUUAUAACAAUCUAAUAUAUGGCUUAUGUAAGAAUAUCAAGUUUCAGGAGGCGGAGGCUUACUUAGGCAAAAUGGUUAAUGGUGGGAUUGAGCCUGAUAGUUUUACCUAUAACACACUAAUAGCUGGAUAUUGCAAAAGUGGAAUGGUGCAACUUGCAGAAAGGAUUCUAGGUAAUGCUGUUUUCAAUGGGUUUGUGCCUGACGAGUUUACAUAUCGCUCCUUAAUUGACGGAUUGUGCCACGAAGGUGACACAAAUCGUGCUUUAGCUUUAUUUAAUGAGGCCUUAGGGAAAGGAAUAAAGCCUAAAGUCAUUCUUUACAACACACUGAUCAAAGGACUGUCUAACCAGGGUUUAAUUCUGGAGGCUGCUCAGUUGGCGAGUGAAAUGUCUGAAAAGGGUUUGAUGCCCGAGGUACAAACUUUUAACAUACUCGUAAAUGGAUUAUGCAAGAUGGGAUGUGUUUCUGAUGCUGAUGGUCUUGUUAAAGUCAUGAUCUCCAAAGGAUACUUUCCUGACAUAUUUACUUUCAAUAUUUUGAUUCAUGGUUAUUCUACACAGUUGAAAAUGGAAAACGCACUUGAGAUCAUAAAUGUUAUGCUGGACAAUGGCGUUGAUCCUGACGUGUACACUUACAACUCUUUGUUGAAUGGUCUCUGCAAAACUUCAAAGUAUGAAGAUGUGAUGGAAACCUAUAAAACGAUGGUGGAGAAAGGUUGUGCCCCCAACUUAUUCACAUUUAAUAUACUUCUGGAGAGUCUUUGCAGAUACCGAAAACUAGAUGAAGCCAUGGGGUUGCUGGAGGAAAUGAAAAACAAGAGUGUGAAUCCAGAUGCGGUUACAUUUGGAACGUUGAUCGACGGGUUUUGCAAAAACGGAGACUUGGAUAGAGCAUACACGCUAUUCCGGAAGACGGAAGAGGUUUAUAAGGUCUCCAAUUCAACGUCAACAUAUAAUAUCAUCAUUCAUGCUUUCACUGAGAAGCUCAAUAUUACUAUGGCGGAAAAACUUUUCCAAGAGAUGGUUGAUCGUUGUCUUCUUCCUGAUGGAUACACAUACCGGGUUAUGGUUGAUGGUUUUUGCAAAACGGGAAAUGUUGAUUUGGGGUUAAAGUUUCUACUGAAAAUGAUGGAAAAUGGGUUUAUUCCAUCGCUCACGACGUUUGGACGUGUAAUAAACUGUCUUUGUGUGGAGGAUAGAGUUUAUGAGGCUGCCGGUAUUAUCCAUCGGAUGGUCCAGAAAGGACUGGUCCCUGAGGCUGUCAACACCAUUUUCUAUGUUGACAAAAAAGAAGUGGCUGCUCCUAAGCUUGUCUUGGAGGAUCUGUUGAAGAAGAGCUGUAUUACAUAUUAUGCUUAUGAACUUCUUUUUGAUGGUCUUAAAGAUAAAAGACUACGCAAGAAAAAGGCUUCACAGUGGUAGGCAUAUGAAUCUGAUGCAAUGGUCUUUUUGGUGAUGCUUCAAGAUAGAAUUGAACACAGACUGAAAUCGCCACUACAGGAGCAUACUCCAAGUCGUUCUCAACUUCAAAUUCAAUCAAAAAUUUGCCGGCACCUGUGUGAAAGAAGCCCUAGGGGAGGAACAGCUAACCACUCUAAAGAAGCUGCACGAGGUAUGUGGAGCUUCCUGAGUACUAUACCCUUUUUGUUAUGUGUAUUUAGCUGUUUACAAUCUCUGUGAGAUAGAGCUUACGAUGAUCGAGUCAGAUCUUGAUUAGAAAUGUUAUCAUCGCUGUUUCCAACUUAUUUCUCGCAAAAGUAAAACACUAAAGGGUAUCAGGUGGGUUAUAGGAAGAUUGGAGAUACCACAAAUGCUUUAUUUAGUUUCAUUAUCAUACAUUAUUUUUCUACCAUAAGUCCAUAAAUAAUUGUCUCAAGGAAUUAUUUCUUACUUUAAACGCUAAUCUAACUCUUACUCUGUUAUCCUCUGAGACAAUACUGAAUCUGGAGAUUCGGUAACCUGACCAACAUCUUGAUCUAAUUACGCACUUGCAGCCUGCUGGAGACGCUUUUGUCUAUAGCUCUGGAGAAAGUUCACCAACUUAUCACGAGGCACUUCGACUUCUUUCAUCACAGGCAGAUCUUGCAGGCACUCUAUCCAGUUGUAUAAAGUCGGAGUGUUCACUGGAUCAAUUAUCUCUACACCAAUUGCUUCACGAUAAACUUUGUGGGCUCCAAAAGUAGCAAUGAUGAUGAUUUCCAAAAGCCCUACAUCAUCAUUCUCUCUGAUGAUUUUAUUUGAGAAAUGCUUCUUGAGUCCCUCUUCAAGAACUUUGAUUCUCUUUCGAGCCUCUUCCACAGACUUUGCUUGAGCUUCACCCUCUUGGAACACAACUUGACCCAUGACCUCAAACACCUGCAACAAGAAAAAUAGUCAUUAGUCUGCAAAUCAUAUCAAUGUAUGGGGUUGAUUUCGGAUGAGAGAUUUGGGGAACACACCUGUUGAUUGAUGUAGCUGACCCAGAACCUGACCUGGCCCCUUUCAUAAGGAUCCUCUGGGAAGAAAUGAGGAGAGUUCUUCCACGUCUCAUCGAUAUAUUCAAGAAUCACAAGUGACUCAGCCACUGGUUUCCCAUUAUGAACAAGAACCGGAAUCUUCUUGUGAACUGGGUUGAGUUGAAUCAGCGAUUCACUUUUGUUCUGAAGAUCUUCUUCGACAUACUGAUAGAGUAUGCCCUUGAUUUUAAGGGCGAUUUCUACCCUCUUUGAGUAUGUGCUUAUCCACAUCCCAUGUAAUGUCACUUUGUUGCUCUGGUCCUCCAUUCUCUCAAAACUCUGUUGUUUUAUUUCUUACACUUUUUUCUUAGAAUCUUGUUGGUGAUUGUGAUUUCUGCUUCGUUUUCAAAUUCUUAUAUAGAUGUUUAAGACAAGAGUCUUUACUUUGGAUCUUGUUGUCUUGUUCAUCAAGUAUAAUGUGGGCAUUAAUCUUAUUUAUCUUUUCAUUUAAAGACAAAAGUUUGAACUUUGAAUGUUCAAUUAAUAUUACAAUAAGAUUUGUUUAUUUCAUGAUGUCACUUUUAUCUUCUGGAAUCUGGAAUAAAAAAUUCAUGGAACAGAGCCAAGAGAUAAACUAUUGAAUUAUCUUUGACUCUAUUGCCGCCCAAGAAAACUGAAAUCAGCAAACACUUUACAACCAACUAUUUCUCUGGAAUGGUCUAAAGAGAUAUCUACUACCCACACUGGAAAAAAAAGAACAAUUGAGAAAAAUAAAUAAAUUAAAAUUGUUCUGAGAACUGACUGUUGUCCAGGAAUUUUCUCUGAACAAAUAUACGGAAAGGCUUGUCUUCAACAAUGCAAGCAAUCUCCAAUUAUCUUCAAUUGUUCCUUCAUCAUUAACUUGUGGCAGAACUGCUGCGCAUCCAUGUCUAUGUCUGAACAUUUUGGAUUAUCCAGAACAUAGGACAGUAAUCAACCUCACGGCUUUUCAUCAGACUGAACUCCAACCUGGUUCCUUCUGUACACCUAUUCCUUUCAUCAGCUUACGAGUUUCUUCCACUACGUCCCACUCACCAACCUCUGCAAGGAUGUUCGAGAGUGAAAUAUACGCUCCAGCGUCUGAUGGCUCUAAUUCUAUAGCCAUUUUCGCAGCUAGCUUCCCGAGUUCAACAUCCCCGUGAAGUCUGCAAGCAGAAAGCAAUGUUCCCCAGACCAAGGCAUCCGGUUUUAUAGGCAUACCGUUGAUAAAACUCUCAGCUUCUCUAAGUCUUCCUGACCUCCCUAGAGUAUCGACCAUGCAAACAUAAUGUCUGUUCUCAGGUUCGAUACCAUAGUCUUUUACCAUCGAUUUAAGAUGAAAAUAGCCCUCUUCAACCAAACCACCGUGACUACAAGCAGACAAGACUCCCACAAAAGUAACUUUAUCAGGGUUGAAUCCUUUUUCCUUCAUAAGAUUGUACAUUUGCAACGCUUCAGUGGCCUUUCCAUGUUGAGCAUAACUUGCAAUCAGCGCUGUCCAUGCUAUUAAAUCUGGGACAUUGAUCUGGCUGAAUGCUUUACAGCAGUCCUCAAUGCUUCCAAAUCUCGAAUACAUUGUCAGUAAUGAGCUUCCUACAGAAGGUUCUGUGUUCAAUCCAACUUUUGUGAUGUAGGCAUGAACUUGAGCUCCCAGAGAUGAUUCGUCUGAGAGAGUAGUGGCUUUAAGAAUGGAUGAAACUGCAAAUGAAUCCAUGGUAAUACCAGACAUGACCAUAUUACGAAAUAAGAGGAAGCCAUCCUGGAUUAACCCAUGUUGUGAAUAUCCUGAAAUUAAAGAUGAACAUGACACUGGAUCCAGUUCAGGGAGCCUGUCAUAGACCUGUCUCGCCAACUUUAGUGAGCCACACUUUGAAUACAUGUUUACUAGUGCAGAACCGAGAGGCAUUCCCUUGUCGAUUCCAGCUCUUAGUGUGUACCCAUGUAUCUCUUUACCUCUUGGCAGAGAAGGAAGUGAAGAACACACAGUUAGAACAGCAGCUAGAGUGCUCUCAUCAGGGCUUGUUUCAUCAGCCAACAUCUCCCGGAAUAGUCCAACAGCUUCUCUAAGACAACCAUACUCAUUGAAACCAGAAAUCAUGGAAGUCCAGCAAGCAUUGUCUUUAAAACGUAUCUCCUGGAAUAAUUUAUAUGAUUCUUCCAAACUACCACAUUUGGAAUACAUUGUAAAAAGAGAACUUCCAACAGUGAGAUCAAGGACUAACCCACUUUUAAAGGUGUAACUGUGAACCUGCCUACCUAAAUUCAAACAAUCUAAUACACUAAACAAACUGCAUACACUAAACUCAUCGGGUCUCAAACCUUCCUGAAGCAUUCUAGUAAACAGUUUUAUUGCUUUACUAGGCUUCUUACUUUGCGAAAAUGAAGAGACCAUAACGUUCACUAUAUUUUUCCUCUGAAUGUCGUCCAAAUCCUCAAACACCCGCUCAGAGAGACCAAUAUCUCCACUCUUUGAGUACAUACUAAUCACGGCGGCAGCCACUGAGGAAUCAAAACAGAAACCACUCUUAAAGACCCAAGCAUGUACCUGGCUUGCUUCACAGACCAUAGAAGGUUUACCACAAGCAGAAAUCACGCUAGUUACGGUAUGGCUGUUGAUCUCAGCACCUGAGUAUCUCAUUGCUCUGAAUAUUUCAAGAGCAGAAAUAGCAUCGUUACUCUUUGUGUAACCAGACAGCAUUACUGUCCAAGAGACAACACUAGGGUUGGGGAUACGGGAGAAUACUUCCCUAGCAUCAGCCAUAAGUCCACAUUUGGCAUAUAAAUCAACAAUCGCAGUAGAAACAAAUACAUCUUCUGCUCCGCAUUUAAUCACCUGACCUUGGACAGCUUUUCCAAACAUAAGCUUCUCAAGGGAAGCACACGCAGCCAAAACACUGGAAUACGUAUAACUAUCAGGUUUCUGAAACCCAACACACAUUUCAUGGAAAAGAUCAAAGACAGCACCAUAAUUUUGGGUUCUCAAUGCCCCUGCUAUAAUAGUGUUCCAACAAUACAAAUUAGCAGAUAGAGUAUCACGGAACACCUUAUAAGCAUCCCCAAAUCUGAGAUUCUUCGAGAAUGCGUCUAUCAAAGCCGAUUGAACUACCUCAUACAAGAAAUAACCCAUCUUUAUUGUAUGACAACACACCAGCUCACUGAACAGAGGGGCCUGAAGAGCACUACAAGCCGAAAUCACGGACCCAUAACUAAUCUCAUUAGCCUCAGGACCUAAGGAAUGCAUCUUAGAGAAAAAUCUCAAUGAUUCUGCAAACAAUCGAUGCUGUUUGUAACCAGAGAUCAUAAUAUUACAAGAAACAACAUCUGGUUGGGGAAUUGUAUCGAACAGCUUAGCUGCGUCAGCCAUUGAACCAGAGUUUGAGUAAAAGCUAAGCAAGGAUUUAGUAAGGAAAACAUCAAAAGGCAAAAGAUAUCGUCUAAGCAAAUGGGCUUGCAGAACUCUGGUUGUUCUGAGGUUACAAAACCUAGAAUUUGAUUGAUCAUUAAAGAAUUGAAAAGGAUUAAAAGGAGCUGAAGAAGUGCAAUCUUCGCUGGAAAGAGAUAUCUGGUUUCUGAAAUUGGUAAGGGAAGAUAGCAAUCGUAACGAAGAAAAAGGAGAGAUCUUUAAGGAGUUUAAGCUCUCCUUCGCUAGACAAUUCAUUCUUAGCUCAUGAGUUAGUCUGUAGUUGACAAAGGAAACAAAACAACGGGAAUGAAUGAAAUUUUCAAAAACACAGAUAUAAAUAUAUUAUUAAUAGUCUUUUCAGUCAACAGAAAGUCAAGAUGGCCGAGUUGGUCUAAGGCGCCAGUUUCAGGUACUGGUCCGAAAGGGCGUGGGUUCAAAUCCCACUCUUGACAUUAAAUUUUUAUGUUCACUUUUUCAUUUAGAGUUUUGUUAAUGUUACCAAUCCUAGUUAAUCCCAUGAUUAAUCUACAGAAAUCUUUUUUUUUUUAACUUUUAAAAACGUUUAAUGUGGUGGAGAGAUAAUCACAAAAAAUAUAUAGGAUUCAGUCAAUGAUUUUAUCCAUCUUUUUAUGGUUUUACACUCAUUAGAAUAUAUUAUGGGCAACAAAUUUGUGUCAUUCAUAAACUUAUUGCUUAGUAUAUAAAUAUUAUUAUAAAAAAAAUAUAUAUAUAUAUCAUAUCCUAAUUCGAACAUGAAUAGGAUAUAAUUGAGCUUCCAUAUAAAACCAUCACCAACAUGCCUGAUGCCUCGGCUCAUGCUCUCAAAAUCUCUAUAACAAAAGAACGUAUUGUUAAAUUAUAGUUCUAUCAUGCAUACAACAAGACAUGUGUUACACCAACUUUGAGUACAGUGUCUCUUUACGCCAGGAUUCAACCUCUCCACUUACUGCUGAGCUAACGUGCACUAAAUUCCUUCGCAAAAAAUUCCAUCUCUUCACAGACGAAACACACACGUUGUCUCUACCCGAUCAACCCAUCGAGCUUCAUACCAACUAUAUACCACUGAUCGAACCAAAUUACUCUACAAACACUCAAAUCGUCUUCGGCAUCGUUCGUCAUCCCAACAGAACCACCGUUAUAUCUAGACCAAGCAAGACCAAUGAUUGUUACUCACUAGACUACACCAGAAUCUCAGAUAUCAUGAGCAGCUUCGGCGUCAUCAACAAGCACUGUCGUUCCACUAUCUUGCGCGAGAUCGACAUGGCUGUAAAAUCAUCAUCGAGAGGCAGAGGAGUGGUUGAAAUCAAGAUUUGUAAGGUAAAGACUGAGGUAUAUGAAUUCAACAGAGCUGCAGAGGAGAUGUUGAUCGAGAGCUACCACCCCAAUCCAGCGGCGCCUAGAGUUUACAGUUCAACGAGGAGGGAGCAAGAAUGCGUGAUUUGCAUGCAAGGUUAUUCGAUGGGGUCAAUAGUGACGAAAUUGGCUUGUAACCAUGACUUUCAUGGACUUUGCAUCCACAAGUGGUCGCAAGUAAAUCAUCUCUGUCCUUUGUGUCGAUCGCCAAUUACUAAUAAGGGUGUUCAAUCCGGAUUUAUAUUCUGUUUUGGUUCGCUUUCAGGGUUUUCUCUAUUAUGAGAAAUAGUUAUCAUAUAUACUUUUUUUGCUUUCGAUGGUUUCAACUAACCAUAUAAACAAGGAAUAUCCAUUCAUAUUCCAGAUUAAACUGAUGAAAAUAAUAAUAAUACAACUACAAAUAUAAAUUUUAAAAAUGUAAUCAUCUUGUUGAGAUUAAAGAAAAUAAUUUAAUACUUAUCCAUAAUCAUUAACUUUAUUUUUUCUCAGAUUUACUAAAUUGCUAGUAUAUAUAAACCAGUACUAUAAACAAAACACCAGUUUUACCAAAAAAAAAACAAACAAAACAAAACACCAGCGUCGUUAUCCUCCUCCCCGGAAAGAGAGAGAGAUCAGCGAUGGAUUCCUCUGAUAUUGAGUACACCGUUACUUCUUCCAUGCACGCAAUUUACCCGUUCGCAGCCGAGCUAACGUGCGCGGAAGUCAUCCGCAGAAGGAUUCGUCUCGAAACAGAAACACUCUAUCUUCCCGAUCAAACCAUCGACCAUAAAACAAGCUUUAUCCCCCUAUACGUUCAAAAAGACGUCCUCUGCUUUACUCCUUGUCCCUACGGAACCAUUUAUAUCUCUAAGCCCGUUAGUUUCUCGUUAAAUUGCAGGGGCAUCUCCCAUAUCAUGUGCCGUUUCGGCGAAGCCAAUGACUGCUUCACUAUCUCGCGAGAGAUUGAUGAAGCCCUUGCGCGUGUAUUAUUAAAAGGCAGAGCAGUUACUCAAGUCAAGAUCUGGAAGAUCACUACUAAAGACUACGAAGUCGACGCUGAGUCGGAGAAAUUGCUGACCGAGAGGUGUUGCUCUGUUCCCGCGGAUGAUGAUGAUGAUGAUUCACCAACGAUCAAGUUGCUCCGAUAUAACUUGAAUGGAUCGACGGGAUGUGUAAUUUGCAUGGAUGAGUACGUUGAAGGAUCAGUCGUGGUGAAACUGCCUUGCGAACAUGAUUUUCAUGGAGUUUGUAUCAACCAGUGGUCACAAAUCAAACAACAUUGUCCCUUGUGCCGGUUUCAAAUCUCUCUUUCAUCAUCAUUUUCGUUUUUUCUUUGGAUUUUUGAUUUGUAAAACAAUUAUUAUUUUCUAAAGGGUUUUUGAGCAUAUGUAUAUAACUUGAAAGAUUUAUCUGAUUCUGAUAUUUAAAAAUUCCACCUUUUUAAAAAAAAAAUUGGGUGUGUAUGUGCGUGCGUGUGACCGAUGUCUAUCGUAACGGACCAUUGUCUUUCUCUCCUUACUAGUUGCAAGAGCUUAAGAGCUCUCACUCAAAUCCAUGGCUUCUUUAUCAAAUCCGGCGUCGAUUCCGAUUCUUACUUCAACGGCAAACUUAUCUUACAAUGUGCCAUUUCCGUUCCCGGCGCUUUACCGUACGCUCGACGUCUUUUGUUCUGUUUUCCUGAGCCAGAUGCCUUCAUGUUCAAUACUCUCGUCCGAGGCUACUCUGGAUCCGAUGAACCGCGUAAUGCCGUAUCGGUGUUUGUGGAGAUGAUGAGGAAAGGUUUUGUCUUUCCUGAUAGCUUCUCCUUCGCCUUUGUUGUCAAGGCGACGGCUAAUUUCCGGUCUUUGAGAACCGGAUUUCAGAUGCAUUGUCAAGCUUUGAAGCAUGGGCUUGAGUCACAUUUGUUCGUUGCUACUACCUUGAUCGGUAUGUACGGGGAAUGUGGGUGUGUGGAGUUUGCUCGCAAGGUGUUCGAUGAAAUGCAUCAGCCAAAUUUGGUUGCGUGGAACGCUGUGAUCACUGCCUGUUUCAGGGGAAAUGAUUUUUCGAAAGCUAGGGAAAUCUUCGAUAAUAUGCUGGUAAAGAAUCACACGUCGUGGAACGUCAUGCUUGCUGGGUACACUAAAGCUGGGGAGCUUGAGAGUGCUAAACGGAUCUUCUCGGAAAUGCCUCACAGAGAUGAUGUCUCUUGGAGCACUCUGAUUGUUGGGUUUGCUCACAAUGGGAUUUUCAAUGAUGCUUUCUCGUAUUUCAGGGAGUUGCAACGAGUGGAAAUGAGACCAAACGAAGUAAGUCUGACUGGAGUUCUCUCUGCCUGUUCACAAUCCGGGGCAUUAGAGUUUGGGAAGACGAUACACGGGUUUGUAGAGAAAUCAGGGUAUAGUUGGAUAGUUUCUGUGAACAAUGCGCUUAUUGAUAUGUAUUCUAGGUGCGGUAAUGUCCCAAUGGCCAGGUUAGUCUUUCAAGGUAUGCCAGACAAGAGAAGUGUUGUAUCUUGGACAUCAAUGAUAGCGGGCUUAGCCAUGCAUGGUCAGGGGGAAGAAGCUAUUAGACUAUUCAAUGAGAUGACCAAGUCUGGUGCUACACCAGAUGGGAUAUCAUUCAUUUCGCUUUUGUAUGCUUGCAGUCAUGCUGGACUGAUCAAAGAAGGUGAAGAUUACUUCUCUAAGAUGAAGAGAGUUUACCACAUAGAACCAGCGAUUGAACACUAUGGUUGCAUGGUUGAUUUAUAUGGCCGAUCUGGCAAACUGCAAAAGGCUUACAAUUUUAUAUGUCAAAUGCCAAUUCCGCCAACAGCCAUAGUGUGGCGGACUCUUCUUGGGGCGUGCAGUAGUCAUGGGAAUAUUGAACUGGCAGAGCAAGUAAAACAAAGGCUUAAUGAGCUUGACCCAAAUAACUCGGGGGAUCUUGUUCUUUUGUCGAAUGUUUAUGCUACUGCGGGUAAAUGGAAGGAUGUUGCUUGUAUCAGAAAGUCAAUGAUUGUCCAGAGAAUCAAGAAGACAACUGCUUGGAGCUCAGUUGAAGUUGGCAAAACCAUGUACAUGUUCACUGCAGGCGAGAAAAAGAAGGGAAUCGAUAUAGAGGCUCACGAGAAGCUAAAAGAAAUAAUCUUGAGGCUUAGAAAUGAAGCUGGGUAUGCACCAGAACUAGCAAGUGCUUUAUAUGAUGUAGAAGAGGAAGAAAAGGAGGAUCAAGUGAGUAAACACAGCGAGAAGCUUGCACUUGCAUUUGCUGUAGCUAGAUUGCCUAAAGGAGAAAAUAUCAGGAUAGUGAAAAAUCUUAGAAUCUGCAGAGAUUGUCACGCUGUUAUGAAGCUAACGUCAAAGGUUUAUGGAGUAGAGAUUGUGGUCAGAGACAGAAAUCGCUUCCAUUCAUUCAAGGAUGGUUCUUGCUCAUGCCGUGACUACUGGUGAAAGUUCUGAUAUAAUUGUACAUCAAGCCAAAUAUCAUUUCAUGGUCUAAUUCUUCCAUUAGUGACCUCAUCAAUGGAGAUUUAACUACCAACACAAACUUUCAGAUGUCUCUAUAACUUGAGCUCUUCCAUUUGCGCGGUUUGUGGUUUACAUUGCCUUGAGAUUUGGAUUAUUUUGUCACUUUGCAUUCCUCAUGGCGUACAACGUAUUAUAAGAAAAAGUUUUGGACUGUUAUUGUAAAUGUCCGACAGAUUUUACCAAACUUUGACGAGAAAUAUCAAGCACGUCUUCGUGGUUCCGGUUGCUAAAGUCUCAACCUUUUGAAUCCUUGUUUCCUUCUUUCUCGCUUACCAGAUCUUCGAAACCUUUUGUAUUAUUUCGAUUCCAUGGCUGCUUCAGCUGCAUUCUCCAUAUCAUCACCACCUUUCGUACCCAUUUCCUGCAAAAUCCGCAGACCAUUUCUAUUGCUUACUCCAAAAUACCCCAAACUCGUUUUGGUGAGAGCUUCUGCGCCCUCGAUCUCCAUCGAUGAAAAAUCGCCAGUCCAAACUAAGGUGAGUUUACUAGUAUUUCGUUUUGUAUGAUCGUCUCGCUCUGUAUUGUUCAAUUUAUGGUGACUUGGGGAAGGAAUUAGUAAUUGUAUUAGUCAUAUUGAGAUUUAUCGAGAUUUCUUAGCUCUAGGAUGGCUUUUGAUUCAUAAACUUACUAUACUAUUUUUUAUGUAGAAUUUGAUGAAAGUGAGAUUGGUGUUCUUACUUUAGAAACCAGAAAUGAGAAAAGUUAGGCUCUUUACGGGAUGAUCAUUUGCUUCUGGGCUUUAUUGUAUUGAUACAUUCUGUUUCAGACAAGCAAUUGGCAGUGGAAGUUCAAGGGAAACUCUAUCGGUAUAUACUAUGAGGAGCAUGAAAGGGAGAAGAGUGAAUCAGCUAAGAAUAUCCUAAUGAUACCAACAAUAUCAGAUGUUAGCACGGUUGAGGAGUGGAGAUCUGUGGCUAAAGAUAUUGUGCAGCGUGAUGGGGAAGUCAAUUGGCGAGCAACUAUUGUAGAUUGGCCUGGUCUUGGCUAUUCUGAUCGACCAAAGAUGGAUUAUGACACAGAUGUCAUGGAGAAGUUUGUGGUUGACUUCAUGAACUCACCUGAGAGCCCAAUGAGCCAGUCAGGUUAGUGUGAACCGCUUCUUCUUCUGUUUGGCUUGGAAAUAAUAUUGUUACAAGAGUGAAAAACUACAGUUAUUCUCCAUGGUUUUAGUUCUAGUUCCGCAUAGUUCAAUAUCAAAUCUGUAUUGUAGUUGGUAAUAUCUAUAUUUACUUUGGUGAACAAUUUUGGUUGUACAUGAGCCCGCCCUUGCAGUGUUUAGAGUCCCUUACUCUUAGCUCUUUCUGAAAUUAGGUCUUCUUUAUGGGUCUGAAUGCUUAUAUGAAUUGGGUUCCCAUUGAUCCGCCUUAUUUGCUUCCCCAACUAACUAAAGAGAACAAGCAAUAUCUUAACAUAAGCCAUAUUAAACUGAAACAGGUAAUGAUGAUCUGGUUAUCAUUGGAGGAGGGCAUGCAGCAACACUAGCACUCCGUGCUACCCAACGUGGGCUACUUAAACCAUCAGCCAUUGCUGCUGUCGCACCUACGUGGGCUGGACCCCUUCCUAUUGUCUUUGGCCGUGAUUCUUCCAUGGUGACGAGGUUCGUUGACAUCUUUUCAUGAAAGAGAAAAGAAGAUAAAAGCUUUUCUCUCUUGAUCGCCUGGUUUUUUGUCUCAACAGGUACGGUAUGCUAAGAGGAACUCUAAGAGCACCUGGAGUUGGUUGGAUGAUGUACAACAUGUUGGUGAGCAACGAGAAGUCCAUUGAGUCUCAAUACAAAUCACAUGUUUAUGCAGACCAGAGAAACGUGACCGAUGCCAUAAUCCAAAGCAGAUACGAGUUAACAAAGCAGAAGGGAUCACGCUACGUCCCUGCAGCUUUUCUGACGGGUUUACUCGACCCGGUUUCAUCACAGGACGAAUUUCUUCAACUGUUUGCUGAUUUGGAAGGAAAAUUUCCGAUCAUGGUGAUGUCAACGAAAGGAGCUCCAAAGAGAUCUAAAGCUGAAAUGGAGGUAUUAAGAGGAGCCAAAGGAGUUAGCAAAUUUGUGGAGGUUGAGGGUGCACUCUUACCUCAAGAAGAGUAUCCUUCUCUUGUUGCUCAAGAACUCUACAACUUCUUGCAAGAGACUUUUACUAAAUGUUAGAUAUAUAGAUUAAAGCUCACGCAUACAGACAGACCCAGAAAAUGUGAGCACACUGCACACACUCAUACUAGUGUUACGUUCAUUGUUUGCGGAACUCUUCAGUUAAAAAAGUCUUUCUAUACUUGCUUUUACAAGUUUCAGAUAUCUUUUCAAGUUUUGACUAGCAUGGUUUGUUCAUUGUUGUCUAAUACAGUGCUCUAUAGUCUAUAGGAAUUUACUCCUACUUUAUAUAUUACAAAAAAAAAUACAUCUUAUAUAACAAGUACGAUUUAGGUAACACCGAUUUUGCCUAACAAUUUAUUUAUUUUGGACCAAGCCUCAAAUCAUAUUUAUUUGGUCUCGAAGCUGUUCCUUGAAUCUACUUAUUACUUGGCCUGGAGGAAAAGGAACUCAACGUCACCAGAACUGAUGCGUGAUACUACCAUGGACCGCACGGUAGGCCAGAAAGGACCGUAACUUUCCUACCGGCAAGGAGAAACAGAGCCCAACAGCACCACUUAUGUGAUGUGUGAUAUGUGGAGAGCCCACAUCAUCAACUCACUCCAUGUAAAGUAUUUUUAUUAGUUUCCAGUGGUCCGGAAACAGUGAUUACUGAUAACUAAUACAUUCCUUUGAUUUUAUUCCAUAUUUCGUCAGUUUAUGUAAAUUCGAUUGGAUAAGAAGACAAGAUCACAAAAAAAAAAAAAAAAAAAAAAUCCCAUUCCUACAUUCUCCCACGUGCCACGUAGAUUCAUCACAUGCCACGCAUUUAGCCGACUGGUACUUCUUGGGCCUUAUUUUCAUUAUUUAACGGCCCAAAUUCUAUAUAAACUUACCGGACCCUAUUAUUAUCACUGUCUAACAAUAUACGAAUUUUUCUAAUUUUUUAUAAAGUUUUUUAAAAAUAUAUAUAAAUCAUAUGUAGAUACUAGAUACCGAAUCUACCUAAAAGUAAUCACUAAAAAUUUCUUGUUUUAUUAUGUAAAUAAUAUAAUAAAAUACGCGCACGAUUAUUAUUGUUAGCUUGAUUUUGUUAGUAUUUUCUCUUUAAUAAUUUCCGCAUUAUUUUCUUCUAUGAGUAUUUAUAUAAUACUAGUGAUGGACCCGCACGUACGUGCGAAGUUAUUUUUACAAAAUUACGAUUUUUUAAGUAAAUGUUAUUUCGGUAAAAUUUUGUUAUAUGAGUUUAUUUGAUAAACUAUAUAUAGACAUACAGUUGUAAAAUAUAGAUAUUGUAUUACAUGAUAAAAUUUUAAAAUUACAAUUUUAACAUUUCUUAUAUGAAAAUGAUAAGUGAUAUUACGUGUUUAUUUUUUAAACUAAUCAAAACAUUUCUAACUGUUUUCUUAGAGAUGUUCAAUCGGAUUUGGGUUUGGCUUUAGUUUGAAUUGUGUUAUGUGUAGUUUAGAAUGGAAACCCGUCCUGUUCCUUUCCGUCUCGUCCUGACCUGUCCCGUCCCUUCCCAUCUUCUAUCUGUCAUAAAAUUUUUGUUACAUAAUCGUUUCUUUUUAAAACAUAAUCAUUUGCCAAUGUUUAUUAUAAGAAACUUGGCAAAAGAUUUAGACGGGAUACUCAUAUUCCUCGUUUAAAUAUUUAUUUUUAUCAAACUAAUAAAAAUCUAAUUAUCAAUCUAAGUCACAUGCUCCCACCAUUUUCAUUCACAAUACACUGUCUGUAAUCCUAGNNNNNNNNNNNNNNNNNNNNNNNNNNNNNNNNNNNNNNNNNNNNNNNNNNNNNNNNNNNNNNNNNNNNNNNNNNNNNNNNNNNNNNNNNNNNNNNNNNNNUGAAAGUGAAUUUAACUUUAUGACCGUGUCUCAUAACAAUUAUAUCUAAUCAUGUUUUUUAUGUGAAAUAAUUCAGAUAAUGUUUGUUUCGAAUUAUAUGUUCCCGUCUCGUAUACAUUCCUAUAAGUUUAUAUAUUUUUUAAUAAAUAACACCAUUUACAUGUAACUAAAUAUAAUUUUAAUAUAUGUAAAAUUUCAUAUAAUCGUCCAAAAGUAGAGAUUUAUACGUCCCAAAGUUGAAUUUUGUUCAAUAUUUUGAGAUUUUAAGAAUUAAAUAUAACUACCAAUUUUUUUUUAUUUCAACCGGUUAUCCAAAACUUAUAUAUCAUAUUUGUCAAGGAUAGUUUAAAAUUGUACAUAUAUGUGAGAUAAUGUUUGUAGAUGUUUAUUUAUUAUAUCAUUUAUAUCAUACCAAUUUGACAUUUUAUUUGUUUUCAAUUAGAUUAAAUCAUUAAAAAUAUAAUCCAUUUAUUAGUUAAAAAUUGGUAAUAAGUUGUUAAAAUCAUUUAAAUGUGAUAUAUCCACUUGUUAUUUAGUUUUAAUCUUAAUAGAAAUUCUAUAUGUUUAUAAUCUCAAAAUGUAGUUUAUGAUUUGAUAAAACAAUUAUUUAAUNNNNNNNNNNNNNNNNNNNNNNNNNNNNNNNNNNNNNNNNNNNNNNNNNNNNNNNNNNNNNNNNNNNNNNNNNNNNNNNNNNNNNNNNNNNNNNNNNNNNAAGGUUUAUUUUGUUAAAAUUGUGUGAAAUUAAUAAGAAAAAAGAAGUUUAGAAUAAUCAUUAACUAAAGGUUUGACCAAAUAAAAAUCAUUAACUAAUUGAAUUAAUGAUAAACUUUGUAGAUAUCAUUUGUGCUAUAAUUGCUAGAUUGAUAUUUGAAUAUGAAUAUUUUUAUGUGAAAAUAAGAAAUUUAUGUGAUCUAGAAUGUUUAUUCGCAUGAUUUUAGCAAACAAAUAUUUAAUUAUUGAUUUAGUUAAAUUUUAUUUNNNNNNNNNNNNNNNNNNNNNNNNNNNNNNNNNNNNNNNNNNNNNNNNNNNNNNNNNNNNNNNNNNNNNNNNNNNNNNNNNNNNNNNNNNNNNNNNNNNNAAUUUUUUAAAAUUUGAUGAUAUGAUCAGUUAUGUAUAUAUACUAUGUAGAAUUUGAUUAGUUGAUUAUUUCAUAUGCUAACAUAUUUUUUUAUCUUUUUUUAUUUUUCUAAAAAAAGUUAUCUUUGUUAUUUUAGAUAUGAUGAUUUUGUUUUAUUAGAUUUCAUUCUAUAUAAAUUAUUAAUUUCGAAAUUAUAUUAACAUAAUAAAUUAAUAAUAAAUAUGUUUAUGUAUAUUCAAAAUAUAUUUGUUUACAUAUAUUUAGUUUUGAAUUUAAUUGUCCACUUUUUAUGGUAAAAGAUUAUUAUGAUUUCCAUAAAUAUAUAUUGUUUUUGUUUUUGUUUUGGUUUUUUUUUUUGCUGUCAUUAAUUCUGUUUGGCAACUGGUUUUAUUUUCAUGAAAUGUUUUUUUAAAAUUAUGGGGUGUUUGGCUUUAAGUUGUACUUCCCAAUUAAUAGUAUAGAUGCAGAUGUGGAUCUUGAUUAUGACAUAAUAAUAAUACUAGCCCAACCUACUAAAUUACAAAAUAUGGUCCAUUAGUAUGAGUUUAAAAUAUAUUUUUAUUAUGUGAUUGUGAUUGUGAUUGUGAUUUUGAAUAAAUUCUUGGGCCCAAUUUUAUUGCGUUAAUGGGCCAGAUAUCAAUUCAAUGUUCCAUAACUUACCAGACCCAAAUAUAAAUCACCUUUGCAAUUAUAUUCGAAUUUAUCUACAAUGCGGGGCUGAAUUGUCGUUCUCAAGGACCUCAGCUAAGCUGCUAAUCACAAAAACGUUUUUAAUUAACGUCUCACUCUCAAACAAAAUAAGUUCGUGUACCUUCUCUAUUCAUAUAUUUAUAUCUCUCUCUUUUUUUUUUUUGGUAAAUAAUAGAUGAAAAUUUUGUCUAAUGCUCACGUUUAUCUUAAAGCCCCAUCAGAAAUUAAUUAAACGCAUCAUCCCUAUAAUCUCUUUUUUUGGGUGCCAUCUAAAAUAUCAUGAUCGGAGACUUGAGAUGAGUUUUUUUUUUUUUUUUCUAAAUGUAAUUGUCAUUUCUUGAAUAACCCACAUGGAAAACAAAAUUCCACGUACCACAUGUUUCAUGAAAAAAUAAUAUGAAUCAGUAAUGUAUAUAUGAAGAAAGAAACCCCAAUCAGUUAUGUAGUCAUUUAUAGACUUUGUAAUUCAUAUGAAAAUAUAUAUAUUAGUCCAAACAUUUUUAUACAGAAUUAGUUUGGUAGGCAGCGAGUUAUGGCGCCGGGUAUCAAAAAAAUUUUGUUAGACAUGUUGUUAUGGCCCUUAUGAGUAUCAAAUCUUCAUAUCAAAUCACUAUUUAAUUUUCUGUUUGAUUCUUACGUACCCUCUCUGUAACCGCACAUAUACAUUUCGCACACUAUAAAUUUACCAACUACCCAUCCAAAAAUAUGUCACUGGUGAAAAAUAUAUGCCUGCGUCUAGCGAAUCUAGCUAGUCAUCUAGACGACGCAACUAAGCUUUAUUCAAAGUAUAAGUAGAAGUGUAUAGAACAAUACGUACGUUUUCACACCUUGAUCGAUGUUGGUGAUUACCAUACCACUGGGUUUUGAAGAUGGAAUCGGUGAUUUAACAAUUGUUGAUCGCAUAACUUUAAAUAUCAAUAAACUAAACUGUCAUGUGGGUACCAACUAGCCGACAAAUGAUGAAAGAAACUAGCUUGUGUAAUAAAACACAAGCCAAUAGGCAAUAAGGAAGGUAGCAAUUAAUAACCAGCAUUGUUAUUGAUGUAGUUUGUUAUACAAUCGAAAAGAUCACUUGGUGUCACUUCUUUUCUUUUCUUUUCUUGCCUUGCUUAUAAAUGAUGUAAAAAAGUUAUACACAUCACUUACGAAAAUGAUUAUGCAAUUUUUUUGAAUCAAUUGUUUUAAACUUCUUAUCCUUUAUGGUUACUUAAUUGAUGUUAGAAUGUGACGACGAUAAAAGAAAUAUGAUGUUUAACGACAUGCACCAUAUGUAUAAUGGCUUUGCUAGAAUAGUUCACACGCUUUUAUGAUCAGUGUUAAAAGUUAAAUUUAAACUGUGCAUUGGUAAAAGUGUGGUGCAUGCAGUCAAAAUAAUAGUAAAAACCAACUAUCAUCAGUGAUUUCAACUUAAUUAAAAUAAAGUAUAAAUUGAAAUAGCUAGAAAAUCAACUCUAUCCACAUAAAAUUUCUAUAUACACGUACUUAAAUUACUAGGGUUUACAUUCUCUCUUUUUUUUUUUGUCGGUAUUACACACCUAUCUCUAUCUUGGACCUGUUUUGGUAUCUAACAAGAGUUAAAAUAGUAGCGAUCAAAACAACGUGUAAUAUCUGCGAUAUUGUAUCAAAAUUGUGUAUUCUAUUAUAUAUACAUAUAGACUUGUAUUUUUUUUUUUUUGUUCUCGAGCUAUUAACAUGUGAGAAUAGCCGACAACUGUAGGAGCUAUAGGGUGAUAAUGCAAUUAAAUAGAGUAGGUUGAUUUACAAUUAAGGGCAUAAAUCCAUCGUUUUCAUUUCUUUGAUCGUACAUUUAAUCUAGAGCUUCCACGUGUGCGCAACACAUCUUAUGCCAUCAUCACUCAUUAACUUAAGUACUCCAUAUCGAAAUCUGCUACUAGCUAAAAAAAGUCUCAACAAUGUUCGUUCACUCGCGAGUCGGCUCUUGUAGACUUGUAGUUAUAAUAUACAGUAGUCACUACAAAAAAAAGGUUGUAUAACAUCAUUUAUUUUUAAUAUUUGUAUUAGUUAUAAAUGAUGCAAAAAUCUUUUGCAUCGCUUUAACAAAUGAUUUUAAAUGUGUUGAUGCAAAUAAUUUACAUCAUUUAGUUGAUAACCGAUGCCAAUAUACAAAAUAUUUACAUCAAUUAAUAUAAUUGAUAUGAAUAUAUGUCAUUUUUAAAAAAUGAUGUUAAUUGUUACGUCAAUUUAAUUAAGUGAUGAUAGUAUUAGUGUCGAUUAAAAUAACUGAUGUAAAUUAUUUAUAUCAAUUAGAAAACUGUCGAUGCCAUAAUUAACAUAAUUAAUUCAAAAUAAAUAAAUCUCAUUUUUAAUAUAUUUCGAAUUAUGAUUCAUUUGUAAUUAUUUUUAAUAUAGCAAGAUACUCUCCUAAAAUUACUCGUUGCAAUAUCUAUUUAAAUCUUAUUAUGUUUUUAUAAAUGACAUCAAAUGAGCAAUAAAUCUUUGUUUACAACCGAAAAAUCACAAUUGGGUUUUGAUCUUAGUUUCUUCAUCUUCUUUCUUUUACAUGCUUUUUGCUUACAUUUUUUUUCCUUCUUGAAAACUUCAAUUCUUAUUAUAUGCCAUCUAUCUGCCAUAAGUGAAAUAAAGAUCAUGAUUUAGUUAUGACUUGCAAUCCAUUGAAUCAUCAUAGAAAUUUUGCUCUAUAAAAAUUUUGAUUUAAAAAAACUAAAACAAUAAUUGUAUGAAAAUUUAUAGAAAGUUUUGGUUAGAAUCAGAAUAACCAAGUAUAUUUAACAUAAAUUAAGUGAUGGAGUACCUUUAUUUUACGUUUUCCAAGCUUUACAGAAAAACACACACUCAAUAUUUUCAGUUCUCACAGUUUUUNNNNNNNNNNNNNNNNNNNNNNNNNNNNNNNNNNNNNNNNNNNNNNNNNNNNNNNNNNNNNNNNNNNNNNNNNNNNNNNNNNNNNNNNNNNNNNNNNNNNNNNNNNNNNNNNNNNNNNNNNNNNNNNNNNNNNNNNNNNNNNNNNNNNNNNNNNNNNNNNNNNNNNNNNNNNNNNAUUCAUUGUUGAUUUUGAAGAAAAAUCGAAAUUAAUUAUAAAAGAUAAAUCGAAUAUGGUUAUUUCAUUUCAAUUAGUUUCUAAUAAUUAAAAUAAAAUUCAACUAGUUUUUUAAUAAUUAAAAUAUAUAAAUUUAGCAUCACAUUUAAUUGAUGUAAAUUUUAUAUCAUUUUAAAAAGUGAUGUUAAUAAAAUUACGUGAAUACAUCGGUUAUCUUAAUUGAUUUAAAUAUAUAUUCUGAAUCAAUUUUUCUAAGUGAUGCAAACUGGUACAAAUUUGUAUCAAUUUUAAUGAACUGAUUUUAAAUAAAUUAAUUAACACAUCAUUUAUUACAUUUGAUGUUAAAUUAUUUAUUUUGUGUCAUUUGCUAAUAAGUAAUUUAAACUACUAUCAUUUAUAUUUUUGAUGCUAUUUAAUUGAUGAAAGAUAAGCCUUUUUUUGUAGUGAGUAUGUAAUAUAUGACUUGGUCUUAAAGUCUUAGCUAAAAGGGCCACAAAAGUAUACGUACUUACCCAUUAUUUAGGCAUAAUAUAUACUCCUAAUUGGAGAAUUAAGACGUACGUGUUCUGUAACAUUUCUAAAACUGGGGUGCACAUCUAUCGAUAAAUGUAUAUACGUAGCUAUCGUUCGUUAAAAGAAUAUGGCUUAUAAUAGUUUAUAUAUUCCGUGGAUAUGAUUUAUUUGGGAUAAAGUUUAUGAUGUUAACACAAUCUUCAAGUGUGAACUAACUAACUAUUGAUUUUCAUUGUUGUGUGGCUGUAGGAUUGGAUACUCCAACUACCAAAAUUUUGCAAGAAAUAAUAUAACUUAAACGUACAUUUAUUUCGUCAUAAAUCAAAUGAUAUGUGUAUAUUAAGAAGUGAAUCAUUGAAGCGAGGGAAAAAAACGCAUUUAUAUUUAUACAUGCAUAGAAGUAGACGAUAGGAAAACAAUUGAAAUAUAUAAUUGGACUAUUAGAGUACAAGACACAUAUUUAAACUCUCAAUCUUCAAAUAGCUUGGCUUGCUAAUAAUAAAAUAAUAACCAAAUUAUUUGGUGUGUUAUUUUAGAACUUGGCUUGGUUUUUUUUCUUUUUGGAUAUUUUAACUGGAUUAACCUAUGAUAAACCUAUUUUUAUUUUUAUUUGUUGAGGAAUGAUAAUCGUUACCAGUGCCAGAAAGACAUCCAACAUUAUUUUUUUUAAAUGUAAAAUUGAAAAAAAAAUUGCAUCUUCAACGACACUAUUUCAUCAUCAGAACACCAAAACAAUAUUCCCAAAAUGGAAAUAAAAUUAUAACGAGAAAUUUUCAAAAAAAAUUGAAAACAAAACAGAUUAAUUAACUAACUUAUAAGUUAUAACCAAUAUAUAUUCUAUAUUUGUGCAGUGUUUUGAACUAUUGUAACUUUAAAAGUUACAAAACAAUAAAUUACAUUCUUUUGCUGUGAUUAUAGUCAAGGUUGCUCUUUCUAAAUGCACUGAAUAGCAAAAAAAAAAUAUAGAUUUUUCUAUAUGCCUUAUAGGUAGUAAUCUAGAUUUUAGUCCAAAAUUAUUCCUUAAUUACUGAAAAUUGUAAAAAUAAUAAUAAUAAGAAAAAAAAUAUGAUAAGUAGAAAUGACGGUUUUAAAUGAAAAUUUAAAAUGUUAAAAAAUUUAACCAUAAAUUCAAUAUUUAAUUUUGAUAGAUGGACUUGACAUCGAAUAACGUAGUACUAGAAAAUGUCAUUUGAAAGUGGAUUAGACUCUUUUUUUUCUUCUCUUUAAUAAUUAACGUGGAUCAGAUUUUUCGAUAUAUUUAAAAGUAUACGUGGACGUUAUUAUGCCAAUCAUUAGGGAAACAUCCAACAAAAUAAAUUUAAUUAAAGUGAAAAAUACGUGAACUAGAUCUAGAUUUGAUAGGGUUUCUUUUAAAGGAUAUUUCAAAUGAGUAAAUGCUAUUUCUGAUCAUUAUUCAAAUGUUUUGGUAGACUAAUAUUAAUCGUAACUUUUCUUAAUUUUAUCAAAUACACAUAAUGUUGUAACACCGUCAUCUUUGUUACGACAUGAAUACAGCUGUCGCCUGUCGAUUAACGCUAUUAAUAACACUAUAGAGCAUGCCCAAUUUUAAUAAGACGUAAAGCUAUAUAGUAUAUAAUAUAUGAUAUGGAGUAUAUGUUUGGGUUAAUUAAUAGUAGUAUUUAUCAGGUCGUAUCACAUCGUGUUUCAUAUUUUAUUACGUUUCUUUAUAUAACUGGAUUAUCUGAAUAUAAGGUUCGAUUGCUGAUGAUGACACAAGCCGGUUAAACAAACGAAUUAUAUAGUUGUUAAUUAAAGAUUUAUAAAAACUGUAAAAAAUAAUGGUUUAAUUAUAAUUUUGAUUGGUAAAAGUUUUAUAGUACAAUUAAAAAAUGGUAACGGUGAUUCGGUGAAUGAUAUUCAAAUUAAUACUAUUAUUAAAUAGUUAGAAAGAACAUUUCAAACAUCUUCAGUGGCACUUUAAAUUAUACGAAAAAUAUGUUAGUUCUAGGGGCAAAUUUGCUCAUUUCGUCUGAUUUCUCUAGUUCAAUCUUCCAUCUGAUCUUUAUCUGUUAUAAACAUUGAUUUGAACUAUGAGAGAGUGAUAGAACUAUAUAUAGAAAGACUCGACUUGUAAUCUUUUUAAUUUGAUAAGGAGAAUCUGCGCGAAACAUUUGCCAAGAUGUUAUAUGGAAGGUAUCUUUAAAUAUAUAUACAAAAAAAAAGAUUUUUAAAAAAAGAAAAAAAAAACGUUUGGCAAGAUGGCUGGAUUUGGCACCGAACUUAAUUAUGAGCGAUAGUGCAUACUUGUUCUUCUUAUUUUUUUUUUGGUUCGUACGUGUGAAUAUCAAAAACCUAAAUUCUAAUGAUCUAUAGUCUAUAGUGAAUCUUUAGAGUCAAGAAAAAAAAGAAGGGGUGAUUGUGAUUCCUCAACACUAAGCAUAUAGAAGAAUCUCACUCUCACCUACAUAAUCGGUAUAUACUAAAUACUCGUAAUUGCAGAGCCAACCCUUUUGAUUAGUAUUGCCACGUUCCUGAAUUGAAGGGCUGACUUCUUUUUGAACAAGCAAACCAAAAUGAGUAAAUGCUCUUUGCUGUCUCUAUUGACUGACUCUAUUCCCCCCCUCCCUUUUUUUUUUGAUAUAAAUGUGAAUAUCAUUAAAAUAUGAAGGUUUAGGAAUUACAGAGGUAAAACCUAAAGAAUGCAGCCUUGCCAAAAAAAGAUAAAAAACAAGGUUACAAGCUAGUGCUGGAGUCAACAACACACAAAAAGAUUAUUUGAUCCAAAGGAUCAUCAAAUUUCUGAACUGCUUUCUAGAUCUUCUAGCGGUGAUAGUGUUUCUAAUCUCCCCUCCCUUUAAUCUAAGGCUUUCUUUUUCUGUUCGGGUUCAGCAUCCACGUUCAGUAAUUAUGUUUUAUACUGUAUAAUAUUUAUUUAUUGCGGUUAACUUUAUGAUAGUUCAUAUGUAAGCGUUUCAGACAGUCUUUUAUGGGUCAGAUCAAAAGUCAAAUUAAUGUUUGCAUAUAUGUUUAUAUGUUAAUAAGACAAAAGAAAUCAAUUAAGUUUUACAAAAGAAAAGAUAAAAUUGUCAUUCAAGCGCUAAUAGUGCUCCUCGCUGUUUAAAUAUGUGUGUAUGCCUUUAUUUCAAUGCAUAUAGAUCCAAAGAACAACCCACAUAACUCCUCCAUAAGACUUAGACGCUUGUCUUUCUCUCUUCAACACCCAAAGUCUUUUAAGUGUAUAUCCUCUCUUCUUAUAACCAGCCACAAAAAAAAAAAAAGAGAGAUUAAAAGAGAAAGGUUAAAAGAAAGAUCAGGAAGAUUCUUUCAAGUCCAAAAAAGUGAGAUUUUGAGAACACCCUCUUUGCAACAAAAAAUCCUAUCUUAAAGUCUAACUAGUUACUGUCCCUAGCUUCCACACACUACUAUACCAAAAAUCCAAUCUUAGAUCGUCUUACUGCGUCGAUGUAUAUACUAUACGGAGAAAAAAAAAAAAAAAAUUAAAGAAAAGGAAAACACAUAUAGGAGACGAUCAAGAACGUGUGUGUGAAUAUGGGUAGACCACCGUGUUGUGAGAAGAUCGAGGUGAAGAAAGGACCAUGGACUCCCGAAGAAGACAUAAUCUUGGUCUCUUAUAUUCAACAACACGGCCCUGGAAACUGGAGAUCUGUUCCGACAAACACCGGUCUUGAUCUUUCUUUUCACUUUCUUUCUUCUUCACGUUAGUUAUAUAUUAUGUAUUCCUUAAUAUAUAAAAAUGUAUGUUUGAACAGGUUUGCUAAGGUGUAGCAAGAGUUGUAGACUCAGAUGGACUAAUUAUCUUCGUCCUGGGAUCAGACGAGGAAAUUUCACUCCAUCCGAAGAGAAGAUGAUCAUCCAUCUCCAAGCUCUUUUGGGUAAUAGGUACAUGAUCAUACACUUCUUUAUUCCUCCUUUACGUAUAUACAAACAUGAUACACCCCUUGAUCAUCUCCAAUAAUAUCUGUGUUUGUCCCAUCUCCCCUAAUCUCCUAAUAAUAUUAUUAAGAUAGAAUUUACAUUCGUUUAUUAAUGAGUGUUUUUGUUAUUUUUUUUUAUCUUGACUUAAUCUUUCUUUAACAAUCAGAUGGGCAGCUAUAGCAUCAUAUCUACCUCAGAGGACCGACAAUGAUAUCAAGAACUUUUGGAACACGCAUCUUAAAAAGAAACUCGUGACGACGAAGCUUCAAAACGGUUUCAUCAACGAAGACAAAACUAAUAUGGCGACAGAGAUUUCAUCUUGUAAUAACAACAACAAUAGAUGUAAUCACAACAAAAGGAUCACCAACAAAGGACAAUGGGAGAAAAAGCUUCAAACAGACAUCAACAUGGCCAAACAAGCCUUAUUCCAAGCCUUAUCACUUGACCAACCAUCUUCAUCGAUCCCUCUCGAUCCGGACGACUCACCAAAAUCUAAUCAUCAUUCUGCCACUGAUACGUAUGCCUCAAAUACAGAGAACAUCUCUAAGUUACUUCAGAACUGGACAAGCUCAACAUCUUCAAGGCCCAACACUUCAUCACUAUCCAUUAAUAGGAGCUCAAGCACAGGUGAAGAAGGAGUUUUUGAUCAUCACUCUUUGUUCUCGUCGAACUCAGAAUCUGGAUCAGUUGAUGAGAAGCUGAAUUUGAUGCCGGAGACAAGUAUGCUCCAAGGUGAGAGCAAGACAAGCAUAGACAUGGAAGCUACUGCUGAUAACCAAGGCUCGUUGUCUUUGAUCGAGAAAUGGUUGUUUGAUGAUCAAGGCUUGGUUCAGUGUGGUGAUAAUCAAGAAGGUAUCAUCGAUGUGUCUUUAGAGGGUGAGAAGAAUGACAACAACAGUCCAGAUUUGUUCUAAGAAAAUAAUACAUGAAUUAAGCAACUGUAUAGGUUUACUUCUUUUUCUUUCUUUUGUCUGUUCGCUAUGAUUGUUAGUUACAUAUUAUUUUACAGUGUGGCUUGCUUCUUAUCAAGUCGAUGAAGAUAAAAACUGUUACUAUAUGAAAGUAAAGUUUAUUUAAUUAAUGUAGUACUUCAAUAAACAAAUCUAUAUAUAAAGUUUUUUUUUUUUUUUUUAAAGACUACGAGCAUUAAAUGACGUUUAUGCAUGCAUGUUACCUACAAAAUUGGCUAAUCAUCAUUAAAGAUAAGCAAACAUCACUCACAUAGAUAAUACAAUACAGUAUAAUAUGACUUCUUUUGGUCUUCCUAGAAUAGGAAUUGGUGAUAACAAACAACAAUUGAGUAUGACUUAAAGUAGAACAUAAUAAAUCCUUAGUUAUCUGUAUAACUAACCUUAUCAAUCUCACAAUGUAAAUCAAUUAUUGUAGUUAUUUGUAGUUUUUAUCCAAUUAAAAAGAUGGAGAGACAUUUGUAAUAGAGUUGAUUCGCCGCCAUAUGAAAUACAGUUUUUACAUUAAAGAGGAAAGGAUAUAGUAGUCUAGACAAAUCUCACUUCCUUUAGUUAUGAUCGUAUUCGUAUGCAUGGUUUAAUUUUUGUCAUAAAAGUUAAGCUGUUAUCAUAAUUAAUUUCUGUUAGAAUCAAAUUGCUAUUUGAUCUAGUCUUUUGUUUUUAUUUAGUAUAUGUAGUCUUCUGAAAUAAAUGAUUAUUUUUUUUUUUCUUUUCUUCACAAUAUCGAAUUUAAUCGACUGGCGAUUGGCGAACCGCAAACUCGUAAUCAUAUAAAAUUUAUAAAUCAUCGUAGCAUGUUUGUCUAACCUGUUUGUUUACGAUCUGGUACGUUUAUUCAAGCCCAUUUAAACUAAUGGGCCUCUCCAUUGUCCAAUACUAUUUUACUUCUACAAGUCCUUUUUUGGUUUUUUAUGGUUUAGCUGUUUAGGUAUGGUGUCCAUCUCAUGCACAAGAAUACAAGAUGCGUUGAUCUACAUGCACAAGUAUAUUUUAUCAUAAACUUUUCGUAUAACAGUCUGUUUUGUAUAUUAAUUCUAAUAAUGUAAAACAUAAAAUGUUGCAAAUUUCAUAUGGAAAGUUAGAUGUGACCUAAAAUAACAUUUUGAAAACGUAUAUCGAUCAAACUGAUUAAUUUUUUUGAUAAAAAAAAACUCAUCAAACUCACCAGAAAAAAAAAAAACAUGAAUUGAAUUAGAUGAUUAGCUGAGUAGUUUCAAGUAGCAUAAACUGAGUGCUUGUCUAAACUUAACGGAUUGGCUUAUAGGUACGAAGAUUAUCAUGAAUAUUGAUACUUAGAUAUAUGUAUAAGUACAGUUUAUACUAAUUAAGUACAUACUGUACUUAUACAAAUAUCUAAGUAUCAAUAUUCAUGAUAAAGAUCUAUUACCUAUAGUAGAGUAAACUGAAUAUAUCUAAUACUGCAUUUGAAUUAACAUAUCUCUCUAUCUCGCUCUCUUUUUUUGUCAUCGAUCGAUAACUUUGAUAGUAUUAUAGUAUGUAUACGCAUACGACACUGCGCAUGCAUGCUUUGAUCACGAUUAGAAUAGUUAUUUUUGGAAAGGGGAUGAGAAGAAAAAGAAAAUUAGGAAAGAAGAAGAGUGUGAAUCAGAGGAUUAAAAGGACAGAAGCAUGUGAGAUUACAAGGGCGGGCCUUUGGAAAUCACAUCGAUCCCAUGUAUCAAAAGGAAAGGAACUCUCAUCUUCACUUUCAAUCAUUUUCUCAAACCCAUCUCUCCAUUGUUAGAUAAGCCAAAGAUUUCUUUUCGCUGUCUUGGUCCACGUGUUUUGUUCAUUUUUGGUCCCUUCUUUUUUAUUCUUCUACAGGGAUUUAUUUUAAAUAAAUUAUUUCUUACAAAAUAUAUAAUAUAAUUGCCUUGUCAUUCCACUAUAUAUAUCAUGACCCCUUUUUAAUAUUGUAACAAUUCUUUUGAUUCAUUUAGUAAGGAGUUAUUUCUCUAGUACAUCAUCUUCUUAGUUUGUAAGUCGCACAUAAAGAUGUGUCCAAGAAGUUAAACUCUACAUUCGAACAAGUGCAUGUUUUGAUGAAAUUUAUAUAAAGAAAAGUCAUAUACCAUGGGCUUUAUUGAAUGGCCCCUAGCUAGGGCUUUUCACGUCGCUCUAUUACAAAACAAAAACAAAAAGAAUUCCUUGAUAAUAAUCAUAGUAAUUAGUGGGUGUGGGUCUUCUAAAACUUGCACACUUACGAAAGAGCCAAUCGUCAACAACAAUAAAAAUGUAGUUUUGUUCACCUUCACCCCAUAUAAAACCAAUUUGACUUGUUUUAGAAAAAUAUAAAUAUUGUCAUUGGUUUUGAGUGUCGAUUGAUUUGCCAAUAAUGGGCCUUCACCGAUUUCAACUUCAAGCUCUCUCUCUCCGACAAUUACAUGCCACCUAAUUGAAAAGAUGUUCCGAUUUUUAUAAAAACUUUGAAAAUCUUUUUACGAUCAUAAUGUUUAAUCUUCUCUAAUUUAGUUUUACACACUUCACGUUUUACGCUCGAGAAGAAACAAGAAAGAGAUUGAAGUUUAUGUAACAAUGUCUUGAGAAUUAUUUACUCUACAUUGCGAAUGAUUAGAAAUUUGUUGACUGGCGAAACGCGAACUUUCUUGCGGAAAUGUAUUAUUUGCGCAAUACAUUUUUCAAAGUGCCCACUAUAAAGAUGUGAUAUAAUUUGGUAAUGUUGCAUGUUUCUUUACCUAGCGGAGUCAUUUAAAUAUACGUGUCACGGUUUCAAUACAUUACUAAAAACUAAGUACAGUUCAGAACUUCUGGAGAUUCACAAUAUGCUUAAGUUUAAAAAGUUGGAAUAGAAAAUAUAUAAAGUUCUUUUCGUUUUGAAACGAUAAUAAUAAUAAUAAUUAAAACUACAGUGGUCUUUUCCAACAAAUUCGAGUGGCCACUUAGAUGAUGGCAAAAGCAGCCAAUACACCAUUUUUUAAUCACAAAACCAAAUCUUUUCCCAUGGCCAUAUAUUAACACUUAUUUAAUUGUAGUUGCUUCAGCCACUUCUUUUGAUUCUACUCCUAUAUAUUAUAGAUUUUUAAAAGAAAUAAGUAGACAAAAAACCAUUAACCUAGACGAUAAGAAAACAUGAUUCGAUAUGUGUGGGCCGUUCGUGGUAUCAAAGAAAUCGCGUACAUAAUUAUACAAAUAAAAUUUAUUGCUUUCAUACACACGCAAUAUAUGUAUGAUUAUUUGAUAAAUGGAAUUAGAUUCAAGAAGCCAGGCCAAAUAUACAAACGGAAUUAGAUUCAACUAUAUAUAUAUUUAUAUAUCUUCGAGAUAAAUAUCUAAUUUAUCAGGCUACGUCCACAUAUUCCUACUAAAUCAGUAUCUUAUUACUGGUCGUAUGAUUGCAAAUAUCAUUUGUUUUGUUGAAAGAAAAGAAGUAAGACGAUUCUUAAUUACUGAGGUUUACUAACAUUUCGUGAAACUUAAUUAUAUAUAAAUUCUACAUAUGUUUAAGGGAUCAGAGGUUCAAUGUCCAAAGAAAAGAGAGGGCUACAAAUGUAUUGGAACUUGUAUUCGAGUUUUAGACAGAACAAAAUAAGUUGUAUAGUCUUUUAACAAAGAUGCCUAGCUCCUAUACAAAUGAUCUCAUACAAGAAGAUGGAAGAAUGGUCAUCGAUACUUUAACAAAAAUAAAAUAAAUUGGUCAAUAUAUAUCGUGAUAGGUAAUUAAAGAUCAUAUCCUUCUUUUACUGCGUCUCUCAUCUUAAACUCAACUUGUUGAAGAAAAAAAAAUUCCACUAUCAUUCCCCAAAUUAAAUUUGAACCAAAAAAAUGUGAAAAUAGUUUCACAAUCCUUUAGUUUUUAAUCAGCAUAUACAAAUAUUUCGUCAAGCUAGCUCAUUUUUUGUAAAAAAAAAAAAAAAGACGAUGUAAAUUAAAAAUAAACUAUUGUUUACACAUCACACAAACAGAAGUAUACAAUAUGUCAAACCAGCAAGCUAUAUUUGUAAAUACAUAUAUAGAUAUAUAGAUGGGCGGUAUGUGAGCUGUUUGAUAUACACAUCAAUAUUCAUAUACAAAUAUCCUCUAAUAAAAUCCAUCUUUAAAAAUCAAUCGAUCAAUCCAAUCCAAACCAGAAAAAAAGAAAAAGAAAAAGGAAAGUAAAAAAUCCUCUGGAAACAAAAAAAAAUUCAAGCGUCAGGUGGAGAAUACUCACAAACAACCUCCGUAUCAACUUCCUUCCGGUGAAAAUUCCGGUGACAACCACAAGCGGCGCAUCUCAAAGCAUCGACGGUUCCUUCAACCCCGGCGGCCAUGAACUCACGGCAACCGUCGACGGCGUAACCUCCGAUGUUAGCAGCGUGGUUCUUCUGGCACUCGACGUAGCGGACGUUACUGAUGGCCGAGGAAGAAGAAGAAGAAGAAGUGGUAGUCCAAGAGGAAGAUGUGUUGGAGUUUCUUGAUCUCUGCUUGAUUACCAUCUGUCUCUUCUUCAUCUGUAGAAACCCUAGCUACUUUUAUUUAUCCCUCAAGUUGCAACUUGCAAGUGGCUCUUUGGGUCAUACGAAAGACUCUUUAUCAAAACGAAGUGAAGAAGAGACUAGAGAAGGGUGUGGACUAGCUUCUAACUUGUGAAUGCCCCUUUGUGCCCCUUUUUAUAAAAAAAUAGCUACAUUAUGCUGACUGUUUGUAAUCUAUCUAACCCUAGAGGAUUUUUAUUUUAUAUAUAUAUACCUACGGACUCGACAAAGUGACUUAAAAUAUGGGCUACUUUUUUUACAUAAUUGAUCUUUUUUCGUCUCCCUAUAUAGUCAUUUGCUGUAGUGUUUUAAAAUUAUAUUUAUGCAUACGACUAAAAAGCUAAUUUGUUUUUUUUUGAAGGGGGUUUUAAUAAGAAUCCGGAUAAAUUAUAACAUGUUUGAAAUAAUUGAUAUGUACACUAUAUGUAUAUUUAGUGAAGAUAUAAUUUAGAAUGAAAUAAAUGAAUAUGUAUGUGUGUGGUGAAAUGUACAGUAUAAUUAUUAAAAAAAGAUGGGGGGAUAUUGUCUCUCUGUCGAUAAAACGAUAUUCAUUCUCUUCCAUUAUUUCACGUAUUGUCAUAUUCAAACGCGACAUAAGAGUAUAGAAAAUUUAUUAUUCUCUUCCAUUAUAUAGCAUAUGGUCUUCGUGGUCUCAGAUCGGUAAUAGAAUUACGAGUGACAUGAUGAAAUAAUUAUCUUUUUUGGUUGAAAGAAGAAAGUAUCGGAGAAAAAAAUCAGUAGCCAGCCUUAUUUUACCGUCGAGAUCAUGUGCAUUGCAUUAUGUAUACACGAUGAUUUGUUUAUACAGAGAACAUAAUAAAAUAAAUUUUUUUUUUUUGAGUCAAUAAAUUAAUUGCGAAUCCGACUCAGUCCAACGGACCUGCUCCCACAAGCAAAGGGACAAUGACAGGUUAAUAUUGGAAUGCAAUCUCAUGAUCACUUUUUUUUAUACUAUUCCAAACUUCUUAUAUACAUUUAUGUUAGAGUUGCAACUUUUUUUUUUUUGUAUUAUCCAUUAUAUUAAUUUGAACUCAAAUGGCAUAUACAAUCCAUUAGUAUAUUUGUGCCAGUAUGAUAAAUAAAAAGCUUAGAAUUUGACACAACGAUACGUCUUUCAUACUUAUUUCUUUUUCAUGUGCCCACCUUGAAUAUUGCAAAAGAAAAAAAAUGGAAAAUAAAACUAUUCAAUAAAAAAUGAAUGAAACACGUAGCUUCCUUCGAUAUUAUAAGAGUACAAAUUAAAAAUGAAAAAGGAAGAUUUUGAUGACAAAUUUCAAAAGAAAAAGCAAAUGAAUUGACAGUAUUAUAUGUUUUCUAAUUGGAUUUUAAUAUACUGACUAAUUAGUCAAAUUGACUUCUUUACACGUGAAAUCAGCAAAACAUAGGCCCCGCUCUUUAUACACACAAAAGUCUCGACGACCAUAUAUCGUCCCACUCUUUUUUUAAUUCCCGUCGCUCAUAAUAAGAAAUUAACUUCUUUUUUUUUUUGGGUUUAUAGAAAUUAACUUUCUUAACUGUUGUAUGUAACCAAAAUAAAAUAAAAUAAAUAAUUAUUGCAUGUAUAAAUUAGAUAGGUAGUGUGUAAAUGGUAUUCUCUCUAUCAGGUCAAAAUAUCUAUAUACUAUAGGAAUUAUUAUAGGAUACAUCAAUAUUUAAUUUACAACGAAAACAACUCAACGAGUUUUUUUUUUCCUGACCACAAGAACUUUUCAUAAUGUAGGAAAAAGUAUCUUAACUUAAUAUAAAAAAAUUAUAGAUUCGAAUAUAGUGGCACUGAAGAAUGUGUAUUGCGUUUGGUGCUACACAAUAAUGCAAUGUAUAUGUACUAUUUUAAUACCAAAAAAUGCAAAUGCAAUUUAUUUUUACUCGUUACAUGCACAUGCAAAUACAAUUUAUUUUUACUCGUUACAUGCAAAUGCAAUGUAUAUGUACUAUUUUGAUACCAAAAAAUGUAAUUUAAUUACUUUUAUUAUACAUAACCAAUUAAAACGAAAAUAUACAGUGUAGUGACGAGUAAAAAAAAAGACAUUAGCGGAGGGUUUAACUAGUGAUUGCUUUGUCUUUGUGCCACAUCGACCAAGAAGAAAAACACAACAACCAUUUGGAUUAGGAAAAUGUCAUAAUUUGACGAUUAUACUAUAGAAAAAACAUAAUUAAGGUAUCCAAAAGCCAAAAAUCACGCAAGAAUGUCACGAAGUUGAUUGUCAAAUGAAUUGAAAAAGUAAGUGACUUCUUAAUGAAAUCUUUGACGACUACGAUGCCUUUUAAUUAUAUUUCUUUAGCUAGUUAACUCGGUUUAUUAGUCAGUAUCUAUCGUACUGUAGAGUUAAAAUUUCAUUAAUAAGAAAAUAAUCCAAAAAGUGGAAUUAGGUCUGCUUUUUAAUAAUAUUUUUAAAAGGGAUCGUAGUAACAUAUAAAAAUACAAUUAAGAACAAACAGAGAGAGAGAGAAAAGGGAAAGAUUAUUGAAAGGACUCUUUGUUUCUCACCAACCGUGCCCCUACUCGUGAAUUUCAUAAUUCACAUCAUCAACCCUCUAAUAAAAUCGACUUAAUUAAUUAUGUAUGUUUUAAAUAUAUAUAAGUCACAGUCACUAUGUUGUCUUUGCGUCAUUAAUUUUUUGAUCAGUAUCAGAGUGAGACUAGUUAAUUAUUAUGAUCCACAUUUUCUUUUAUAUCAAAACUAGCAGGCAGCAAUGAGAAAUCAGAAGAAUAAAAACGACCAAUACGAGAGAGAGAGAGAGGGACACCCAAAUGAUUAUUAAACAAUUGACUACGGUUAAUUAAAAAAAAAAAACUUAUUAAGCUAAACAUCAAAUCUAGGACUUAUUUGAAGUGUCUCUCUGUCUGUCACUUGUUGAAUAAAAAAACGAAAAAUCGCAAGACUAACCAAACACUAAUAAAGUUUUUCUUGUAUUUGAUUGCUCAUACAACAUGCCACUCUUGUGUUUCCAUGUUCUGUCACCGUUUGGGUGAUAUGGAUGGAUAUAUUAUGCAAACAGAUAUUGGGCUUCAGUGUCCUCUCUACGAAAGAUAUCUUCAAAGUUCUUCAAGUUUUCUGGAUCACUUCAGCUUGGGCCUUGUCCAUUCAUAUCAAGUCUGAGGUUUUCUUUCGUAAAGGGUUUAUCUUUAUCAUAUCAAGUAAGACGACUUAAGAUCUCUCAUUUUAAAACCAAACAUCAUAAAAUGUACAUAUAAUAUUUAAAAACAUACUAUGAAUAUCACAAUGAAACAAACCAAUAUCAUUUUCAAUCUAUUUAACUAACUAGUAGGACAAAGAUGAGGCUUAAAGUUAUGAACUUUUUUGCGGUGAUAUAAGAUAAUGCAGUAAAACGAAACAAACCUGGUACUAAAAUUUUACUGUUAUUACACGUAACAUUUAUCAUCAGUAUCCACUGUUACAUAAAAUCUUCUAUGUUUCUUACUUUCUUUCAUGUGUUUAUUUCUUUUGUUGUAAUUAUCAAUACAAGAAAUUUGUGUGGAGCUUCUAAUUCAGGAAUAUAUGAAAUUUUAGUAAUUAGUAAUUAUAUAAGAAUCUAGAUGUGAAUAAUUUUAGUAAUUUGUAUAUACGGACCUUCAAAUUUAGUGAUUAAUGAUAAUUAAUUUUAGUGAUUAAUUUUCCAAGGAUUCUUACUUUGGAUUCUUUUAGGACAAUCUAAUUUUUUAUAGUUUAUCACUCGGAAGUGUCUUCACCAAUUGUCCUGAGCAGAGAGGAAAGGUCUCUAGAGGCACACAGAAACGAAGACCAAAUAUAACGCAGAAAAUAAAAUAAAAAGUCACCCCUUGAGAAAUUUGAAGAUCCGAAAACCAAAUCGUGUAACUCGAAGUCUUGUCUGAUUCUUACAAGUUCGCUGGUAGUAUCAGCUAAGAAGACUGAGUCAUUGAUCAAAGUCUCUGUUCUCCUGCCAUGGCGUAAAACCUCGGAACCCCUAAUUCUUUCAGGUACUAGCUAUUUUUCCACAAUGGCUCUUCUAUCUAUGAUGGUCGAAAGCUGAAACCUUUUUUUCUGCGAAUCGAUUUACCCACAAGAAACUCGAACACUAUCCACUCACUUUGGUUCUGUUUGGAUGAUUGAGGUUCGACAAAAAUGUCGGAAAAGAGUUUGCUUUCCUCAAAAUUCCUGUUUUACACCAUCACUGUUUCGACGCUGCUCUUCAUCGUCUCCUCUCUCUUCUUCCUCCAACGCAACGAGUCUUCUUUCACUUCAAGUUUAGUUCGGAAGCUGAUGACUCCUCCAAUCAAGAACGAGGACUUGGGGAAAAUAGAUACCAAAUGCGAUCGAAACAGAGGUGUGUUGAAGGUCUUUAUGUACGAUUUGCCCUCUGAAUUUCACUUUGGGAUAUUGAAUUGGCAUAGCAAAGGAUCUGAGAUUUGGCCAGAUGUUGAGAACAUUAGCUUAGUCCCUUCUUAUCCUGGUGGGUUGAAUCGGCAACACAGUGUAGAGUAUUGGCUUACACUUGAUCUAUUAGCUUCAGAGAAACCUGAAAUCAAUAGACCAUGUAGUGCAGUUAGAGUGAAGAACUCGAUUGAAGCUGACAUAGUUUUUGUGCCCUUCUUUGCUUCUUUGAGUUACAAUCGGAAAUCUAAGCUCCGUGGGAACGAAACCGUUAGUGUUGAUAGAUUGUUGCAGGAAAGAUUAGUUGAGUACUUGAAAAGUCAAGAUGAGUGGAAAAGAUUUGAUGGCAAAGAUCAUUUGAUAACAGCUCAUCAUCCAAACAGUUUGCUCUAUGCAAGGAACUUUCUUGGAUCAGCAAUGUUUGUUCUCUCGGAUUUCGGAAGGUACCCUUCCGCGAUUGCCAGUCUUGAGAAAGACAUCAUCGCGCCUUACUUGCACGUCGUUAAGACUAUAUCUAACAAUGAGUCAGCUCCGUUUGAGAAGCGUCCUAUAUUGGCAUAUUUCCAAGGAGCAAUCUACAGAAAAGAUGUAAGUGUUUCUGAGUUUUCCUCUCUAAUCUAUCAGUUCUGUUGCUCUUUAUAGAUAAUCUCAACCGUCAGAUUGUUUUUCGUCUUAGGGUGGAACUAUUCGCCAAGAACUGUAUAACCUUCUCAAAGAUGAGAAAGACGUUCAUUUUGCAUUUGGAACUGUAAGAGGGAACGGGACUAAACAAACUGGUAAAGGAAUGGCUUCUUCAAAGUUUUGUCUCAACAUCGCUGGUGACACUCCUUCCUCUAAUCGUCUCUUCGAUGCCAUCGUGAGCCAUUGUGUUCCAGUUAUAAUCAGUGAUCAGAUUGAGCUCCCAUUUGAAGAUACUCUAGACUAUUCAAGUUUCUCUGUGUUUGUGCAUUCGUCUGAAGCUGUCAAGAAAGGGCUUUUGGUAAAUCUUCUGAGAGGGAUUAGAGAGGAUCAGUGGAGGAAGAAGUGGGAGAGACUGAAAGAGGUAGUUGGCUGUUUUGAGUAUCGGUUUCCUUCGCGUCCUGGAGACUCUGUGGAUAUGAUUUGGUCAGCGGUUUCUCACAAGCUUUCUUCACUUCAGUUUGAUGUUCAUAGAAAAAAUCGGUAUCGUAAAUCUGAAAUUUUUGAUAGAAGCCGAUCAAAUUAAGAUCAGAAAUAUGAAAGAUACUACUUAAUUCUUAAUGUCUGUUUUGUUUUCUUGAAUGGAAGAGCAUAGACAAGAAUCAGUUGAUAUAAGUCUUCACUCUGUAGUUUUGCCUGCGGCAACCUUGUAAGGCUUAAAAAGAACAAACAUAAAUGUAUAAUCUUAACCAUAUUCCUCUUUUAGUAGUCAUUACGUCAUCCAAAAGGUUGUCUUGUAAAUGAUGAAGGAUACCAUUCUAAAAUCAUCACAGAGUUAUACACCUAACACCUCUGUACACAGCAAAAAGAUAGAUGAUGAUUGACUAGUGUAUCAUAGGUAGAAUCAUCACCAAUGACAAGCAGAAUUCAAAGAAUCCGCCCUUGCAUAUAAUAUCUAAGGAAAUGUCACAAGUGUCCCCAAAAAUCUAUCACAGCUUUAAAGAAAUUGAUCACUUCUUUGUGAAAUGUUAUGAAUUCAUCAUUAUAUAAAGAAGAAGGGCAGGCAGGGUCAAUCAUUGGUCGGAGCGGCGUUAAUAGCAGUAGGCAGCUGCUGGGGAUCCUCUUGUUGUUGUAGGUAGAGUUGAACAAGUGUGGAGUCGACGUUGUCUUGAGGCUCCCAGGUGGCAUCAGCCAUAUCAGUCCAUUUGACAAGAUACUCGAUGGUCUUGCCAUCGUCUCCCAUCCUCUUACCAAUGACACUCUCCGCUACAGCGUACUCCAGCCCAUCCUCGUAGUCCUUGGCGACAUCCUCCGCCACGUGUACACCUUUGACCCACUCGCAAUCUCCACCGUCCUUCCACCGGACAAGAUACUCAACGUCUUUGCCUUUCCCUCGUUUCUCUACAACCUCAUCCACCUCGGCGUACUCGAACACUUGUCCUUCCAAAACACUGAUCACUCUCUCCAGCCCCAGUCUCCUCCCGAACUGCAUCGGGUUCCCCUUAGGCGUCGUCUUCAGAAUCUCCCUGGCUAGUUCCAGCGCCGUUAAACCUCUCUCGUCUUCCAAUUCGAAAUCAGCGCCGAGCUCCACCAACGCAGCCACCACGUCCGGCUUCACGUAGCCAGCCGCCAUGUGCAGCGCCGUCAAGCCGCCCCUGGUGUCUCGGUGGUCAAGAUCGGCUCCAGCCUCCGCCAGAAGCCUAACGCACUUGUCCGAACCCAGACCUGCCACGAAAAGCAGAGCCGUCCUGCCGUUUUCGUCCACGGCGUUGACGUCGCGGUCCUGGUCCUCGAGAAGCUGUGACAGGGCCUGCUCGUCGGCUUUCCUAGCGGCGGUCCACCAGGGGGUCUCGUACUCCGACACCACGUCAGCUGCGAUGUAGCUGGAUGGAACCCACGAGGGAGAAUGCCCGUCCUUCCACUCGAUUAGGUACUCCAUGGCUCCUACUUCCGCCGCCCUUCGGCUUCCAAUGAUCUUGUUCACUUCUCCGUAUGAUGACGACUCCUCAUCAUCCUCGUCUUCCACUGAGGGGAUCGUUUCUUCGUAGUUUCUUUGUACGGCGGCAUAUAUACUAGCUCCUCGGAAACACUGUUGCUGCUUCUGAAUCCGUCUGAUCGCUAUGGAGAAACCAAAAGAAGAAGAUUUGGGAGGGGAAAGUUUGACGCGAGGCAGAGACUGAGGAAUCACUAGAGCACAACUAUCCAUGGCCAAGAAGUAGACUUUUGGCAUCGUAAUAGAAGAAGAGACUAGUGCCGCUUAGCUACGGUAGUUCGCUUCACAGGAGACCAAAGAGAUGACAAGAGAUCACUUAACUCGAUUUUCUUUUGGAUAAGGAAUCUUAGCCACCCAAUCAUUUUCUUUCAUUUAAGAAAUUUGUCUAUAUUAUUUGGUGCCGCAAAUUUUACUUUCGGAAAAAAACUAAUUUUAACGUUGUUAUAUGUUUUUGCCUGCAUCAACCUUUGAAUGCUUAACAAGAACAAACGUAGAGGUAUAGUUGUUAACCUUUUUCCUCUUUCAAUUGUCAUUACUGAAUCCAAAAGGUUGUGUUGUAAAUGAUGAAAGAUACCAUAAAAUAAUCACAGAUUCAUAUAAACAAUAAAAAAGUUUAAAAUCUUGGAAGUAAUGUACGAUAAAACCAGAAUUAAAAGGAAGAAGAUCCAAAAGCCUUGUGACCCAACAUUUAUAGGCUCAGGACACACUCACAUUUGCAGAAACGUAGCGCCAACGAUAACACUUGGCCAGCAUAAAACACACACACAAUCACAGACUCAUUAUCUAAGCUUUUAAACAGAUAGAUAGUUGCGUUCUGGUGUUCAACUUUUUGCAGCAAUUUAUCACCUCUUGCGUUCUGCUGGAGUUGUCUUGGCUGCAAAAUCAACAACACAAUCGAGAGUAGUUAGAUGUAAGAGAAUGUGAAAUUUCUCUAGUAAUUUUCAGUAAGAUCAUCAGAUAAAGCAUUCAGGUAGAUUUGGAGAUUCUAGUUUGGUCUCAUUAAGCAUGUAGUAAAUUUUGGCACUAACCCGUUCCUUCUCGGGACGACGACAGAAGAGGUUUCUCCUUCUUAUUCCCUGUUUUGUCACCUGAGUUUGUGAGUCUCGUUGUUCUUGGAGAAUUAGAGGUGAUCCUACCAUUACCUGAAGAUGGUAGAGAAUGACGUCUAGGAACAUUGGCUUUCUCAGUUCCAUCUUGCUCAGCAGGCUUUGGUGAACCUUGCAGCCUCAGCUUUGCUUUCGCAGAUUUAGUUGCUUGCAUAUAACUUGGGAUUGAUGGGCUAGUCUGACUGUGCCCAUUAGUCUCUUCACGCUCCGUCUUGCUAGUAGCUGAACCCUUUUUCCUGGAUUUCUGGUUCUCUUUCCCCGCUGAAUUCUCUUUAUUCUUUGGUUUGGGAGUCUUUUCGUCUCUGGUAUCCUUUUCCAUUGAGGGGUUUUCCUCAACCAUGGCUCUUUCGUUGCUAUCAAUUUGGUUGACAAGUGAUGAAUCAAGUGCUUCAUUGCUUUCUAAUGGUCCAGGAGUAUGUAGUUCCACCUCGGGAAUAUGUACCUCCUCCUCAGGCUGUUCAGGCACAUCUUGGUUUCUCUUUUCGUCACAUACCUUCGCAGGUUCUUCUGCAGUUUUAUGUACCAGGGAAUAUGAUGACUCAGUUAUCCUCUCUACGCCAAGCUUUGGCUUCUCCACUUCCCUAUGAGGGGAUCGUUGAGGUUGGAUAGAGCUCUCAACUACAGGAUUAUGUACCUUCCUCAAGCUACGUUUAACCUUUUCAAGUUCAAUCUGAGGAUCCUCAACAGCGGGUGGCUCUAUUGACUGGCUUGAAACUUUCCGGAAACUUCGUUUAGGUUUCUCGAACUCAAAUGAUGUCUGUACUGAGGAGCUUUCAAAGUUUGCAGCAGGAACUUUACGGACACUCUUCUUGGGUUUAGCAGAUUCAGCCUCGACUAAAACCUUGUUCUGAGGUUUUCUGCCUAUUGUUUUCUUCGGUUGAGAAAUUGGUUUCCAGAAGCAUGAGGCUGACCAGUUCUCUAACCAGAUCAAGUUUGAGUUUGGAUUGGAUGAAUCAUAGGCGUGUACAGGUAUCACUUUUGGUGAUGUAGCGAGAAGCUGCAAACACAAUUAUCCAUCAAUAUUUUUAAUUGAAAGAAGGGACUCCAUAAUACAAACAAGAAGUUGUAUACAACAAACUUGGCUCCUUAUCUGUUUCUCCUAAUUUCUUUAUAACAAAUAGCUCUAUAGACAAGCAUACCUUCAGAGCAAAAGCAUUGGAUGUUAGUUUCUUGAUUCCAAGGUAAGCAUCUGUAGGGUUUGCAAGCUUGUUCCCCUGAUACAUAAAAAAAUCCAAUUCUAAUUUGAUGAGAAAAUAAACAUAUUUCUACACCAAUCCCAAGAACAAUAUUAUCCUGCACUAAGUUUGAAUUUAAGACCAAUCAUUCACAAUUAGCAAGGGAACUUAAAAUUACAAGGAAGAAAAAGUAUCGUUACCUGAAGCAGCUGCAAUCUGCAUUUCCUUUGAACUAGAACUCCAAUGUCAGACUUCCUGAUCUCUCUUCCUCGAGCAAAUGCUUGCAAUUUAACAAUUCCCAUGACAGAGAAAAGAGUAGCAACAGCUUGCCUCCUAACCAGGUGACCACGGAUAAGUGCUUGUAGCCUUAUUAUGCCUUUGAGUGCCCAAAAGGCGCGCCGAGCCUUCACACAAUGAGCUCAGAUCAGGAUAUACCGAAAAAAGAAGGAAAAACAAAUAGUAGCAAUCAAAAGAGCCAAGCCCACAACCCAAACAGCUGAAAAUAUUACCAGAUAACCUCUAAACGCAGCCUGCACAGACGUUGCUGCAAUCUCUUGUUGGAUUUUCUCUGCAUCAGAUAGUGAAUCAUCUUGAACAGGUGCAACAGUUUGAGAAUCUGUUGGUUUUCCCUCAGGAAGCUCUAUGUCAUCAUCUGAGAUCUCUUCAGGUUGUACAUUUUGUGUCUCUAACAUACCACCGCUUCUAUCAACGGCAUUGGUUGCUGCAGUUGCAAAAGAAGGAAGAUCUGAUACCACAUCUGAUUCUUCUACCUUGGCAGUAACCAAUACCUCUUUUCCACUCACAACUCUCUGUGCGUUAUAACAAAAACGAAAAAAAAAAAAAAACUCAUGCAAUUGUAUAAACUAUAAAGCAACAAAGUAGCCUAAAACCAUUCCACACACAAAAAAAAAAAUCGAGUGUGAUCCAAAUUCCAGACAUAUUUAGACUAGCAAUCAUCACAUACGAAACAUUACCUCUUUUCCCUUGGAACCACUAGAUUUAGAGGUCUUUUUGCCAAGCAAUACACUCUUUAACCACUUUGUAGGCUUCCCCAUGAUGUAUAUGGAACUCAAAUACCUGCAUUGUCCAAGCUUAUGGUUACCACAACCAAUAAUUAAAAUGAAGAGAAUAGACAAUAAAUGAUUAGUUUAUUAAUUAGUUGAAGGGUAACAUCAUUUUGUUUAGAAUCAACUCUAAUAAUUAGCUUUGAAAAGAUAAAGAGUAAAUCAUUAACGAAAUGGAAGAAUCAAGAAAGAACACCAAUGAUUAUCCAUAUAAUUUUGGGAUUUAAAUAAAAACUCAGGAAUUGAAUAAAUUACUAAUGUGUGCACACAAAAAAAAAAAAAAAAAAAAAAAAACCAGAUCUGGAACUCACACUGUAAGCAGAAGAACCCUAAGGACUCAAAAUGAACAUUUCCAAAAUGAACAACAAACAAACAAAAAACACCGACAUAGUCUGUCAAACAACAAAACCCAAAACAGAGAGAUCUCUCUAAAAUCCAACACUACUCGAACAAUGUCCUUAAAAAUUGUCGGUUUUUCUACUUCGAGUAACCGUUCGGAUCUCUUGUUCUAAAUCCGAGUCCGAUUCAAACCAAAAACAAUGAAGAAGACAAUAAAAAUAUACCCGUGAAUUAGAGGCGAUGUGUUAACUGAAUGCUUCCAUAAGCGUCUCUCUCUCGAUUCCUCUUCCCGGAGCUUGAUGCUCUGAGAGAAACUGUUCCUCUUUGGUGGUAUAGUUCCAGUGACCAGAAGGAAAGAGAAAAUAUAAUUUUUAUAUAUAUUUCUAAUUUUAACCCAAAACAAAAAAGUAAGCGCAUCUCCAUAACUCUAAUCUUACGCCGUUGAUUUCUAGCCGUCCGAUCAUCUCCGAAAUAUUUAGUUUAACUAAAUUUACUUUUUACAGAAUAAUUCGGAAUUCGAAAGAGGGAAAAAUCAAUAAAUAAAGAGAGUAAUAAAGCUGUGAAAACAUUAAAUGCGAUUAGAUUAGACAAAGAAAAAUUAUUAAAGUCGUCUAAAAAUUAAUAAUAAUACUAUACAUUUCAGAUAUAUUAAUUGAAAUUGCUCAGAUUUUGUGUAUGUAUAGUCGUCGUCGAGGUUACUUCGAAAACAAGUGUAACAAUGCUGCUACGUUCAUAUGAAGCAUUCAUGUUAAUUUACUUUUGUACCCUUCCACUGUCGUUGAAUGCGAAAGACUAAUCACUUUUGUGCGAGUCAGGCACGUGCCAAUUUUCUUUGUGCUUCCACGCGCGCGAAUCAAACCGCUCUAUCUCGUUAACCGUUAAUGGGCCUAAGCCCGGUCCACUACUAAUUUCAUCAUACACUUUGUGAGACAUUUCAUCGAACACUUGGUGCUCAAUUCCUGAGGAGAAGUUCAAAGUAAGGAGAACGAAAGUCACAGGCAAAAUUCGAUAAACCCACAAGGGACGGUGAGAAUGGAGAAGAAGAAGGCAAUGCAAAUCGAAGGGUACCCUAUCGAGGGAUUAUCGAUUGGAGGGCACGAGACGUGUAUCAUAUUCCCAUCUCUUCGGAUAGCUUUCGACAUUGGUCGUUGCCCACAUCGCGCAAUUUCACAGGACUUCCUCUUCAUCUCUCAUUCUCACAUGGAUCAUAUCGUAAGUAUAAUAUUGAACUUUCUGAAAAAAAAGAUUUAAAACUUUCCGAUUGGGUUUGCAAAGAUCGUACUUUGACUUUGAAUUUGAAUUUGAAUAUUGAGAGCAAUUUAGAUACACCCUUGUUGAGCCACCUUGUUUUUAUUAUCAUUAGCCUAUCGCUCUGUUACUGUUAUGGUGUCACAUUCUCGAAUUGUAAGCUAAACUGUUCGUGUUGUUAUGCUAGGGUGGAUUGCCAAUGUAUGUUGCAACUAGAGGCUUGUACAAAAUGAAGCCUCCAACGAUUAUAGUGCCCAAAUCGAUUAAAGAAACUGUCGAGAGUUUGUUUGAGGUUCACAGAAAGUUAGAUUCUUCAGAGCUAAAGCACAAUCUUGUUGGCUUGGACAUAGGUAAUUCAACCUCUUGUAUUCAUUGCAGCUGAUGAUUUUGUGUUUUGUUUUAACCUCGGGAACUUCAUGGUGUCUAGGGGAGGAGUUUAUUAUUAGGAAAGAUCUCAAAGUUAAAGCCUUUAAGACAUACCAUGUCAUCCAAAGCCAGGUUUCUUUUAUUAACGCCACUUGAGCUUGCUUUUUGAUAUCUUAGUGUUAUAUGUGUCUUCGUUGAAUUUAUGCUUUUUGUGUGAUAAUUGCAGGGUUAUGUAGUGUAUUCAACUAAACAUAAACUAAAGCAGGAGUAUAUUGGCCUAUCUGGGAAUGAAAUUAAGAACUUGAAGGCUUCAGGUGUUGAGGUUAGUCUCUGAUUUCCCGUAAAUUGCUUGUCAAAAUUUUUUUAUGCGUCUGAUUCAAUAACUUUGAUAUGGUUUUUCCAAUAUACAAGCCUGUUUAAUGAUUUUGGAUUGUAGAUAACAAACAGCAUAACAACUCCUGAAGUCGCUUUUACGGGAGAUACAACAUCGGAUUUUGUAGUUGAUGAAAAUAAUGAUGAUGCUCUCAAGGCAAAGGUUCUCGUCAUGGAGGUGAAUAUUUGCUGCUGAUAUGAAUUAGGACAAUGUGCGUGAUUCUUAAUGAUAUUCUUUUUCCUGGUCAAGUUUCAUGGCUUUGUACUAAAGGGAAGCUGUCUUGUCUCUAUUUCUUCUUGCACAGAGCACAUUUCUUGAUGAUUCCGUAUCCGUAGAGCAUGCAAGGGAUUAUGGACAUAUCCAUUUAUCUGAGGUCAGGGUCUUCAUUUAUUUGAAAUCCCUUGUUACUUUCUGUCUCUUGAUGCUCAUAAAAAGUUUUCUUGGUUCUUCAAAUUGCAGAUAGUAAAUCAUGCUGAAAAGUUUCAAAACAAAGCAAUCCUACUGAUCCACUUUUCGGCUCGGUAUACAGUGAAGGUGUGUUUUCUUAUCCAAUCUGAUUAUGGAACAGUUGAAAAGUAGUUACUUUCUUCCUUGUAGUCGUGUUAAGUCAGCUUCGCGAGUUUUCACAGGAAAUCGAAGAUGCGGUUUCUGCAUUGCCUCCACCUCUAGAGGGACGUGUGUUUGCACUAACACAAGGAUUCUAAACGGGACAGUUUACACACUUAUGUUUGUGUAGGCCAAGUUUUUCCAUUGCACAUGUGAACAUUGUAUUUUCGUGUUGAAAUUUCUACCCCGAUGCAAUGGAAGUAGCAAAUACAGAGUGCAUUCGAGGACCACAAAAUCAGAUAAAUAGAGACACUCUCGUUUGUUAUUUUUUCCUUUGCAACAAGAUUGCUAUGUAAAUCAAAGUAACGUGCAUGAGGUCAACCAUUGAGUUCACAAUCAAGGUUUCUCUUAGAAGGGCCCAGAGGUGUCAAAAACAGGGUUAGACAGAUUGAGCCCACAAUCACAGUGGCAUGUGGGAUUGGCUGGUUUUUUCCCACAGAUCUUAAUACAAAAAUCAAUUAUUUAUAAAUAAAUAUAUGUACCGUAUCAACUAUAUAUUGUUUUUAUAAAUAUAAGGAAUAUAUGAUACUGUUAUAAAAACAAUAAAAAUGGAAACUGAUAAUUUCUAUAAAAGAAAAUUAUUGCCUCAUUGGAUUUAUUCAUAAUUAUUAAAUUUCAAAAGCUUCAAUUAAUUUUAAAAUCAUUAAAAUAUAGGCAGCGGACGAGACCUUUGAAAAUUGAACUAUUCAUUCAUUCACAGAGGGGAUUUGUGAUUCAUGGCCACGACACGAACCUUGUAACCAAAACUAAACCAGACGAUAUUUUAAAAAUGUAAAAACGUUUUGUCCCAUAUGACUGAUCGCGUCACUAAGAUUUUAUAUAUAUUUUUGUCUGGUUUGCAAGCUUCUGCCGCGUAAGGUAAGCUAAUCUCAAUCGCAUUGUCCAUUUCUUAUAGUUUUAUAUUCUGACCCAGCGAUCAUAAAAAGUUUGGGAUUUGGACAACUUGUAGUAUAGUGUAGUUUAAAUGGACUUAUUAUGUCCCAAGUUGUCUAACCACGCCCACCUCAUGCAUAGGGUUCAACUCUUUUUAGUCGAUCACCUUGUACUAUAAGUUAAUUUUGGCCUUACGUACUAAGUUGUCAAAUCUAUACAAGAAUUUAAAAGUUUGGACUUUUUUUUUUUAAUGGAGUGUGAACACUUGAAUUAUAGGUUUAGUCGUAGAGUAAUUAUUUUAUAAUCAUAUUUAUCCUAAUUUACGUUCACUUUCUGUUUAACUCUUGAUUUUAUGUGUUUAUCACUUUUAAAGUUGUUAAUUCUCUUAUCGGUUAAUUUUUUUCUAGCUAAAAAUAACCAUUUCUGUUUUCUUAUUUUAUCGUUUUUAGAUUAAAAACAUGUAAAUAACUUUUGCAAGUAAUAGAAUUAUCUUUCGUCAAAAACUUCAAACUCUAGAUAUUUGACUUUCUUUUUUUUUCCAAUAUUUUUAUACUCGUAGCAGUAAAUUAUCAAUGCUUUGGCACACAAAUAUACAUAUAUAUAUAUACAUGCAUGAAUUUAAAAAAACAAUUGUUACAAGAUCACAUCAUUCGUACGUAAUGAAGAAUUCUAUGUGAAAACAAGAAAUACUACCCUUCAACUUUUAUAUAGUAUGGAUUGUGAGUAAAAUUGUACAUUAAGGUUAUAUAGAUUCAACUAACCUUUUUCUAGUUAUUUGAUUAAGAAAGUUAAAGUAAAAUCUCCGUUUGGAAAAAAAAUGUUAAGUGUACAUUCAAAAAUAGUCAUGUAUUUACAAAAUAGUCUAGCUUUCAGACUUGAGUAAAUGCAGAAAAUUUCGUAGCAUCUACAAACACACAUUAAUUCAAAGUCUCGAAUAACAAUAAAAUUAUGUUCAUAGAUUAAUAAUGUGACCGCGUCCACCAAUUUUAAUAAUAUCAAAGUCAUACUAUAAUAUCGCAGAUGAACGUGUAGUUAGUUACAGUUUAUUCAGUUCUACGUCACACGACGCUUGUUUGAAUUAUGGAUUCGUUCCACUGGAGAGACUAUUUGAAAGACUUGGUUUAAUUUUUAAUAGCUUCGUUAUAAUUAAUGAUAAAACAACAAUUUGACUUGUAAAGUCUAGUCUUUUAUAGUCUUAAGAUAAUUCUUUUUGACCACUUUGAUAUUCAGCCCGACAAAACAAACAAAAAAAUCUAAUAACAAAGAAUAAUCGUCUUCUCGAACAACCGGUGAACACUCUUAAUCAUCCAUAUGGAAUUUAUAAAAAUGUGUUUGUUUUUCGUUAUUUCAGGGAAAUUUUGGUGGAAAUUGCUCAAGUUUCUUCACUCUUCCCACUUCUUUGGUCUCUUUGUUUUUGACUCAUAAUGUAAAGAAGAAAAUUAAAACAAGUUUUCUUUUCCUUAUUUGACAUUAGAAAUUGUGAAUCGGGAUGAUGCUCAAAAAGCCAAGGUGAGUUUCCCAGCAAAGAAGAUAUUCAAAGGAUCAUUGACUCUUCAAUUACUCGGUUUUUAUUCUUCCAAAUUUAGUUUGCAUGGGACUUUGAAUUCAUGUAGUCUGACACAGUUACGACCAACUAAUUAAUGCAAAACUCAUAUAUUAGUAGUAUCUUUAUAAUACAGUACUCCUAUUUUAAGGGUUGUUUUAUUGCAGUGAAAGUGAUAUAUAUAUAUAUAUAUAUAUAUAUAUAUAUACAUGUCCAAUUUUAAACACUAAAUGAACGGCGUAAUCCUGAUAUAUAGUUUUGUACAAAUAUAAUUAUAUUAUAACAUUAAAAUUAGUUGUAAUCGUUAAACCAAAAGAUGAACAUGAGUGAUUCUAAAUUAGUGAACUGGAGAUCAAAUGCAACUCCAACCCAUUCCCCUAAUUUUUUUCUUUUCAAAAUAGAAUAAUUCUGUUUCCAUGUUGGAGUUAAGAAACUCUAUUUUCAUCAAUAGUGAAAUAUACAGAUUUAAUGUAAACUGAGGAAAAAGAUUCCUAGAUAUAGAGAAAAUAGAUAUUUCUAAAUAUAUAAGAAAAAAAGAGAUAAAGUUAGGGGUUGGAGAUAGUCUAAAGUACAGCUAAUAACAACAAUUCGCAUACUUUUUUUAUCUCGAAAUGAACACCCAUCAACUAUUUAUUACAUUCUAAAUCUUUAUUAGUAAUUAGUUUCAAUCUUAAAAACUAAUUUUCUUAUAGCAUGCAAAAUGGUUUAUACUAGAAAUAUUUUUACUAUUAUAGUCUCAUUAUCUUAUUCAUAUGCUUUGUCAUGAAUGUCUAACGAACGAACUUGUAUUUGUUUGAUAUCAAUUGUAAUUACAAACAAUUACUAUAGACUUGUAUGGAAUUAGAAAAUGUGUCAGAAUUUAAAGGAGUAUGCGUGGGGAUGCCAUGCCACUGCCAUAUGCUUUUUUGAUCGACGAGGUCAGCUUCUUCUUUUAUGCGUUUGGCGCUUCCGCAUCAAACGAGAUCAGUCGACGAGAGAGUGCUCGUUUCUGAUCAUUUGAAAUCCCGCUACUUUAAACAUAAUAUAUAUAUAUAUAUAUAUAUAUAUAUACUUGCACUCAACACAAAACGAUUAUGAGAUAAAGAUCUUUGGUUGACAAAAAAAAACACAAACGAUAAAACAUAUAAAUUUUGUUUUAAGCUAUUUCUUUAUUUAGUUUCUAUAUAUAUCUAUAUAUAUUGGUGUUUGUUUAAACUAAUACUUAAGUAUUAGAGCAACCAAAUUACUGAAAUAUUCAACAGUAGACCAAUAAAAUGAUUUAUGAAAGAAAAAAAAUAUUAAAAUGUUAGACCAACUGUGGAAAAAUAUUCUUUGAGUAACGGAAGAAGAAAUAAAAGUAGAAGAAUUAGGAAGCACAAAAGAAAAGAUAAGAGCAAAAAAAUAAAUUCAGAAGUACGUAUAGAUAGUUUACAGAGAAAUUACAGAGAAAUUUAAAAAGUGAGAAGAUGAAUUGAAUCUUCAAAAAGAAGUGGGCCCCAGCACACAAUGUAUACUCAUCUUUAGUCAUCUGUAUAUAUAUCUCUCAUCCAUUCCUUCAAAUCUCUCAAACAAACCCAAAAAAACUUAAAACAGAGAAAAGCAAUCUUUCUCUCUAAUUUCGCUCCUCCUACCAAACACCAAAAUUCAAAACCCCAAAAACAAACUAACUCUCUCUCUCUCUCUCUCUCUAGCUAAGAAUGGCGUCGAUCCAAUUCUCUUCUCAUUUCCUGGGCUCUAACACUACCAAAUCACAAAGCUCCAUUAUUUCUAUCUCUCUCAAUCAUUACUCCCCAACUCCAAUCACUAGACUCUCUCGCAAGGUCCUUUUUAAAAAAAUAAUCUUUCACUCUGUUUUUGUUUUCCUUAAAUCAACGUAAAACAAGAUUAUAACAUAAUUGUUGGAUAAAUUUAUACAGAAGUACGAGUCAUGUUCGAUGUCAAUGAAUGGCUGUGAGGGAGAUUUCAACAAGCCACUUGGCACCGUCGAGACAAGGACUAUGACCUCUGUUUUAUCUCCAUCAGCCGCCACUGACAGCCUUCUCUCCGCCGUCUCUCAACUCAAAUCUCAACCUCCGCCCUUUUCUUCCGGCGUCGUCCGUUUUCAGGUAACCAACCAACACACCCGACGACCUCUCUCUGUUUUUUCUUCUUUUCUCUUACAAGAGACAUAAUCCGAUUUGCUGCAAAGUGAAAGAAUGGGAUCACGCCACGUGGUGUUCUCACAUUGGUCUCUGUUGAUAUCGUUCCAUUGCUUCCUCGUUCCCCUUACCGUAUCACUCUGCUCCCUAAUAAUAUCAUUUCCGGAUGAUUUCUUUUUUCUUUGAUUUAUACUACUAAUUAUUUAGUUUAUUAAAAAAAAAAACUCAAUACUACUUUUUUUGUUUGGAAGUUUUAUUUUAAAAGUAAUUAUAUAUUUUAAGGAAAAAAAGAAAUGGACGUGAUCAGAAUUUACAUAUAAUGUACCAAGUGGUUUUCUUUAUUUGUUGAAUCUCCAAUCCAAGUGGUUCCUUAUCUUUUCUAUAAAAUUGUAGUAAAUUACGUAGAAUAUAUAACAAUAUAGUUUUCCUUGACAAAAAUAAAUAAAAAAUAUAACAAUAAAGUUUUUUGACAGGUGACUUUGGGUCGAUGACAUAAGUCUGAUAAUACUUUCUCACUAUUAUCAUAUAAUCGUUGUUGCUUUUCUUUGUCAACAACAUACAUUAUUUAUUUAUAUAUACGAUAAAGAAGAUAUGGUUAUUAUUAUACUCGCUAAUUCUAGUAGUAUUAGUUUUAUGAAUAGGGUCGUACUAGAUUCCCCCUAUUAAAUUGAAUCUUUUCAUUUAGUCAAUCUGAGGUAGACCAAGUUUUUAUUUAUUUUUUAAUAUAAUAGUCAAUUUAUUAAACCAUUUUGAGAAAAAAGAAAGUUUUCUGGAAAGAAUAAUUGUCUUGUUUCCAAUUCUUUAAUCUAAUUUUCUCUUUACUUGAAAAUAUUCAAUUUUGUUUUAGCAAAUACUGAAUCUGAUAACAGUUGGCUAAGUCUAGUGCAUAAUUAGUAAAACAUUUAAGAUAGAAAAGAGGUAAUAAUGAUUUUUUCUUUGGUGGGUCAAAACUCCAUUUUAGUGUAAAGGCGGCGAUCACAUACACUCACUCACACAUUAACACCUUGCAUCUUUUUUUUCUUCUUUUUCACCUAAAAAUUAAAAAUAAAAACACAAAAACCGAAUUUUCCCGCCCGAUUCUAAAAAACCCUAAAUUGGAUUUGGUUGGCAGGUACCAAUUGACCAGCAAAUCGGAGCAAUUGAUUGGCUUCAAGCCCAGAAUGAGAUCCAGCCUCGCUGUUUCUUCUCUCGUCGCAGUGACGUUGGUCGUCCCGAUCUUCUCCUCGAUCUAGCCAGUGAGAACGGCAACGGAAAUGGAUCUGUUUCAUCUGAACGCAAUCUUGUUAGCGUUGCUGGUAUCGGUUCUGCAGUUUUCUUCCGUGACCUUGAUCCUUUCUCUCAUGAUGAUUGGAGAUCCAUCCGAAGGUAACCAAACUUUUCUGGAUUUGCUACUUCGAUUUUUUUGGGAAGAUAAGAUUCAUAAAAUUGAGAUGCUUUUGUUUGUCUUUUGAAGGUUUUUGUCCUCAAAGUCACCUCUGAUUCGUGCCUAUGGUGGUAUGCGAUUUGAUCCUAAUGGCAAGAUUGCUGUCGAAUGGGAACCUUUCGGUGCAUUUUACUUUUCAGUUCCUCAGGUAAUUUUUUUAAGAAUUUGGAUUUUCUUUUUUAAAGAGGAUUGUGGAGUAUGAGCUGUUGUGUGACUCGAGUGAUAUACGUACAGGUUGAAUUUAAUGAGUUUGGGGGAAGCUCAAUGUUGGCUGCAACUGUUGCUUGGGAUGAUGAACUCUCUUGGACACUGGAAAAUGCUAUUGAAGCACUUCAGGAGACUAUGCUUCAGGUUUCUUCUGUUGUGAUGAAGUUACGAAACACAUCUCUUGGAGUGUCUGUUUUAAGCAAGAAUCAUGUUCCUACCAAAGGAGCCUACUUCCCUGCUGUUGAGAAGGCUUUGGAGAUGAUUAAGCUUAAAAGUUCAUCCCUUAACAAGGUAGUUUUGAGACCAUUUUCGUAUCUCUUCUUACAACAAUUAUUGUUUUUUUUUUUUUUUUUUGCUUAACUGAUGGAUUUUGGGUCGCGAAAUCAGGUUGUGCUUGCUCGCAACAGCAGGAUAAUUACCGAUACCGACAUUGAUCCCAUUGCUUGGCUAGCACAGUUGCAGGUGUGUUCUUAUCUCUGGAUAUAUUAUAUAGUUGUCAAUUUCCAGAUUAAAGCAAUUUUUAGACUUAGAGCUGACACUUAAUUAUCGUGUGACAGCGUGAAGGACAGGAUGCAUAUCAGUUCUGUCUUCAACCACCAGGUGCACCAGCUUUUAUUGGAAACACGGUAGGUUAUCACUAGUCUGUUGGUACAUUCUCGACCAAAAAAUUGCUAUUGAUAAAGAUGUGCACCUUCGUUUUUACCUUCUAACCUUUGACAUACAUUUUUAUGACACAGCCUGAGAGACUUUUCCAAAGGAAGCAAUUAGGUGUCUGCAGCGAAGCCUUGGCUGCAACUAGGCCUAGAUCUGCUUCAAGUGCGCGUGAUAUGGAGAUUGAGCGUGACUUACUAACCAGGUCAAUUUUUACUCUAGUGCUUUGAACAAUUAUAGAAUCGAUUUCUCCAAUCUCCAUUGAAAUUUUCGGUAUACUGAUGUGAUUUGCUAAACUGUUGCAGUCCGAAAGACGACCUUGAGUUCUCCAUUGUACGAGAGAAUAUAAGAGAAAAGUUAGAUGUAAGUUCAAUCUUGAUGUUCUGCACCUUUAAUCCUUCCUCUCUUGGAUAAUCCGUUUGAUAUAUGGUUUCUUAUUAUCCUUCCUUCUCCUUUACAGGGUAUCUGUGACAGAGUCGUUGUUAAGCCCCAAAAAACUGUGAGAAAGCUUGCACGAGUGCAGCACCUAUAUUCUCAAUUGGCUGGGAAACUUAGGAGGGAAGAUGAUGAGGUGAGAUAAUAAUUUUCUAUUUUUUGUUGCAAAUGUUAUCUCCACUAUCUUCAUUUCUUCGGAUUAGGUCUAACCAUUGGUCUUAUACUAUCUACAGUUUGACAUCUUGGCUGCUCUGCAUCCAACUCCCGCUGUCUGUGGGCUUCCCGCAGAAGAAGCUAGGCUUUUGAUUAAGGAAAUAGGUAAAUUAUCUAUCUGCCUUAGUUCAACUAUCUCCUAGUAACUAUAAAUACCUAUGCUUUCUUAGAGGUAAGCAAUGGUGCUUACACAAACAUUUUGCUUCUUCCAGAAUCAUUCGAUAGAGGAAUGUAUGCUGGACCUGUCGGGUUUUUUGGUGGAGAGGAGAGUGAAUUUGCAGUGGGAAUCAGAUCAGCCCUAGUCGAAAAGGUGAGCUUAUUUGAUCUAUCUCUCCCAAUAUAAAGAAGCACAGCUGCACUAAACUAAAAAUCAAAGCAAAACCCAUCAGUGCGCUUUGGCUACAACUGUACAAAUGCUAAAUUGUUAAUUUAUUUUAUUUACAGGGUCUUGGGGCGCUGAUCUAUGCUGGGACAGGGAUAGUAGCAGGAAGUGACCCAUCUUCGGAGUGGAAUGAGCUUGAUCUUAAGAUAUCUCAGGUGCGAGUUUGUUUCUAAAUAAAAAUUAAGUAACCUCAAACAUCACACUUCUUCAUUUCCAAAACGGCAAAACCUUAAAUUUUUUGUUGUUUGUUUUUAACAGUUCACCAAGUCGAUUGAAUAUGAACCAACAACAGCUCUGCAGGCGAUUAAUUGAAGAAAGCGUAACAACAAGAUUUGUAUAAUUUGAUUGUUUGUGUGGGGAUGAUGAUGACGGGUUUCACAAUAGAAAGCAAUGUUGUCUCUCUUGUAUAUAAAAGGAAUAAUUAAUUGCUUUUAUCUGAUUGUUAAUUUGGGCCGAGCCUUUUUGGGUUGUAACUAGGUCAGGCCUUUUAUGAAUAUGUUAAUCUGCCGAUCCUCUUUAUAUGAUUAUUAAUAAAAGAUUCUUCUAUCUUUCGUGUGUUUCGUCCGAAACAGAUGUUCCAUGAUAUGGUUCUAAGACUUGAACUGAAAUAACUGACAUGACAACCGAAUCAAAUUGAAAAUGUUUUUACUUUUCAAUCUUCACACAGCCAAAUAACUCAAAAUCGAAACGAAACCAAACAAAGAGGUAAUAAGAUUGUCUUAAAUUAUUCUCUAACACACAUAUAAAGUAAAGGGAAUCUUGUUUUGGUUCUAAAGAGGAUUUGGGAUGAUCAUUUCCGCAUCUACACGCUCUUUGAAAGGAGGGCUCAAGUGAUAAAGGAGAGAAGAUGUUCGUGAAAAAAUAUACUACUAUAUAUGACUUUGAUGAAAACGAUGAUGCUUUUUUCAGUUUUAUUAAAACGAGGAAUUUCGGAACAUAUACUAUAGCUAAUGCACUAUUUGGAGAAGUAUAUAUAUCCAUUUGAGUGUUUUGUAACUUUAUCGUUGUCCUUAACAAAGCCAGGUUUUUACACGCUCUUAUGAUUUCUAUUAUAGGGACUCAAGGUUGUGACUUGUGAAAAUGAGUUAAAACUUGCAGCCACCACUUGAAUUCUUAUAAGUAUAUGAGUCUGUUUCUCCAGGAGCUUCAGAAGAAGUAGAUUACUUAGAUAUCUUUGAGGCAAGUGAAGCCAAUUGUAGUAUGUAGUAGUAGCAUAUGUUGGUUGAAACAUUGAAGAAUAAAAGAAGAACACGAGGGGGCUAAUCUCUUUAUCUUCUUGUAAGGGUGUGUGCGUGUUGGUUGGUGGGAUGCAUAAUGAGCAUAAGAGCCCCUGCCUACACCACUUAUUACAUUAAAUGUUAGUAUUCAUUUACGUAUCAUCAUAACGCAGUAAAAAACAAAAAUUUCAUUGGCUUUUUUUUGGUAUUGUAUAAGAAACAAACUAGUGCAUAGUAAACCUAAAUGUUUUCAGAAAAAUGUCUACGUUUUGAUGUGAAAGUCUUAUAACCAUUUACUGAUCCUCCUCACAUGUAAUAACCAAAUAAAUUCGAUCUCAAUGUUUUCGAAAUGAAAAAACAAAGUAGAAUCAUCGUGAACUAUAUAUAUCUUUAGAAUUUUAAUGUAGACUGUUGUUAGCUAAAAUAAAAAUGUAGUAUUUCCAUGCUCGGAAUAGAACAGAAGCCAAACUUGUGUUUAGGAAAUUUUUGAAAUAUGGUAAUCUUAAUUAGUUAGAACUUAGAAGUUAAUACCUCGAUUAACAAGAAAAAAAGAAAAAGACAAGCAAAAAUCGGCGGGGAGAGUUUGGAUCUUGUAGAAGGAUGGUGUGGGAAUCGGCGUUUAUGCUGCAAAUGGUAAGAUAUUAAUAUGGUCCUUUAUAGUUAGCGUUAUGAUAAAUUGGUCUUUAAUUAUACAAGAUUAAGAAACUAGUUUAUCCCAUUAAAUAAAUUAUAAAAUUCUCACCAUCCAACAACAACCUUACUCCUCCGCCCAAAUGUUUUCUUUUCAUGUAGUGUCUCUCUAUAGGAACAUCGGAAAGUACCCUUAUUAUAAAGAAAAGUAAAGAAUCAACACGUCGACAUAUCCAAAGCAUAUAAGAUAGUACAUUAAAAUUAAAAUUAUAUGGGAGAGCACAGAGCAGAGAGCAUGUAAUAAUAAUAAAAAGUGUGUAGAAUAAAACGAAGGCUUGACGAUAGAGAAUGGAAUCAGAUUUCCCCAUUAUCUCCUCCCCCAUCUUCAUAUACUUACUAUUUAUUCCUUCCCCUUUAUGCCCUCCCACCUCUAUACUUCAUUAACCAUCCCAUUCUUACUUUACUCUAGUACUAAUCACAAUGCUUUGGCCUCUUUACAUUUAUUUACCUUUAUUUCUAGUUUGUCACACAAAUAUGAACCUCUUAUUUAGAAACACAUUUUAUCUAAAAAUAUCUAUUGAAAAAGAUUAGUGUAGUAGUGAUCGUAUUUUUGUUUUUUUAGUACUAAUUUUAAUGAAGUUGAAUUAGUACUAAAAAAUAAAAAUACGAUUAAAGAAGGAAUAGAUUCAAAUAAAUAAAGCAAAGAAGACCUCGAACCAAAAAAAGAAAGGAAAAAUAAUUUUCUGUAUUAUCUCUCUCUCUCUUCCGCGAUUACCGUAAUCUCUGUCACACAAAGAACCAAAACACUCUCUCUUUCUCUUCCCUCUUCCUCUGAGAGACAUUCUCGAGAUAUGAGAACAACACUCCUGCGAUGAACACGACGCCGUUUCACUCUGAUCCUCCUCCUCCUCCUUCCAGGAUCCAGCGUAGGCUCGUCGUCGAGGUUGUCGAAGCUCGCAAUAUCCUCCCUAAAGAUGGCCAAGGCAGCUCUAGCGCCUACGUCGUUGUCGAUUUCGAUGCUCAGAAGAAACGUACCUCCACCAAGUUCCGCGACCUUAACCCUGUCUGGAACGAGAUGCUCGAUUUCUCCGUCUCCGAUCCCAAAAACAUGGACUACGACGAGCUCGAUGUCGAGGUUUACAACGACAAGCGAUUCGGCAACGGAGGUGGCCGCAAAAAUCAUUUUCUCGGUAGGGUUAAGAUCUACGGAAGCCAGUUCUCUAGGAGAGGCGAGGAAGGUCUUGUGUAUUUCCCCUUGGAGAAGAAGAGUGUUUUCAGCUGGAUUCGCGGCGAGAUUGGACUCAAAAUCUACUAUUACGACGAAGCCGCCGCCGACGAUAUGGCCGUUGGAGGCGGAGACCAGCAACAACAACAACAACAGCACUUUCAUCAGCAGCAACAAGAUGAUGCUGAUGAACAACAUCAACGCCAUCAUCAUCAACAACAACAGCAACAGUUUCAUCCUCCGCCGCAGCAGAUGAUGAAUUUACCACCGGAGAAACCUAAUGUAGUUGUCGUUGAAGAAGGUAGGGUUUUCGAAUCGGCUCAGAGUCAUAGCUAUCCGGAGACUCAUCAGCAACCUCCGGUGGUUAUCGUUGAAGAGUCACAACCUCAGCAGGUAAUGCAAGGUCCAAAUGAUAACCACCCUCAACGGCCGCCGUCUCCGCCGCCACCUCCAUCGGCGGGGGAUGUACAUUAUUAUCCUCCCGAAGUGAGGAAGAUGCAGGUAGGCAGACCUCCCGGCGGCGAUAGAAUUAGGGUUACGAAGAGGCCACAGAAUGGGGAUUACUCGCCUAGGGUUAUCAACAGCAAAAUUGGAGGAGGAGAGACGACGAUGGAGAAGAAGACUCACCAUCCUUACAAUCUCGUUGAGCCAAUGCAGUAUCUCUUCGUUCGGAUUGUGAAGGCGCGUGGCUUACCGCCUAACGAGAGCGCGUAUGUUAAGGUACGGACGUCCAACCAUUUCGUCAGGUCUAAACCGGCCGUUAACCGGCCCGGCGAAUCGGUUGAUUCUCCGGAGUGGAAUCAGGUUUUUGCUCUUGGUCAUAACCGGUCCGACUCUGCUGUAACCGGUGCGACUCUUGAGAUCUCUGCUUGGGAUGCUUCGUCGGAGAGUUUCCUCGGUGGAGUGUGUUUUGAUUUAUCUGAGGUUCCUGUUCGUGACCCGCCGGAUAGUCCGCUUGCUCCUCAGUGGUAUCGGCUUGAAGGCUCCGCUGCGGAUCAGAACUCUGGGAGAGUUUCCGGUGAUAUUCAGCUCUCUGUUUGGAUUGGUACUCAGGUAGAUGAAGCUUUUCCGGAGGCGUGGAGCUCCGACGCUCCGCAUGUAGCUCACACGCGUUCGAAGGUGUAUCAAUCACCGAAGCUUUGGUACUUGAGAGUGACGGUUCUUGAGGCACAGGAUUUACACAUUGCCCCCAACCUUCCGCCAUUGACUGCGCCUGAGGUCCGUGUGAAAGCUCAAUUAGGCUUUCAGUCUGCGCGUACAAGACGAGGCUCAAUGAAUAACCACAGUGGUUCCUUUCAUUGGCAUGAGGAUAUGAUCUUCGUAGCCGGAGAGCCAUUGGAAGAUUGCUUGGUUCUGAUGGUAGAAGACAGGACGACUAAAGAAGCAACUAUGUUAGGACACGCCAUGAUCCCAGUGAGCUCCAUCGAGCAGCGUAUUGAUGAGCGUUUUGUGCCGUCAAAAUGGCACACUUUGGAAGUAGAAGGUGGAGGAGGUGGAGGAGGACCAGGAGGUGGACCUUAUUGUGGAAGGAUUAGCCUAAGACUUUGUCUAGAAGGUGGGUAUCACGUGCUUGAAGAGGCAGCGCAUGUGUGCAGCGAUUUCCGCCCGACAGCUAAGCAGCUCUGGAAACCGCCAAUUGGAAUACUUGAGUUGGGUAUUCUUGGAGCUCGUGGGUUGUUGCCGAUGAAAGCUAAAAAUGGAGGGAAAGGUUCCACUGAUGCUUAUUGUGUUGCUAAGUAUGGCAAGAAAUGGGUCCGAACUCGAACCAUAACAGACAGUUUCGACCCGAGAUGGCACGAGCAGUACACAUGGCAGGUUUAUGAUCCUUGCACCGUGCUAACAGUUGGUGUCUUCGACAAUUGGAGAAUGUUCUCUGACGUCUCUGAUGACAGACCCGAUACACGGAUUGGGAAAAUACGGAUCCGGGUCUCGACGUUAGAGAGCAACAAAGUGUACACCAAUUCAUAUCCUUUAUUGGUCUUGUUACCUAGCGGUCUGAAGAAAAUGGGUGAGAUCGAAGUGGCAGUCCGGUUCGCAUGCCCGUCGUUGCUUCCUGAUGUUUGUGCAGCUUAUGGACAGCCGCUUCUGCCUCGGAUGCACUACAUAAGGCCUCUAGGUGUAGCACAACAGGAUGCAUUAAGAGGAGCAGCCACGAAAAUGGUAGCAGCUUGGCUGGCUCGAGCAGAACCACCAUUGGGACCUGAGGUGGUGCGGUAUAUGUUGGAUGCAGAUUCGCAUGCGUGGAGCAUGAGAAAGAGCAAAGCAAAUUGGUAUAGAAUUGUUGGUGUUUUAGCUUGGGCAGUGGGUUUAGCUAAAUGGUUGGAUAAUAUACGGCGGUGGAGGAAUCCUGUGACAACGGUGCUAGUCCAUAUUCUAUAUCUGGUUCUUGUUUGGUAUCCUGAUUUGGUAGUUCCGACUGCAUUCUUGUACGUGGUGAUGAUUGGCGUUUGGUAUUACCGGUUUAGACCCAAGAUUCCGGCUGGUAUGGAUAUCCGCUUAUCACAAGCCGAAACUGUUGAUCCUGAUGAGCUAGAUGAAGAAUUCGAUACCAUACCAAGCUCAAGGCGACCAGAAGUAAUCCGAGCUAGGUACGACCGGUUAAGGAUCUUAGCGGUAAGGGUUCAGACCAUUCUAGGCGAUUUUGCAGCGCAAGGCGAACGGAUUCAGGCGCUGGUUAGCUGGAGAGAUCCAAGAGCGACCAAACUCUUCAUAGCAAUAUGUUUGGUGAUCACAAUAGUUCUUUAUGCGGUUCCAGCGAAAAUGGUGGCAGUGGCUCUAGGGUUUUAUUAUCUUCGGCAUCCGAUGUUCAGAGACACAAUGCCAACGGCGAGUCUCAAUUUUUUCCGGCGGUUGCCAAGCUUGUCAGAUCGGCUCAUAUAAGGAGGAGAAAGAAGUGAAGAGAGUAAAUUUACUACUAAAAGUUAGGUGUUUUUGAGUAUCUAGCAGUUUCUUAUGAUACAUGAGCUGAGGAGGAGAUAGAAUAAAGAUUCAUUAUGCGUUAAGAUUUUUAUCAUAUUAUCAUAUGAUUCGUUACACUCCAUUUUAUUAUUCGUAUAUGCUGUCGAAAUUCAUAAUCAGAUGGUAUGUGUUUGAGAAUUGAGACCUGACCUUGACUGUAAUAUUUUGAAGCAAGUGAGAGAUUUCGGAAUAAAGUGGUAUAAAAAGAAGUCACACUGACACGUUUGACCACUGAUUUGCUUAUAUAGUUAAAAGUUAACUCUCUCUGUAAUUUAUACGUUUUUAAUUCGUCAAUGUUAUUUUAACAAUUAUUUACGACAUACACUACUUUUACAAAUAUUUUGGUUUAACUUUUCGUCUUUUACUAUCUAUGCAAGUGAAAAACCGGAGAUAAAGCGCUAACGAAUAUGAUUGGUUGAAAUUACAAAGACAUCAUCUGACGUGGCAGUUUCUCUGUCUCCCAGUGUUCCAGAUAGUGUGCGAACGGCGAAACAAACAACACACGAAAAGAAAAAUCUCGAAAGAAACUUUUUUCAUCGCUUCGAUUUGAUCUUUACUCCAAUGGCUGUCGUCGGCGCUCCUAUAUCGUCUCCGGCGGCUCAUCUCCAAACACGUUUUCUCUCUAAUCCCGUUAUUCCCCGCUUUCGCCGGUCUUUCUCCGCCGGUAAAUCACCAGCUUCUUUCUCUGUCGUGUCCAUGGCUCCUCAGAAAAAGGUAACGCUAUACUUUGUUUUAAUUUCUGAGACCUUUCUUCGCCCUUCAUGAAUCACUAUUAAAGCUUCAUAAAGUAUGAAUCUUUUAGGUUCUCAACACAUAACUAGAGAGUACUCUUUAUAAACAUGAAUAAGCAGAACUUGUUCUUUGGUUUUAGUUAGUUAAUAUUUCAGUGUUUUUACAUUAGUUUUACGGCAAUUGAUCUAUAGAGAUAUUAGGUCCAAAUUUCGACAAUUGAUUAAUGAAACAAAGACAUGGCAUCUUUUUAAAUCUCUGUAUAGUAUUCUUGUAGAGUUUUAUAUGAUUUGUGUAACUGUGAUCACUGAAUUGGAUUAAAAAUAGGUGAACAAAUAUGAUGCCAAAUGGAAGAAACAAUGGUACGGAGCUGGAUUGUUCUUCGAAGGUAGUGAGCAAGUAAACGUAGACGUUUUCAAGAAGCUGGAGAAGCGAAAAGUUCUGAGCAACGUUGAGAAAUCUGGCCUGCUCUCAAAAGCAGAGGAGUUGGGACUUACAUUGUCAUCACUUGAGAAGCUUAAAGUCUUCUCCAAAGCAGAGGAGCUUGGUCUUCUCAGUCUCCUCGAAAAUUUAGCCGGAACAUCGCCUGCGGUCUUAGCCUCGGCUGCAUUACCUGCUUUGACGGCUGCAAUUGUAGCCAUUGUGGUGAUCCCGGAUGACUCAACAACUCUGGUGGUAGCUCAGACGGUUUUGGCUGGUGCUCUUGCGCUUACAGGCGUUGUUUUGUUGGUUGGAUCUGUUGUUUUGGAUGGACUUCAAGAAGCUGACUGAUUCUUUCUUUGUAAACCAAACACACAAAAAAAAACUUUUGCCUGUUGACUUUGUCAGUUGCUGAAAAUCAUAACUGUAAUGUUCAGAACAAGCCAUAAGUUGAGUGAAAUAUAAAAAAAAACUUAAGUAAGAAAGAAAGCUUUAUAACAAUUAAACAAACAUUACAUACAAAUACAUUCAUUCUCCAGUGAAAAAGCCUAACUACUCCCACAAAUUACAAAUUUCCAAUUUCCCCAAAACCAUAGAAAAAUAAUGUGUAGAAGCAAAGUGAAGUAAGCCAAAAAUCACAUCUGAAAAAAGCCCCAAAAAAAACCUUCUUGAACGUGUAAAAAAGCAGCCAUCAGAUUGCUUCUGUUUGGUUGAUAGACAAGUUUAAAGAUCAAACUGCAAUAGUUUGUCCAGUGAGUGCGUCGUGUAGAUGCAUUGAACCGUCUUUCAUCAAGUUUAAGCUUAAGCUUUUAAACCUCUCUCUUGAGUAUUGUCUUGAUGCCUUCCUCCAAUCAGUUCCAGCUUUCAUCAUCACCACAAACUCAUCGUAGUUUAUUCGUCCAUCCUGCAAAAUCAAACAUUAUGAUUACCCCAAGUAAUAAUCUUUCUAUAAGAAGAGACUUUAGGGAAAAUAAAGUUUUAGAAAAACCUUGUCAGUGUCAACUUCACGCAUGAUAUCGAUUAUAACGCUGUUGUCCGGUUCACCUAACUCGUCGGUCAAAGCUUCUCGUAGUUCUUCUGAUUCGAUGUAUCCACUUCCAUCUUUGUCAAAGAACAUAAAAGCUUGUCUGAAAUGUUCAUCAUUCUCCAUCUUCUGCAAGUGAAUUAUCACUGCUACAAACUCUCCAUAGUCCAGGCAUCCAUUUCCGUUUACAUCGGCCUGCAUCAAACAUCAUAAAUGUUAGUACCAGAAAGGAUGAACAUUUCCUAAUCUUUUGAUCAAGAAAAGUAUACUGAUGAGAGAAGGGUAUUUGGUCAAUGUUUACCACUUCCAUCAACAAUUUGAUCUCUGCUUCACCCAGUUGUGAACCAACUUUCUUGAGUCCAGCUCUGAGUUCUAGGUAUGAUAUUUUACCGUCGUUGUCAUCAUCCAUCAAUGUAAACAUGUUUCUGAUCACUUCAACUUCUUGAAUAGACAAGUGCUCGGCGAUUACCUGAAAGAAUAAAAAGAGAGAAACUCAGUGAAACCAAUCAAAGCUCCAAACAUAAGUACAAUCUCCUCUGAAAAAAAGAUAAGAGGCAUGGCAACACUUACACGCAGAGCUUUCUUUUUCAAUCUAUUCAUCAUGGAGAAUUGCUUCAACCUUGACCUAACAAUAUCUCCUAAAGGAACAUUUGGGGCUUUCUUAGCAUUCUGUAUCCAUGGGUGAUCUGCAAAGAAGGAAACGGAAACCGUCUUCGCAUCAGUAGCAUUUUCUCAACUUCAAAUUCAACACAAGACACAAGUAGCAAAGAUGAUGAAUAAGAACAAAUGAGAUAAGAUCAUUUCAUUACCAAGAACUUGCUGAGCAGUCAAACGCUUAGUGGGAUCAGGUUCCAACAUCUGCUUCACAAGGCUCUUUGCGCUCUCUGAUAUCUGUGACCAAGGAUCUCUUUUAAAAUCAAGAACUCCCCUCAAGAUUGCAAGAGCCACACCUUGUUCAGUCUCUGUAAUCAAAACCUUGCAUCACUCAGUUACUCUUUAAUCUGCAUCUGCAACUUCUCACAAGAAUCAAAGCUGCUUUUACCUGCCCAAAACGGAGGAACACCACAAAGCAAGAUAUAGAGGAUAACUCCAGCACUCCACACAUCAACCUCUGGUCCAUAAUUUCUCUUCAACACUUCUGGAGCCAUAUAAUAAGGACUUCCCACAAUCUCUGUAAACCUCUCUCCUGCAAAUGCAUCAAAAUUCGAUCUUUAUGUAACCAGACUCAAAGGAACACACAAUUUUCAACAAAACUCUAAAACAGUGAGACCUCUUUAGCUCAAUGAAGAUGAAAGAUUCUAAAUUUAGCAAAAAAAAAAUCCUCUUUCUAGGGAAAUUACCAGGUUUGAACAGCACAGAUAAGCCAAAAUCAAUGGCCUUAAGUGCAGAGUUCUCCUUCUUGUUAGCAAACAAGAAAUUCUCAGGCUUCAAAUCUCUAUGCAUAACACCAUUGAUAUGACACAUCCUCACAACCUCAGCGAUCGUCCUGGCAACUGUAGCCGCCGCACGCUCUGUAUAGUGUCCCCUGGCAACGAUCCGGUCAAAAAGCUCGCCUCCUUCACAAAGCUCCAUCACAAGAUGCACGUUCUCGUUGUCCUCGUAAGUCGCCUUGAGUUUCACAACGUUCGGGUGUUCCGGGAUAGUUGACAUGAUCGUCACCUCACGGCGGACGUCUUCCACGUCGACGGCGGUACGGAGCUUUCUCUUGGAGAUAGAUUUGCAGGCUAAAGCUUGACGAGUCUCUCGGUCAGUACAGAGGUAAGUGAUUCCGAAUUCGCCGCGACCGAGCUCUCUUCCUAGGAUAUACUUGUCGCUGAUCUGAGAUUGAUGGCUCAUAGGGAUCACACGUAACGGUGCGUGGGAUCUUAAACCAUCGGGAUCGUCGUAUAAGUUGCGUUUCCGUUCCCGUGGAGUCUUCUUCUUCUGGUUUUGUUUAGAGUCUUCUGGGUCAAACUUAACGCAGGCGAUACAAUUACCCAUGAUGGCUCUGAGAGUUUUCAAAACUCAAGUAUGAAGAGAGACUAGUUUUGAAGAAGCUUCUUCAAUGGUAACUCCGGUGACGCCGCACUAGUCUUUUUUGUUCCGGCGAACCGGUGAGUUGCAGAGAAGAGGAAACGCGGGUUUAGCUGAAGAAAGGUUCGACCUUUUCGUAAAUUUUCAUUUUGAUCAGAAAUGGUAUUAAAAAAUAUUGUAUUUAUAUCAAUCACAACUUGAUGAUCCAUCGGACCAUCUCUAAUAAGUAAUUACUAAAACAAAUAAAAUCACAUAUAGAAAUGAGCGAUGUUCUAAGUUAAUAUUAUAUAACCUAUGAUUUAUAAAAAUUGUCAAAAACUUUUUUCUGUGAAUUUAGCGGUUUAAAAUUAUGUGACAGAAACAAGUUUUGUACUCUCUCUUGGUCUGGUGUAAUCUAAUAAAAGAGUAAGUAAAUUACACAUAAAAUAUUCAGAAGAAAAUUAUGAACCGUCGAUUUGUUGAUGUGGUGAAACGAAGGGAUGGGAUUUAUUAGCUAGUAGCAAACGUGGAAGGGGGAGAUGUUUGAUGAAGUUGUUGACCAUAGUCCCAUACAAUACAUAGGAGAGAUGAGAGAAGUGGAUACGGUGACAUUGUCAAAAAGUGUGACGUUGGUUUCAUUUGAGUUGGUGUCAGCAAAGUACUUUUGUUUUGUUUUUAAAAUCGAGAGUUUAAUUGUUAGAGUUGUCUUGUCUUGUCUUGUCUUGUCUUGUUUAACUACACUUGUAUACCAUUUACCUAAAUUACCCGCUUUGUUGGAUCUACGUUACAUUUUUUUUCUUUCUUCGUAAUUUAGAUUCUUAACUAAAACCAUAGAAAAACUGGUUGGUUUUACCAUAUAUUUAAAUUAUAAACCCUAGUAGUAAGUAAUGUGAGCUUUGAAAAUUUCUGCAAAAGAUUUGGUGAAGAUAGUUUCAAAAGCAAUCAGAUUUGUGUUUAAGAUAAGAGGAUAUUAUUAGGUGUAGACUUUGUCAAUCUUAAGGAGCUAAUCAGCUAACUAUCGGACUUUGUUUAGUGGGAAUUUUAUAUUUUUUUUAUCAAAAGUAAAAAAAUACAUAUAUAUAUAUGAAGAUUCCAAUAUGAAUCAAAGUCAACAAAAAUGCAAACAAAUGCGAACGUCUUGUUGUUUUCUCUAAUAAGUGCAUUUGCAAAACUAAUUGACAAGUAUUGUAGUUUACAUUCGGAAAGUGGUUCAUCAUUUUUUUUUUUUCUUGGAAGUAUCAACGACUAAAUUGGAAGUUCAAAAACCGUAACUCUAUUUCCAUCAAAUGGUAUAUAUGAUAUUUUUGUGCAUAUGAAUAGAAAUUUUUUUUUGUGUUGUAUGUGUCACUCAUCAGACUGAUGUUAGUAGGUAAAAAGAAGUUCUUUAAUUUAUUUCCCGGUUAUACUUUCAACCGACAAUUUUUGCAUUUGGCAAAAAAGAGAGUGAAAAAAAGUUGAAAGUCAUGCAAACAUAAACGAGUCUUUUUUUUGUUUUUGUGUAAAUCAAAACAUUUACAUUGAGAAAAAAUAGAUAUACAAUCCCCAACAUGAGUUUGGGAACUUUGUAACAUUUAGUAUAAUUUUUAAUAAAGAUUUUGAUAUUCCAUAAACAUGACAAGGAAGUAUGAUCAUGGGGUAGUAUACUAUCUAAUUAUCUAUGAUAUUACUUUUCACACACCCAAAAAAAGAAAAAAAAAAGAGAUAGAGGAAAUGAUGGAUCAUGUUUUAGCUUGUGCAACUUUUUAGCUGGCAAAAUGAUCUAUAAAGAAAAACUAUAUAUAACAACUGGAAGAAAAAUGUUUAACAAAAAAAAAAAAAACAACUGGAAGAAAAAUAUAUUAGAAAAGUGACUUUCUUGAAUGAGGGAGAAAACAUGAGAUUGUGUAUGAAAUGAUGGGAUCAACUCAAAUGUUUUCAGAUUGCAUGUGUAUGUGGCGUUGUCAUUGCCAACUAUUCGAGUUCUUGAAGCCCCCCUCCAUCACUUUUCUUUUUUUCUUUGCAUAAUGCUCUUUCUUAUCUACAAACCUAUAUAAAGUAUAUAUCUAUUUUAUGGGAAUAUUAUUAAAGUGUAAAUAUGAUAACAAUAUUCAGCUUAAAUAUUAAGAGGUAUACAAUAUAGAUAACCAAAACUAAACCAAUAUGAAUAUAUGAAUUUUCUGCCUUCGCCUUUGAAUGGAGAUGCUGGCGGCCGCUUGGUUUAUGUUUAUCAUCUAUAUGAUUUUAUCGCUGUUAUUUGUUAGUCGAUCUCUUUUAAGUUUCUAUUAGUCUUGGUUCGUCGUAAGAAAAAAGAUUAGUUUAGAUUCAUUCUAAUUUCUAUUGUGUUAUAAAGAGCAAAAAAAAUAAAAAAUUUAGCAAAUUGAAUAGACAUAUAGAUCAAGUGAUCAGACUGUAGUAGUUGCAGCCUGCAUGGAUCAGAGUACUCCCCUGAAUAACUUAGGUUUAGUUUAAGAUUUUAGACCAUCCUUGACCAUGGUAUCUUAGUCUAAAAUUUUUGUGAAGGAAUGUAACAAGGCUAUUCUUUCUACUUUCUAUUAUUACAGUUUUACUUUUACAGUGUUAGUAUAUAUAAGCCGAGAGUUCGACAGCUAGUUGGGCUGGAAAACAAAAUGUCUUAAACGGACUAAAGACUACCUAACUCUUAUCCGAAAAGCCCAUUGUUGUAUAUUUUAGCUUAACAUUGUAAUAAUGCUCUGUUAAAGGGCUCACGAGUAUACUAAUGGCACGUACAAUACAGUAUUUGCAUCUGCCUCCAACUAAAUUAUCUCAUAUCUGUUACACAAGUUAGAAUUUAGUAAUCAGUAAAUCUCUUACUUAUUUUAAAUUUUCAUUUUUCCAAAAACUGUAUGUUCAACCAUUUAAAUAAUUUUUCAUUAUCUUUUUGGGAUUAAGAACGUUAUAAAAUCGAAAUUUAAGACGCAUACACGUAAAUUUUUAGUUAAGGUCGAAUCAUAUACUCACCAAAAUCUCUCUCUAUCUAAACUCUAACUAAAGUCACAAAACAUUCAUAGUUCAAAGACAUGAAAGUAACGCCACGUGUACAACGAAACUUGAGGAGGACAGAACCGAAACGUUUGCUCCAAAGCCAAAAAGUAAAAAGAAACAAGUAUCACUCGCCUUUUUAUUAGUUAAAUCCAAAGAUUCUUAUUAUUCUCACAAAUCAGCCACUAACUUUUAAAAGUAAAAACUCGACACCACAUUCAUUAAACCAGGAUAUCGAAUUUUACAUAAUAAUGGCAGUAUUGGAUUUUAAGGAAUCACUGAAACUUAAAGAUGGUAAUCAAAUCGAUCAGAUAUAAAUCUUGAGUUGCCUAUUUUUCAUAACAGGAAACGAAAUAUUUAUGUUGAGGUUACUUUAAUAAAUACAAAUAUUUAGGGGCCAUAGUUGAAAAGGUAGGUAGGUUAAAAAGGAAACAUUUUUUUUAAUAUAUAUAUAUUUUUUUAAAGAGACAGUAAAAGCAAAAAAAAAAAAAAAAGUCGUAACCUUUGCAAAGGGUCGUAAUUUGGUUGUGUGUGCCCAAUUUGCUUGGAGAGCAAAACAAACUUGAAGCUUCCAUUUUUGACGGCCACAGAGGGAGAAGGCCAAAUUCGCCUUCUAUCUCUCUCGUUUUCUUUCUCAUUUUCUCCUUAAGAUUUAUUUUGUGUUUUGUUGUCUGGGGAAAACGAAGCAGACGGAGGAAGUCCAACACCACCGUUUUGAAGGUGACUUCGUUGUCUCUGUGAUCUCUCUCGCUUCUCUUCUUUACUUUCUCCGAUAUAUCUUUUUUGCUUCUUUCUUUGCAGUAAAUGCUGUUUUUGUUUUCUGGGCUACUCUGUUUUUUUUUUUUUUUUCUGCUUUUGGUGAUAUUGAUCGAGCUUGGAACUUGGGUUGUUCUCAGUUUAAUGAGAGUGAAUUUUGAGAUUGAACGUAUUUAAACGUUUGACUGUAUGUUCUAAUUGUUGACUCUAAUUUAGAGUUGGUCAAUGUUUUUGCAAUUUGAAUGUUUCUAACAGAGGGUCAGUUUUGCUGCACAUGUUUCUGAGCAACUGGUCUGAAUGCAUCUCGAAAAUGGUGAUGGUCUGUUUCAGCUCUGUCAAUAGACAUUGUUUUUUAUCCUAGUUUUGGUAAUUUUGGGAUUCUUGGUAUGUGAAAGGAUGAUCCUUUAUGGAGGAGCUGAAAAAUAUAUAUGAAAAGCUCAGUUUUUUAGGUGUUAAAUGGUUUAAUCUGAGUAAUGUACAGAAUUUCUCAGUUUGUUGUAACUUUUAAGGGAUAAAGAAGUGUAUACUGCUUUGUGGACAAGAGAGCUAGAUGGCUAUUAAAAUGUAAUUUUGCUUUGUAAUUCAUGGAUUGGUUACAUGACCAAGUGUUGAACCUUGAUUACUACGUUGGUGGCUCAGUUGACAUAAGUCUGGUGAGAUAAAUCAGGUAGUGUAAUAGGUUGUUAAGAUAGUUUAAGGGAACGCUCUUUCUUUUAUUUGCUGGAUCUUUUUUAAUCUAUAUUAGUCUUUCCUGAGUUUCUGCUUCAUUUCUUUUUGCAGACAAUGAUUCGUGCAAAGCACAUUAGUAAUCUUUCCAGUUCAGCCAGAUCCUUUUUUCUUAGUGGAACGAGACCUAGUGCAGCUGAUGGAAAUUCUUGUACAGGCGCUGAGGAUGAAAGUUGCGUCUCAAAACGCCAGCAAAUUAGGACUGAAGUUGUACAGACUGGUAAAAGAGCAUCAAAUUUAGCAGCUGGACUAGCUGGAAAUAUAUUACCUGCAGAGGCUGGUAAACCGCUGGUGGUCCCAAAGACGGUUGAGCAUUUCACCCGCACAACUCUUCUUCCGCAGCAUGUAUCCUCUCCUGCUUUGCCGGGGAAAGCAGAUUCUCUAAAUCAUGCUUCUGCUAUUAUUAAAGAUGAUGUGGGUGCACCUAUUGGGGAUCAGAUAUUCAAUGCUGGUAGUGGAACUGUAAAUUUAUUGUCAGAUGUAGGAAACUAUAAGAUCCCUUUAUCAGAUGGAACUAAAGUCAUUGGUUUGCCUAAAAGCUCUAUGGUUGAUCCUACUCGGCCUAUUUUGAGUGUUAAGUCUUCAAAUGUGAAAGUCAACAGAAGGGAGCACCUUGCCAAAGUCUACCCUAGGUCCACUUCCAAAGAUUCAUCAGACCGAGUUCCUAUAAAUAGCUCUCCAGGUACUAAGCAAGCAUCAAAUGACGUUGCGGAGAAUUCUUUUGAACCUUAUGAUUUACUCUCAAACACUACCUCUGGAAAAAGGAAAAGCAUGCCACAAAGACACAAUAUUGAUUCGACUAGGUAUGCAUCGGGUGAUUGUGACUAUAAUGUGCAUUCUUCUGGUGACAGGACGAUGAUAUCUUCUGGUAAGCCUUCAACGGAAAUGAUGAGAGUGACUGCUCCAACACCUAGGCAGUAUUGUAACCCUGGCUACAUUGUAGAAAAUGUUUCUAGUAUAUUGCGGAGAUUCAAAUGGGGACAUGCUACUGAAGAGGCCCUUCACAAUUUUGGUUUCAGGAUGGAUGCAUACCAAGCAAACCAAAUUCUUAAGCAGAUGGAUAAUUAUGUGAAUGCGCUUGGUUUCUUCUAUUGGCUGAAAAGGCAACCUGGGUUUAAGCAUGAUGGGCAUACUUAUACCACCAUGGUAGGUAAUCUUGGUCGUGCAAAGCAAUUUGGUGCAAUAAACAAGCUCCUUGAUGAGAUGGUUGGAGAUGGAUGUCAGCCAAACACUGUUACAUAUAAUCGACUUAUUCAUAGCUAUGGUCGCGCAAAUUAUCUCAGUGAAGCUAUGAAUGUUUUUAAUCAAAUGCAAGAGGCUGGAUGUGAGCCUGAUCGAGUAACUUACUGUACCCUUAUAGACAUCCACGCUAAAGCUGGAUUUCUUGACAUUGCCAUGGACAUGUACCAGAGGAUGCAAGCAGCGGGGCUUUCUCCUGAUACUUUCACCUACAGUGUUAUAAUAAAUUGUCUUGGAAAAGCAGGCCAUUUACCUGCUGCCCAUAGACUCUUUUGUGAAAUGGUUGGUCAAGGUUGUACCCCUAAUUUGGUCACAUUCAACAUCAUGAUAGCUUUGCAUGCCAAGGCACGGAAUUAUCAGACUGCGUUGAAGCUCUACCGAGACAUGCAAAAUGCCGGGUUUCAACCUGACAAAGUGACAUACAGUAUAGUUAUGGAGGUGCUUGGACACUGUGGAUUUCUCGAGGAAGCAGAGGGUGUUUUCGCUGAGAUGCAACGUAAGAACUGGGUUCCUGAUGAACCGGUUUACGGUCUUUUAGUGGACUUGUGGGGAAAAGCUGGCAAUGUGGAAAAAGCUUGGCAAUGGUAUCAAGCAAUGCUUCACGCUGGUCUUCGACCUAAUGUUCCCACUUGUAAUUCCCUUCUCAGCACUUUCCUUAGGGUUCACAGGAUGUCUGAAGCCUAUAACUUAUUACAAAGCAUGCUGGUGCUUGGUCUACAUCCUUCUUUGCAGACAUACACGUUGCUAUUGAGUUGUUGCACAGAUGCUCGUUCAAAAUUUGACAUGGGAUUUUGUGGUCAGCUAAUGGCAGUCUCUGGUCAUCCGGCUCACAUGUUUCUCCUCAAAAUGCCACCUGCAGGUCCUGAUGGCCAAAAUGUGCGUGAUCAUGUCAGCAACUUUCUGGAUUUUAUGCACAGUGAGGAUAGAGAGAGCAAGCGGGGACUCAUGGACGCAGUAGUGGAUUUUCUCCACAAGUCAGGUCUAAAAGAAGAGGCUGGCUCAGUAUGGGAAGUGGCUGCAGUUAAGAAUGUGUAUCCAGAUGCAUUGAGGGAGAAAAGCUGCAGCUAUUGGCUUAUCAAUCUUCAUGUAAUGUCAGAAGGAACUGCAGUCAUCGCACUUUCUAGGACACUUGCGUGGUUCCGUAAGCAGAUGUUGGUUUCAGGUGACUGUCCUUCACGGAUUGAUAUAGUAACUGGUUGGGGAAGGCGAAGUAGAGUCACUGGCACGUCGAUGGUAAGACAAGCAGUUGAAGAAUUGCUCAACAUCUUCAACUUCCCGUUUUUCACUGAGAAUGGGAACUCAGGCUGUUUUGUAGGAUGCGGAGAGCCUCUCAAGAAGUGGUUGCUUGAAUCAUAUGUUGAGAGAAUGCAUUUGCUCUAGUUGUAGAUCAGUUGUUUUGUUUUAUUUUUUCAAGGCCUCUUGAAUUUUUUUUAUACUCUAGCAGUAUCUCAAUGGUCUGGUUUUGUAAUAUCAUAAGUUUAAGGUUAGUGAUGGCUGGAACUUAUCUCCAGAUUUUGUCCUCAGGUCAAAACAUUCUCCUCUUGCAAUUGGUUGUAUUGGUGGGAGUAUAUAAAUCAAUAUUUGGGGUGAUACGACCCUAAUUUAUUAAUACUUGGAAUAGUUUUUGUAUGUUUUUAUUUUUGUACAACAUCAAAUGUUACAAAAAUGCUUUCUUACCAGCAAUGUACUACAGAUAUUGCUAAUGGUACAAUAAUGUAAAUGUAAAUUGAAAAUUGGAGAAAGAUCUAAAGGAGCCUCGAAUUGUAGGAGCCACAGGUUGUGCAUUUGUGGUAGAGCCAAUGAUAAGGAACAUUUCCUUUUCUUCCACAGUCAUUACACAGUAUUAUCUGCACCAAACCAUUUUACCAGUUACCAUUCAGUUUAUUCUUUCAUCUCAGUACUCUAUAUGGGAGAGAGACAGAGAGAGAUGCUCUCUCUGUACUAUGAAACAAUAUCGAGAAAGAGAGAGAUAAACCUGAGUUUUGUUGGAGUAUUCAUCAGGCAUCUUCUCUUCUGCAAGUAAUGCGUCUAGCAUCUUAAAAUAGACCUGUUUGGGACGGUUCUUUGUUCAGUUUGGACUUUGGAGUAUCACUAAUCUUCUGAGGGGAAAAAAAAAUAUAUGAAUGGUAACUGACCUGCAUAUCUCCUAGCGACUUGCUGCAGAUAGGGCAUGUGUAGUGGGAACAUGUGUACUCCUACCACCAUAUUCAAAAACCAAGCUUAGAAACGUGCUUCAGGUUAUCACUGUUACCCGAAAACAGAUUUUGACAGAGUUAAGUACCUGAAAGCAUGAGGAGUGCAUCAAGUGCCCGCAAGGAAGAGCCUUGACUGGGGAGUUGGAGGUAAAAAUGUACUCAUGGCAAAUAGGACAAUUAUCUUCUAAACACUUUUCCCUGCAAACAUGCUCUGCUAAGGUACGCGACAUGCAGGCAUUGCAUUUCAUGCAAUGGAAGUAGUCAAUUCCCAAUCCUUUCCCAACUCGGCAGAGAUUGCAGUAAGGACAGUGAUAAAUUUUCCUGUUACAAAGAACUAAUAACUCUCAGCCUCUAAUGAUACUGAGUCCAACAAGAAAGCACAACAAGUCAUGAAUUAAAGAUAACUUGAUUUAGUAUUUUUAAUAAGUACCUUUCAUCGUCAUAUAAUUUGCAUAUUUUGCAGAAGUAUUUUCCCAUUGACGACUUGCACGAAGUAUUUGAGCAAUUUGCACCAAUUGGCUGAAUCAAGAGGCAUUUCAUGCACAUCAUCUUUGUUAUCUGUUUCCUGCAUAAAAAUUCAAGAUAAACAAAAAAAAAGACAAACGCAAUAUGAUUUUUGGAAGCUCCUUGCAAGAAUGUUGAAGAUGGAUGUUACUACCUAUCUACUGAGUGAUCAGCCUCUUCAUCAUGACAUCGUAUACAUGUGAAGAGUUUGUCGCAACAAGGAGCAAGAAGCUUGCAAUUCCUCUUGUAGUGAUUGCAGCCGAAAAUCAAACUGUGAGGAUCUCGAUAUGAUGGAUGUUGACCAGGAACUGUUUCCAUGUCGCUUAAGAGAGAGGAUGGUUCCAGACUGUAUGCCCGUUGUGAGAUAUUCCACCGACUGAAAAAAAACAAAAUACAUGAUCUUACGUAAGUCUCAAUAUCUAUAAGAAAGACACCUAUUUUGACUAUGAUCUUGUAAACUUAACCACCAGACGAAUAAGUUAUUUGUACAAGUACAACAUCUUUCUGUUAAUAGGACAUGUACAAGACUAAAUAGAUUUCUCAGCUUAUAAAAUUUAAGUUUCAACAUGAAACCAAAAGAGAGGUAGCCAAGGAUUACCUCAUUAACAAGUUCUGCUUGAUAUAAGAUUUCUUCCGAGGAUCCAUGGAAGAGUCGCAUGAUAUUUUCUUAAUCACAGCCACCAGUUCUUCUUCACUUAUUGUUAACAGUUGUUCAUAUUUCUUGGAUUGACCAAACCGACUAACCUUCUGAGACAUUCGGAAAGUCUGAGCAGGACUUCUUGUCUGGUAAUUGAUGUCAGUUUUUUCGUUGUCCUCCAUUUUGUCAGCUCCUCUACAUAUCUUCUUACUUUCUGAGCAUUCCAGAUCUUUUUUCUCUUUGUUUCCAACCUCGACAUUGUUAUCAGAAGGUGACUUAUUCAUAUUACCUGUCAAGUAUGUCUCUGGAAGUUCGACAAGGUAGCUUCCAAUGCUCCCUCUAUCCCCAUCAGCAUUUGUUUCAAAGAGAUACUUCCAGACAAUCUCCAAUGGAUCUGAAUCCUCAAAUGGAUCAUUGUUUGCUUCUCCGACUUCAUCUUGUAUAACAUGACCGUUAUACCAUUCUGUUAGCCAUUCGACAAACAUUGUUUUCCUUGUUACUUGGCGCCAUAAGGACAUCGCUGCAAGCUGUUCAUCAGAGGAUAAAGAUUCCAUUAACCAGGGUAUCAUAUCCUGCAAUAUUUCCCCACUUAUUCUCCCAAGCAUGCAUCCUAUGAUUUUUUCUUGCUCUUCAAUAGCAAAACAGUUCCUGAAUAGACCCCAGAGUUCAGUUUCUUCAUGCUGGAUAUGCUCAGACAAUAGCUUGUGCAUAGAUUUGCCAAUCUCUUGGAGACUCAAACACAACCGCUCAUACUUCAUCUUUCGGUGGUCUGCUGCUCUGGGAUUGAUAGUAGAAACUAACAUGUUCAGCUCUGACAUCUCAUUCAAUAUGAAUGAAACUUUAUCGAAGUGUUUAGUUUCUAGCUCAUGAUCAAUGCUAAAUGAGUGACUAAUGUUUCUAAGUCGUCCCUUGGCCUCCAAUGCUGGAAAUGCAAUCUCAUCCUCUGCAUCAGAAUGUAUCUGAUACAAAAACUUUAUCAUCUGGAAUCGCUGUUGAAACUCAGUGAGAAAACAAAAGUCGGCUGCCAAUCUUGCUGAUCCACAAACAAGGUAGUCCAAAUCCAUCUUCAUUGCCUUAUGGAAGAAGAAAAGGAGGUCAAUUGGUUUAACGUUCAUAAUAAGUGGAUCAUCCAUAUUCUUCUCACCAAAAAACUCUGGAAGAUGGAGUGGAGGCUUAUGUUUCCCUGAGAAAAUCAUUUGCUGAUUCAUUCGACUUGAGUAAGGUGUCUCGUACAUAUCUCCAGCGCCUAAAUCCCUUGACAGUAAGCAGGUUGAAGACUUGUUUUUCUUCCAAGGACAAACAAGCAAAUCAUCUUUAGAUCCUUUGCACAGUUCCAGCUGUGCUUGGUCGGAAAAUGAUCCAGAUGCUUCUUUAGUGUUGUUCUCCUUUUGGCAGGAGCAUCUUACUUUAAACAUUACAGCCAGUUGUUUCCAAAAACUUUCAACAGAUGUUUUGCCUGAGUAACCAAAGCGAAGCCACUGCAACAAGAGGCAUGCAAAUGAUUUUUUGGAAGAAAAAUCUUCCAAACUUAAGAACUGAAGAAUGGAUUGAGAUUCCUCUUCUGACAAGUGAGCAGAAAACCAAAGUAUAACACACUUUAGCAAUCCAAGAGGUAAGACAUGAAUGCUUGUGUAUAGGAGCUGCUUCUGCAUUUCAUGGUUGCAAUUCUUGGUGAUGAAUGGGAAUACCUGGAGAACAAUGAGAGUAAAUAUGUUGGAUAUAAUAUUCACAAAACUUGCAUGGAAGUUAUAGAAAUGAAACUUUUUUAGACGAGUAUCAAUGUAUCAUAAGCUUACCUUGGUUCUCUGUAAAGAAAAUUGCUUGGUUACUUGGACUAUAAGGUUCUCAAGUUCCUCUUGGAGCUGAAACAGAAAAUUAGCCGUCCUUGAUUUAUCAUCAGCACUUUUGUAUAGUAAUCUCUGAAAAUUCUCGAGACAGCCAUCUAUGGUGAAUUGUGCGGUAUUUGAAGAGCGGCGAUCUGUCAUUUCUUCCAACACCGGGUGAAGGAACCUUUUGAAUGCAUUGCUGCAACAAAGCAAAUCAUGCUGUAACUCACAUAGAGAAAGAAAAGGAAGGGAAACGAAAAAUGAUUUAAGAGAGUAGCUAGGCAUCAUACAAAAGAGAAAAAUCAAGUUAUCCAACAAACUAUUACCUAUAAGAAACAAGGACAUCAGCAAGGAAGUUUAAUCGAGCCAUCAGUACGUCAAGGUCUAAACUAAGGCUUGGGAAUUUUGCUUGGCUUAAUCCUUCCCGAAUGUCUCUCAAAUCUUUUUCGAUAGCAUUUUGAAAAAGAUGAAGACCAUGAAUCGGGCUGUGUCCUCCUACAUUUGGAAUAUGAAGGGACUUUUUACUCCACUGCCAAAAGCGUUGAAAACAUCCACUGGACUCAUGUGUCUGAGGUAACUUCUUCAUAUUCUUAGACACGUCUACAUAGUGGACUCCUUUCAUGAUCUCUGUAGGAAUCCCACCACAAGAUUGGCCCUUGUCAUCAAGUAGCCAAGAG
rnacentral:lncRNA from 1 species